ACUAAAUUAAAACACCUUUCAUAAAAAUCUUGUAUACUAUACAAGAACAAUGACAACCCAAUGUAUUCUCAUAAGUGGGGUCAGAGGGUAUUGAUGUAUGUAGCCUUACCCCUACUCUAGAAGGACAGAGAGACUGCUUUCGAUAGACCCUAGGCUAAAUAAAAGAUGGAAGAAGUACUGAUAUCAAGUAAUAACCAUACAAGAUAUUUGAUAAUAACAGACUAAGGCUAAAAGGGAGGAAACACUAUAUAUUAGGGGCCAAAAUUAUAAUAAUGUUGUUUAUACGACUGAAUCAAAUAAGUCAUAGUCGUCCAUCAAGCAAAAUGAGAUCAAGUUACAUAUUUAACAAUGUAAUAACAUUUAAUAAAAAUGUUACACUCCAGAUGCAUUCAAUUUAACCACACUAAAAAAACACAUUCUUGGAUAUACGAUACUACACGACUACAAACUUGAAGUACUGAGCAAAAAUCUUUAUAGCUACAAUUGCAGAUGUAGCUUUCCACAAUAAAAUCAAUAACAUGCUCAUUAAAAUGUGACAUUUUAUUCAACUUAAAACCAUUCAAAAAAAAACAUCAACACAGUGGUUUAAUAUAUAAAAUGAACAAGAUUUACAUCCUAUUCUUGAAUCAUUUUCAGAAUAUACAAAAUCCAUUUCAGGAUUAAAUUUAACAUAACAAGUGAGUUUAAAUAUGGAAUAUUGGUAAGAGCUUAUCUCAAUAGAGAUAUACCAAAAGAUUUCUCACACCAGACCCAAAAGAAUAAUACGACAACUUCCGAAUAAAAGCUAACAAAAGAAGUAAGGAAAUCAACCACGGAUCUCAGCGAAAUUGCAACAAAGCGGCAACAAUCUCACAUGUCCAGCAGCUUUAAAAAUCCAGCAAAGUAAAAAGCAGCUCUGAACAAUGGCUGAGAUCCUUUGGUCUUUUUUUUCGAAUUUUUCAGAUCUGGGGUCCAAAUGUUUGAAUCAAAAAACUAUUUCCCAUCUCCGUGAGGGGAUGAUAGGGAGUACUUAUGUGUGCAUCUAUGUCAAUGAGCGAGAGAGGUGAGAAUUUCUAAGUGUAAGAGUCAGGUUAAGGUUUGUGGGUAAAGAAAGAAGAAGAAGCAGGGGAAACAACGUUCUUCAUUUUAGAAGAGAAUGGGAUCUAAUUGUUAUUUUUUGUCUAGGUUAGGUCUAAGAUAGAAAAAAAGGGUUUUAAAGGAGGGGUAGGGAUCAGGUUAGGUUGGGUUAUGGGCUGGUUUGGGGAAUUUGAGUCUUAAUUAAUUAGGUCAUUUUAGGAAUUGGCCCUAUUUCAAAAGAAACAAAAUUAAAAAAAAAAUGUAUUCUUCCUAUUUUCCUUUUCUUUGUUUUUUUCCUUUUAUUUUCUUUAAUUAAUUAACUUAAAACUAAGGAAAACUGCUAAUUUUAAAGGCUAAAAUCCAAAUAUGUAAAAAUGACCAUUUUAUGUGAUCUUUUGCUUAGUAAAAUUAAUUCCUAUAUACAAACUGAGCCUAAGAUGGCAUGAAAUUAAAACGUGACAAUGUUUUUAUGAUUUUUCUAUGAUUUUAAGAUAUUUAAAAUGCAUGAAAUGCAACUAAAUAAAGAAAAACUCUUAAAAAUCAAUUAAAAUUAUUUUUUGUCUAUUUUUAGGAGAUAUUUUCAUAUAGGGCAAAAGUUGGGUGCUCACAACACUUACUCCUAUUUUGGUACAAACUCAGUCACCGAUCGAGGUUUAGGUAGCUCCACCUGUGGCCACCCCCACCCUCUCCCCCCCAUUUGAAGUAAAAGUGGACACACCUUUCACAGUGAUAGUGUCUACCACACCUCCUUUCCACUCAAAAGCAAUACCCUGAGAUUACAUUGCCGAAGCUCGGCGAAAGGGAAAGGCAAAAAUGGAGGAAUAUGAUGCUGCACAAGGAAUGACUAGGACUGGAAGAGACUACACACCUAAACACUUGGGAGGACCAAGCAAGGAUGCCACUACCAGGCAGCCUAUCAUUGAAACAGGGCCAGAUGACCUGUGGAGGAAGGUACAAGCAAAGGAGUAUUCUGUCAUUAACCAUCUGAACAAAACCCCAUCUCAGAUAUCCAUCCUAUCAUUGCUGCAAAAUUUAGAGGCGCACAAGAACAUUUUAAUUAAAGUACUGAGUGAAGCUUAUGUACCCAAUAACAUCACCAGCGGAGAGAUGGCCAAUAUGGUAGGGCAAGUACUGGAAAGUCAUAAGAUCAUCUUCCACGAAGAUGAGCUACCACUUAAGGGGUUGAAUCACAACCGAGCAUUACAUAUUACAGUGCAAUUUAAAGACAAAUUCAUUGCCAGGGUUUUGGUUGGCGGAGGUUCAAGCCUCAAUAUUUGUCCAUUAGACACUUUAAAAAGGAUGGACAAAGGUUUUCAUGAAAUACAAGUAGGAAGCAUGAAACAUGAAAGCUUUUGAUGGGUCUCAAAUAUCCAUGAUUGGGGAAAUUAACCUUUCCUUGCAGAUAAGGCCAACUUGGUUCGACGUCGAGUUUCAGGUGCUCGAUAUACCGGCCUCAUAUAAUCUUUUGUUAGGUUGACCAUGGACCCAUGACGCUGAGGCAGUGCCUUCCACACUACAUCAAGCCAUGAAGUUUGAAUGGAAUCGUUAAGAGGUGAUCAUUUACAUAGAUGAGAGUAACCCUAUUUACACUAGUCAAACCAUCCCGGUUAUUGGACAUUGAAGAAGGCUAGGAGGGGAAACCUAUCAUCACAUUGAACGUGUCAAUGCCAUCGAGAAAGAUAAAUGGUGGAGCAGUAAAAUAGAAAGCAUAUUGGCAUGGUCUGGAUAUGAGCCCGACAAAGGGCUGGGUAAGAAUCUUCAGGGUAUCACUAAACUAAUACGGCUGAAGGGUCAUGGUACUGCCUUCAGGCUCGGAUAUCAGUACAUAUGGCAAGAAUACAAUGAUUGGUCGACUCCAUGGCGAAGACCUUAUUACCCUCUCGAGCAACCUGUGCCACGUCUAGAUCAAGCUUUUCACCAAGCUGAUACAGUAUGGGGAACUGCAAAAGAGGAAGUAUUAGCUGGGUUAAAGAAUCUGUUCUUAGAGGAUGAAGACAUAGACUGUAGUUCCAUAAUUGAGUAGGAGGAGGAGGAAGAAGGCCUCAUUAUUCAGACUGUGAAGAAAGGAGUUGUUCUUAGAAACUGGACAACCAGACCAUCCCGGGCCCGCCGAGUCCCUAGGUAGCUUGGUAGUUUUUACUUCUAUAGCCAUUCUAGGCAUUUAAGAUUUUUAGUAAUUUUUAUUUAAAGACUUUCUUGUUUCAAAAAUAAGUGCUCGAUUCAUCAAGCCGCAUUUGUCUGGAUGUUGUUUAAUUUUAAAUCAAAUGCAUUUGCUCUGUAUUAUUCAUUACUAUUUUCUACACUUUUUCUUUCUACAACGUUUACUUUUCCUGAUGAACUGGUGACUACGACAUAUAAUGAGGCAACACAACAUGAGAAUAGUAUCUCGGAUGAAGAAUAUGAGAUACCUAAGUAAGUUAUUAGGGAGGUGGAAAACUUUGAGAACAAGCCCAAGUCUAAUCACGACAAAACCAAAACAGUAAAUUUGGGGGACGCCGAGACCAUCAAGGAGACUCGCAUCAGCAUUCACUUGUCACCAACAAAGAAGUAAGAGUACAUCCAUUUUCUAAAAGAGUAUGAGGACAUCUUCGCAUGGUCAUAUGAUGACAUGACCAGUUUGACCACGUCCAUAGUGGCUCACAAGUUUCCUACUAAUCCCGUAAGUCCGACAGUGAAGUAGAAACUCAGAAAAUUCAAGCCAGAUAUGAGCCUGAAAAUCAAGGAGGAAGUUACCAAGCAGAUCAAAACCAAAGUUCUCAGGGUGGUCUAGUACCCGACCUGGUUAGCUAACACUGUGCCAGUUCCGAAGAAGGACGGGAAAGUCAGGGUAUGUGUCGGCUAUCGGGAUUUAAACAGAGCAAGUCCCAAGGAUGACUUUCCACUGCCAAACAUACAAAUUUUGAUCGACAACUGCGCCAAGCAUGAACUCCAAUCCUUUGUAGAUUGCUUCGUCGGUUAUCACCAGAUCUGGAUGGAUGAAGAAGACGCGGAGAAAAUAGCUUUUAUCACACCUUGGGGAGUAUACUGCUACAAGAUGAUGCCAUUUGGUCUAAAGAAUGUUGGGGCUAAUUACAUGAGAGCCAUGACAAUUAUCUUCCAUGAUAUGAUACACAAGGAGAUAGAGGUGUAUGUAGACGACAUUAUUAUCAAAUCCAAGAGGGCCACAGAUCACAUAGUGGACUUGAGGAAGUUCUCUGACAGGCUAAGGAGGUACAACUUGAAACUAAACCCCACAAAGUGUGCAUUCGGGGUUCCCGCAGGAAAGUUAUUGGGAUUCAUUGUCACUCAUUGAGGGAUCGAGCUGGACCCGUCUAAAGUCAAGGCUAUUUAGGAGUUACCACAACCUAGGAGCAAAAAGGACAUGAUGAGCUUCUUAGGAUGUCUCAACUAUAUCAGUCGAUUCAUAGCACAGUCCACAAUCAUAUGUGAACCAUCUUCAAGAUGCUAAGGAAAGAUGCCGAAACAAGUUGGACCGAGGAUUGUUAAAAAAGUUUUGCCAAGAUCAAGGAGUACCUGUCCACGCCACCAGUUCUGGUCCCACCAGAACCAGGACGGCCUUUGCUACUCUAUAUAUCUGUGUUGGAUGGAGCCUUCGGAUGUGUUCUAGGACAACAUGACGAGACAGGAAGAAAAGAGCAAGCCAUAUACUACUUGAGUAAGAAGUUCACACCUUACGAAGCAUGGUACUCUUUGCUAGAGCGCACUUGUUGUGCUUUGACUUGGACAGCUCAUAAAUUGAGGCAUUACUUCUGUGCCUACACCACAUACCUCAUAUCCAGGAUGGACCCUCUGAAGUACAUAUUUCAGAAACUCAUGUCGAUUGGGAAGUUAGCCAAGUGGUAGAUACUACUGAGUGAGUUCUAUAUCGUCUAUGUAACUUAAAAGGCGGUCAAAGGACAGGCAUUGGCAGAUCAUCUUGCUGAAAAUCCGGUGGGAGGAGAAUAUGAACCCUUGAAAACAUAUUUUCCUAAUGAAGAAGUGUCCUUCAUAGGAUAAGACAUUACCGAAGCAUACGACGGUUGGAGGAUGUUCUUUGAUGGAGCUGCAAAUUUCAUAGGAGUGGGCAUUGGAGCAGUUUUGGCAUCAGAAACGGGUCAACAUUAUCUGGUAUCUGCUAAACUCAAAUUUCCCUGCACCAACAACAUGGCAGAGUAUGAAGCCUGCAUACUAGGACUCAACAUGGUAGUCAACAUGAAUAUUCAGGAGCUAUUGGUAAUCGGUGAUUCAGAUUUUCUUGUACACCAGGUACAAGGAGAAUGGGCCACCAAGAAUUCCAAGAUAUUUCCAUAUCUGCACCACAUGCAGGAAUUAAGAAAGAGUUUCACGAAGAUACAAUUCCGACAUGUGCCUAGAAUUCAAAAUGAGUUUGCCGAUGCAUGGGCCACCUUGUCAUAUAUGAUACAACAUCCAGAUAAGAAUUUCGUUGAUCCCAUCUCGGUAAAAAUUUAAAAUCAGCCGGCGUAUUGUGCCCACGUUGAAGAAGAAACAGAUGAAAAACCUUGGUUCCAUGACAUCAAAGAGUGUUUGUCAAAGGGAGAAUAUCCGGAGCAUGCAAACCACACUCAGAAACACAUGCUCCGAAGAUUGUCCAAUCACUUCUUCCACAGCGGAGGAAAUCUGUAUAGAAGAACUCCUGAUUUGGGAUUGCUAAGAUGUGUCGACGCAAAAGAAGCUUCUAAUCUGCUUGAGGAUGUACAUGCUGGGACCUAUGGCUCGCACAUGAAUGGUUUUUUCUUGGCUAAGAAGAUACUUAUGGCCGGUUACUUUUGGAUGACCAUGGAUAUGGACAGCAUCCAGUAUGUCUGCAAAUGCUUCCAAUUCCAAGUACAUGCUGAUACGAUAAAAGUGUCGCCAAAUGAGCUCAAUGCAACAAGCGCACCUUGGCCAUUUGUUGCCUAGGGAAUGGAUGCCAUUGGCCCGAUCGAGCUCACUGCUUCAAAUGGGUACAGGUUUAUUCUGGUAGCCAUUGAUUACUUCACGAAAUGUGUAGAAGCUGCGUCUUACAAAGUUGUAACCAAGAAAGUCGUCGCAGAUUUUGUCAAAGAUCAUAUUACUUGUCGAUUCGAAGUUCCCAAGUCCAUUGUUACUGAUAAUGCCGCCAAUCCCAACAGUGAUCUGAUGAAAUCCAUGUGUGAAACGUUCAAAAUCAAGAACAAGAAUUUCAUAGCCUACAAACCUCAGAUGAAUGGAGCCAUAGAGGUCGCCAACAAAAACAUCAAGAAGAUACUAAGGAAGAUUAUUUUAAACCACAAACAAUGGCACGAUAAGCUACCCUUCGCUUUGUUGGGAUACUGGACCACAGUUUGCAUAUCGACCGGGGCAACUCCUUACAUGUUGGUUUAUGGUACCAAGGCUAUCAUUCCAGCCGAGGUAGAGAUUCCUUCUUUAAGAAUCAUACAGGAAGCUGAACUCAGCUAUGUAGAGUGGAUAAGGAGCCACUAUGAACAAUUGGCCCUUAUCAAUGGAAAAAGGAUGAACACGAUAUGUCAUGGCCAACUUUAUCAAAAUAGAAUGUCCAGAGCUUUUAACAAAAGGGUCAAACCAAGGCAAUUUGCACUAGGACGGUUGGUGCUGAAGAAAGUCUUCCCACAUCAAGAUGAGGCCAAAGGGAAAUUCUCUCCCAACUGGCAAGGUCCUUACAUGGUUCACAUGGUGUUGACAGGAGGGGCACUCAUACUUGCAGAAAUGGAUGGAGAAAUCUGGCCAAUACCAAUCAAUUCGGAUGCAGUCAAGAAAUACUAUGCUUAGAUUAUUUAUAUUUCCUUGUCUCAUGUUAUUGAACUACGCUUGACCUGAUUCCCGUUUAAGAAGGGAUACGUAGGAAGCCUUAUGGGUUUGGUCAUAUUAUAAUAAAAUUUCCAUUUCCCCCCAAAAUAAGAAACUGGUGCAGAAUUUUGAGGAGGACCCUCAAAAUUCCGAAGCAAGUCCAGCCAACGCCAACAUAUGUCAGACGGUCAAAAAUCGGUUAAGAAACUGGGGAAGAAUUUUGAGAAAGAUUCUCAAAAUUCUGGAAAAGGUUCAACAAGGCUCAUUACCCACAAACGGUCGACGAGUCAUCUACCAAGCUGGGGGAGAAUUUUGAGGAGGACCCUUAAAAUUCUAACAUAAGAGAGAUGCAAUGUCUUUAAAAUGUGUUACAGUUACCAGUUCAUCUAAAAAUCACUUGAUAUAUCAAUGUGUUUUUAAAAUGACUCUAUUUUUUACCAAUAAUUGCAUAUUUUCGAAAACUCUAUUUCCGUAAUAGCCAGGUGUUACCUGGGGAAACUUGAAAAGUCCUCCAGAAUGGAGCAAAGCAAGACCAGCAGACAGAAGCACGAACCAACCGCCCCUUCACAAAACUUACAAUUUUUUUCUGAAUGCAGGCACAUCUGACGUAGCAAUAGCGUCCGCAAAUAUAUACAUGUAACAAGAUCACUAUCUAUCAGGCCCUAAGACACAUAUAUCUCCAGCUAAGACAUACAUUACUCUUAUUUGCUACUCGCUCUUUGCAUGGGACCAAGCUUCGUCCCACAUACUUGCAUGAGGCUAAUCCUUGCCUCCACACUUGCAUGAGGCUAAUCCUUGCCGCCAUAUUUGCAAGAGGCUAAUCCCCGCCUCCCCUAUCUGCAUGAGGCUAAUCCCUGCCUCCAUAAUUGCAUGAGAAUAAUCCUUGCCUCCAUACUUGUAUGAGGCUAAUCCCUGCCUCUGCAUUCGCAUGAGGCUAAUCCUUGCCUCCACAUUGCAUGAGGCUAAUCCUUGCCUCGAAUAUUACAUGAAGCUAAUCCCUACCUCCAUAUCUACAUGAGGCUAAUCCUUGCCUCCAUAUCUGCAUGAGGCUAAUCCCUCCUCUAUAUUUGUAUGAGGUUAAUCCCAGCCUCCCCACUUAUAUGAGGCUAAUCCUUGCCUCCACCUUCAUGAGUCUAAUCCUUGCGUCCCUAUCUGCAUGAGGCUAAUCCUUGCCUCCCUAUCUGCAUGAGGCUAAUCCCUGCCUCCAUAUCUACAUGAGGCUAAUCCUUGUCUCCAUAUCUACAUGAGGCUAAUCCUUGCCUCCAUAUUUGAAUGAGGCUAAUCAUUGCCUCUAUAUUUGCAUGAGGCUAAUCCCUGCCUCCAUAUCUGCAUGAGGCUAAUCCCUGCCUCCAUAUUAGCAUGAGGCUAAUCCUUGUCUCCAUAUCUGCAUGAGGCUAAUCCCUGCCUCCGCAUUCGCAUGGGACUAAGCACUGUCCCUCUUUGCACAAAUAGUGCUCUAUUUCUAGCACUAUCUAUUUGAUUUUCAAUCGGGUUAAUAUCUGCCCUCCAUAGACUAAGCCUUGUCUUUUUAAUGUCAUAUUAUUGCAUAUCAUGGGCUGAAAUACUGCCAAUCUAUCCAAGAAUGUCAUAGUCUAAAAGGCAUCAUCCUCAUAGCCGGAAGACACCAUGCCAUGGCCUAAGGAUCUCUCAAAAUUGCACAUCAUUAUUCAAAGGCGUCAUGGUUCAGAGGCACCAUCUGCAUGGCCCGAGAACAUCAUUCCAUGGCCUGCGAAUCCCUCAUUAAAAAAUUCAUAGCCCAGUACAUCAUGGUCCGAGGACGUCUUCCUUAACUGUCCAAAGACAACUUUCAUGGUCAAAAGGGAAUCUACAUCAUGUUUAAAUUUCCGCACAAAUAUAUGUCUGUAGCAUCUCUUCAUCUGUAGGUGACCAGCAAGCAACCACUAUCCUAGCAGGAGUGACCUCACUCCAGUUCUUUCAAACUGUCUCAAACUUAACCGCUCACCAUAACCGCUCUUGCACCUCGUGUCCGUUCUUGCAAUGACUUCAUCGGUAUACCGUGAAUGAACCCAGAACUACAUAUGGCUUGAUUCCUGUAAAACCAUGGAUAUGUAGGCAACUCAAGACCAGAUUCCAGCCUCUAUCUUUGAAACAUCCCGACCGGUCAAAAUUGGCCAUCAUUUCUUUAACUGAAAACUCUUUCAUCCUUCCCGGGUAAAGAUGGGCAGUUGUUGAUACCCAAUAUUUCCUCAUAUAUUUUUAAUAUAGAUGUAUAUACUUUCAAAAUAGCACAUAUGCAGUUAUGAGCAUGCAUAAGCAUUUUUUAUAAUUUUUCUAUAAUUUUUAAAGCUCUAAAACAAUUUAUUUCUCCUCUUUUAUAUAUAAAAUAUCCACUAAUUAUCCAUCAAAUUAUUUUUGUGAUGAUUUGGUCAGCUGAAUUCAUUAUUUAUGCCAUCAUAAUUGUUUAAAUACUUUUAGUGUAUUUUAUAAUUGCAUUUACAUUUUAGGCUAAAUUGCACAUCUUUGAAAUUAUAGCCCAUAUUAAUGUAUAAUUACAUUAUUAAUGCAUAAAAUGGUAUUUUAUAUUUUAAAAUAUUAAAUACUAUUUUAAAUAAUUUUAGUACAUGAAAAUAUUUUUUGGAACUCAUUUACUAUUUUUAUAAAUUAUGUAACUAUUAAAAGUGGCUAUUUACAAUCUGGCCUAUUUUAUUUCAAUUUUAGCCAUAUUUUCAACCGAAUAACCAGCCCAUUUUAAUUCAAAUUACCCAGCCCAAACCCAACUACCCGAUUCGGCUCCAAAACCCUUUUAAUCUCAGCCGUUGAUCAUAGAGAUCAACAGCCACAAACGACCCUUCCUAAAACAAACCAAACGACCCCUCCCCCCCCCAAAAAAACCCUUUCAUUCUACACUAUCCGUCUCCCUAAAAGCCUUCUCCUCUCUCAAACGCUUUGAAACCUAACCCUAACCUACCCACAUCGCCGAUCAUCUGCUGCCUUCCAUGGUGUUCCUCACCACUCCAAUCCUCUAAUGGCCUCCCUCACACUGGUACUGCCAUCUCCAAGGUCCUCAAGGGACCAGGGUCAAUGGGAUGAAUCUAUGGUCCCUUUCUCGCCUGUUUCAGGCCAUUCCAAUGUGAUUCCGAGUAAGAUCGUCCUAUAACAACUAUGAUCUAUGGGUUUCUAAGCAUGUUUCUUCACCUCUGUAUUGUUUUCCUCGAAACCCUAAUCUCUUUCUUCUAAACCUAUUAGAUCUGUACAGAUCUGAGACGAUUUGGACUUGUUUCAUAUGAGUUUUACAAUAACCUUGUGAUUCUUUACAAGAAUCGUAUGAUUUUCAAGUAAUUUUUCAUCUUUCUCUAAACUAGGGUUUCUUGAAAUCUCUUUUUCCAAAAACAUUUGAUGAUUUGGUUAUUUAAUCUCCUGUUUCCUGUAUGGUUUAACCGAUUUUGUUAGGAUUGCUCUGAUUUCAACUCAUUUACACUAAAAGCCCUAAUUUUUCGACAUUCUUUGUUUGGUCUCUGAGUACUUGUAUGCUGACUGUAUUCUUGCCUUGGUUCUUGUAAUUUUCUUUAGCCAUUUAGAUAUCUCGUGGCCUUUUUACCCUAAUAUGCCUUUACUGAGAUUCUUAAUUCAACUUUUCACUGAUUCUCUAUGUUUGUGUUCAUCCUGACUUUCGUUUCUUACCUUAUCUACUAAACUUGCUAACUCUUUCGUGAUUUUCCCUCUAACUGAGCCCUAUUAGGGUUCUAACCUAAUUUUUCGACUAAGUUCUAUGUUUUUGUUAAAUUUUACUUAGUUUAUUUUCUAUUUAUGGGAACUAAUAUAUAUUCUUUCUAAACAUCAGUAUUACUUUGAAAUUCGGUCCGAUUGUUUACUCCGUUAAAGAUUGGUAUGCAUAAACUUUAUUUGUUUCCUUAUUUAUAACCCUAAUUGGUCAUCUCCGCCUUAAUUUAUUGCCUGUAUAACUUGGGGAUUCGUAUUGAUUCUUUAUUUGGUAUGGUUUGGUCUUUUUUGCCUUAAUUAAACCUAUAUAGUUACCGUUUGGCUAAUUGCCCCUAAUUAAAGGAGUCUAUUCUGAACUCCUUAUAUGAUUGGAUUCUGAUUUGCCCUUAAUUGUUGAUUUCUGGUUCUUUUACCUUAUUAACUCUACCCUCGAACUGCUAUAUAAGAACUCUCUUAUUCUCACUUCAAAAACAGAACAUUAGUUCACAAAAGCACACUGACACUCUAAAAGUUCUUUUUCUCUUCUACUAUUUGUGUUAUUACUGAUCUAGCUGGCUGAAAGCCAAGGCUAGAUAUUGGAACUUCAUUUGCUUUAUAUUCUACACCCUUUUCUUGCACUGGUAUGUCUCUAGUUAAGUUUUUAAAUCCAACCCCUAUAUGUUUCAUUCAUGCACUAGUUCAUCAGUUAUGAGUUCAACUUGUAUUCUUGACUACUUCUCUGCUCAACAUGUCUAAACUCUGCCUGUUCAAUGUAUUCUUUAUAUUCUGCACUCUUUCCUGGUUAUUUCUUUGCCUAGCAUGUCUAAAACUCUGUCAUGUUCAAUGUAUGCACUCUUUCCUGCUUACUUCUUUACCUAGCAUGUCUAAAUUGUAUGUUUAAUCAUGUUCAAGACAUGCCAACUAUGAUCUAUGUCUUAACUACUUACUGUCCAUGAUUAGCAUGUUGAGUCUCUAAGACCCCAAGUGUUUUUAUGCAGUUUGUUGACUAUAUGUUUCCUCUAUACCCUAUCCUUGUACCCCAAUGUGUCUCUUAUGUGCCCCAAUCCCUUUAUCCCUCUGUGAGAUCUGUUUGUUAAGUGUUUUCUGAAUUUGGAUAUUUUUAUGACCAAUUGAUUGCCUACUGUUUUGGUACUCUUCUCAAACUUUCUUUUACCACCAAACUAUUUCCUAUUUCUGAAAAACCUUUUCCUUCUAAAGUAAUCUCUGUACUAUUUUCAAAACCUUUUCAAAACUAUGUCAAGAACUCUCACUUCACUCUUAGAAUACUAGGUUCAACCCCUCUGAUAUGUGUACUGCCUUGAGAUCCUUGAGAUCUCUAUGAACUCUGGCAUGUCUGAGAUAGCCUUACUACAUUGCACCUAAAUCAGUUAUUGUUUGAGAAAAGGUCUAGGUGUGAGCACUGCCCAGGAUCCUUGAGGUCCUUAGGGAAUUCUGACAUACCUAGACAUAAGUUUGGUUGUGGAACUUUGGGCAUUUGAGGCUAUUGGAGGCUGGGAAGUCAUUUGGUAGGCUCCCUAUAGAUUAACUCCUAUAUAUUUAUGUAUUUUUAUUUAAUUUAUUGGUCUAUAAUAAUUUUGUAAACAGACAGCGGGGUGAUUAGUGAAAAGGGGAGGGUAGUUAUAUAUAUUGGGUAAAUUAGGUAGAUAACAUGAUUAUAGGGUCCAUGUUGAUUCAAAUGCGUUUGUUAUGUUUGCUUUACUUCCACACAAUUAGAAACCAUGUCUAUAGUAUCUAAAUGGCUUUAAUAAUAGAGAUCAUGCAUAUAUGAUUUAAAAUCAACUCUAAUAGAAAUCAUGCCUAUAGAACUUAAAACCAAUUUAGCUAAAUAAAUCAGUUCAAAUUCGUGUUUUGAAUUGGCCUAAUUAUUAAUCUGUCAGUUUCUUUAACAAGUUUUCAAACACUACCUUAAAACUAAUACUGCUAGAAAUCAUGCCUAUAUGAUCUCAAGUUGUCGAUUAAAAAUCAUUCUACUAUUUUAUUGCAUUCCCAGUCACUAUAGAUACCAUGCUUUUAGGACGUCACUGUUUGUGCAUUUAGGCAAGCCUCUAGGGCGAUUAAAAUCCUUCAACUACAAAAGCUGCGCUUUGUUAUUUAAGACUGUUCACAUUCACAGGUCUAAAAUCAGUAAGCAAACUAAAUAGGUCUUUGACGCUUGGUCCUAAUUUAAUAAUGUACAAUCCCUGCUCAUCUAGAUAUCAUGUUCUAGGAUUUUCUCUUAAAUACUUGACUGUUGUUGAAGACGUGCACUUACUUGUUAUAUUUGUAGAGGUGACUGUGAGCCUGUAAUUUGUUCUAUUUAAAUGCAGUCCUAAUUAUUUUUGAUUGACGCCUAUACUUUUAUCCUUUAAAACCUUAGGAAGUUCUAGAACCACCUAAACUAGAGGUCUUAAAUACCUCCAGGACCACAAGGAAGGGACAGGUAGUGCACGUAUAGGACAUAUAUCAAGGAUAUUAGAACGUUUUAGGCUAUGACCAAGGGAAGGGAAUUGAGUAGUAAGGAUAUGAUGACUACUUACUAAUGUCACGUGUAGCCCCUCAUUGAGGAGUGAUUACCGGGCAUUGUGUGGGGUGAUCUUAUAGGAAAACCAACCUAGGACCCCUCUUUCCCAAUUCCCGAUGUUUAAACUUUACUUUUCUUUAUAUAUGUGCAACUUGUUCGAACCUUUUCCCCUGUUCCAUUACUUGAGUCAUGUAUGUGCUUAACAUGCCUUUAUUUGCAAGUAUGUGUUUAAACUAUUUAUUUAUUAAAAGGACUAAUUCACAUAAGUACAAGUUCGGCCAGGAGCCACCGUUGUGGACCUAGAGGGGUGCCUAACACCUUCCCGUCAAAACUCUAGUUGUAGGUGGAAACUCUUCAAAAUACACAAAUUCCAAAAGGAAAUGAGUCAUUACUAUCAUGAACGUCAAAACCCGGACUUUCUCCGUGGAGAAAAAAAUGGGGGCACGAUAGUGAUUAGUAUGUUUAAUCUAUAAUGACAUGUCUACUACUUUAUCUAUCAUGUCUCAACCUGUUUUGUUCUAUAUUGAAUUAUCAUGUCUAAACUAUGAGUGGUUGUGUGGUGUUUUCCUAGUCUGUUCAUUUAAGUCCUUUCCUACUCUGCUUUACUGAUGAGAUUAUGCUAAGUUAUCUAGUCUCUCAAUGUAACUCUAGUUGUACGUUUGGUCAUGUCUAGGGUUUAUGUGUUUUCCACAUGUCUUUACUAUAAUCUUUGCUCCAUGUCUCAAUCACCUACCCUUGUAAAUAACUUAUUAAUUCUACAAACUCUUGAGAAUUUUGUGCAUCUUGUUACUUAUGUGCUCCAUUAUACACUGAGGUGUAUUCUAGGUGUCUUCAACCCCUCUCUCCCUAUGUGGAAUCUGUUUGCCAAGUGUUUCUGAAUCUGGUAGUUCUGUGAUUUGUGUUCUGAUUUCAAAAGUGUUUUCACACUUUUCUCAAACUGUUCUACCACCAAACUAGUUCUUAUUUUCAGAAAACCUUUUCACUCUUAAGAGUCCUCUUUAUACUGUUUUACCAAAACCUUUUCAAAAUUAUGUCAAAUACUCUCACUUUACUCUUAGGUUAUUAAGUUCUGCCCCUCUAGUAUGUUUACUACUUAGAGAUCCUUGAGAUCUCUCUGAACUCUGGGCAUAUCAGGGUUGGCUCUUCCACACUGCACAUAAUCAGUCUUUAUUUAAGAGAUGUCUGGUGUGAGCACCGCCCGGGAUCCUUGAGGUCCUUAGGGAACUCUGAUACACCUGGACACAAAUUUGGCAAUAAAAUCCUUGGCAUUUGAGACUACUGAAGGCCUGGUACUCCCAGGUUUGCUUUGGGCCUACAUUAGGCUCCCUAUAGUUUAAUCUAUAUUGCAUUUAUGUAAUUUAUUCUAUCAUGAUCUAUAAUAAUUAUUUGUAAAUAGAUAUUGGGGUAACUAGUGAAACGGGAGGGUAGCUAUAUGGUACUGUGGGUAAUGUUGGGUAGAAAUCAUGUUUUUAGGCUUUACAUUAUGCAAAUCUGCACUAGAAAUCAUGUUCUAGGACUGGUGUGUCUAUUUGCAUUCAAACCAUGUUCAACCUACGCAUUAGACAUCCUGUUCUUAGGGUAUUCACAUUUAUUGCUUCAACAUACUACAUGUCAUAUAUCGCUAUUCCAGCUUUGAUUUUGCAUAAAUACUUUCACUUAGAGAUCUCACUAUUAGGUUAAUAAUCCUGCCUUAAUAAAAAUAGUCAUCUCUUGUAUGCAGUAGAUACCGUGUUUUCUAGGAACUCUAUUUGCAUCUGUUUGAAUCAUGUUGAUUCCGAUCACUGUCUACAAAAGGUUUAAACCAACCCCCCCCCCCCCCCAUACACACACAUAGACGUCAUGUCUCUAAAUACAAAUUGAUAUAAAGCACAUGUUAUAACCUGCAUCACCUAGAUCAACAUGCUUAUAGGUNNNNNNNNNNNNNNNNNNNNNNNNNNNNNNNNNNNNNNNNNNNNNNNNNNNNNNNNNNNNNNNNNNNNNNNNNNNNNNNNNNNNNNNNNNNNNNNNNNNNNNNNNNNNNNNNNNNNNNNNNNNNNNNNNNNNNNNNNNNNNNNNNNNNNNNNNNNNNNNNNNNNNNNNNNNNNNNNNNNNNNNNNNNNNNNNNNNNNNNNNNNNNNNNNNNNNNNNNNNNNNNNNNNNNNNNNNNNNNNNNNNNNNNNNNNNNNNNNNNNNNNNNNNNNNNNNNNNNNNNNNNNNNNNNNNNNNNNNNNNNNNNNNNNNNNNNNNNNNNNNNNNNNNNNNNNNNNNNNNNNNNNNNNNNNNNNNNNNNNNNNNNNNNNNNNNNNNNNNNNNNNNNNNNNNNNNNNNNNNNNNNNNNNNNNNNNNNNNNNNNNNNNNNNNNNNNNNNNNNNNNNNNNNNNNNNNNNNNNNNNNNNNNNNNNNNNNNNNNNNNNNNNNNNNNNNNNNNNNNNNNNNNNNNNNNNNNNNNNNNNNNNNNNNNNNNNNNNNNNNNNNNNNNNNNNNNNNNNNNNNNNNNNNNNNNNNNNNNNNNNNNNNNNNNNNNNNNNNNNNNNNNNNNNNNNNNNNNNNNNNNNNNNNNNNNNNNNNNNNNNNNNNNNNNNNNNNNNNNNNNNNNNNNNNNNNNNNNNNNNNNNNNNNNNNNNNNNNNNNNNNNNNNNNNNNNNNNNNNNNNNNNNNNNNNNNNNNNNNNNNNNNNNNNNNNNNNNNNNNNNNNNNNNNNNNNNNNNNNNNNNNNNNNNNNNNNNNNNNNNNNNNNNNNNNNNNNNNNNNNNNNNNNNNNNNNNNNNNNNNNNNNNNNNNNNNNNNNNNNNNNNNNNNNNNNNNNNNNNNNNNNNNNNNNNNNNNNNNNNNNNNNNNNNNNNNNNNNNNNNNNNNNNNNNNNNNNNNNNNNNNNNNNNNNNNNNNNNNNNNNNNNNNNNNNNNNNNNNNNNNNNNNNNNNNNNNNNNNNNNNNNNNNNNNNNNNNNNNNNNNNNNNNNNNNNNNNNNNNNNNNNNNNNNNNNNNNNNNNNNNNNNNNNNNNNNNNNNNNNNNNNNNNNNNNNNNNNNNNNNNNNNNNNNNNNNNNNNNNNNNNNNNNNNNNNNNNNNNNNNNNNNNNNNNNNNNNNNNNNNNNNNNNNNNNNNNNNNNNNNNNNNNNNNNNNNNNNNNNNNNNNNNNNNNNNNNNNNNNNNNNNNNNNNNNNNNNNNNNNNNNNNNNNNNNNNNNNNNNNNNNNNNNNNNNNNNNNNNNNNNNNNNNNNNNNNNNNNNNNNNNNNNNNNNNNNNNNNNNNNNNNNNNNNNNNNNNNNNNNNNNNNNNNNNNNNNNNNNNNNNNNNNNNNNNNNNNNNNNNNNNNNNNNNNNNNNNNNNNNNNNNNNNNNNNNNNNNNNNNNNNNNNNNNNNNNNNNNNNNNNNNNNNNNNCCCCCCACCCCCCCCACUACACACACAUAGACGUCAUGUCUCUAAAUACAAAUUGAUAUAAAGCACAUGUUAUAACCUGCAUCACCUAGAUCAACAUGCUUAUAGGUUGAACAAUCUCAAACUAUUCGAACAGUUCCUGUAAUUGUGAUUACGUAUAGUCCCCAUGCCUAGGAAAGCCUUAGGUGAUUAAUGUCCUUAUAUAAAAUUAGAAACUGCGUUUCAAUUGUGUAUAAACUUCUUAAGUCUUAUAGGUUUAAAAUCAGUAGGCAAACUGAUUUGGACCCUGCCAUUGAGUUUUGAAAAUAUCGUUGCAAGAUCUAUGUAUUAAUGUUCACCUAUAUAUCCUGUCCUAGGAUUCUUUCUAGAAAUUACUUGAAUCUGUGUUUUAGACGUGCUGUUUAUUUGCCUAUAUACAUGUGGAGAUAAACAUGAGCCUUUUAACUGCUUUUUUCCUAUUUGUUUGUCCUACAUGUUAUUUGUUUGUCGCCUAGAUUUUUGCGUUUUAAAUACCUUAGGUUUGUCUAGAACUGCCCAGAUUUAGAGGUCUUAAGCUCCUCCAGGACCAUAAGGAAGGGACGGGUAGCAGCACGCUUCGAGGUUGCUAAUCAAACUCGCUUAUAUAACCAUUAAGGGGAGGGUAAUGGGUAGUAAAAUGAUAUGAUGGCCUGCGCGCUAAUGUCACGUGUAGCCCCUCUAGUUGAGGAGGAUUACCGGGCAUUGCACAAAUUGAUCCUGUAGGCUAAUCAACUUAGGACUUUCCUUCCUCAAUUCCUAUAUGUGUUUAAAUUAUCUAAACUUCCUUUUAUUUACAUAUAUGUGUGUUUAAGCUGUCCAAACAUCUUUUACCUUCAUUAUCUAAAUUUCCUUGAUCAUAUAUUAUUUAGACUGUGAAAACUACCUUUAUUUGCAACUAUGUGUUAGGGCUGUUUACUUGUUAAAGUGACUAAUUCACAUAGUUUAAGUUUGGUCGGAACUCAUCAUUGUGGACCGCGAGGGGUGCCUAACACCUUCCCCUCAAGAUUAUUUCGAGCCCUUACCCUAAUAUCUGGUAAUGCAAACUAGUUAUAUGAGUUAAUCGCUCUAAGUGCCCUAACGCACCUUAAUCCGUUAGGUAGCGAGUUUUCAAAUUCAAAUACCCAAUUCGCAAAAGGAAACGAGUUGUUCCUCCAUGAAUGUCGAAACCCGGACUCCACGAGGAAAAAGGGGGCACGACAGUAAACAGUGUCUAUUCGGCAAAAAUAUUCAAAUUUCUAUUAAGGACCGUUAAGGAAAUAAGUUCGGGAAUGACCGCAAAUUUUGAAUUAAAAUGUUGUGAGAAAAUAAAAAAAAAAUCCAAAUUCAAAUCCGAGUAACGAGACAGUGCGUGGGGUCUGCCUUCAACUCAACUGUUUAAAAGGUAGAAGAAGUGCUUCUCUAUAAUAGAACAAAGAUUUUUCUUUCUCUUUCUGAUGAGGGACAAAUCUCCUUAAUAAAAAAGGAAUUUUUUGUAAGUUUUCCAUUUCUUUCAUUUCUUUUACCUUUAUUUUUCACUCACACCACAAGCAAAAAUCCAACAUGAGUCACCACUAGUGAUUACUCUAAAGCACAUUAUAUACGGGUAAAAUCGGAGAGCCUGAUUUUACGAUCGUUAUGUCUUUCUGUAGCUUCACCUCGAAGGUCCGGGGACACAACUCGAGGUUUCGACCUCGAGGGUUCUUUACGAUCGACCUUGGGGCAGCUUAAAUCGAUGGUUAUCAUAGAAAAACGGGAAGUUCUCAUAGCACAUGGUCAAGGCUGACAACACCUACAAGAAUAGUAUCAGUCUGUACCAGACUGCUAAAUAGCUGUACCAGCUACAUUGCUUUGUAAUAAAUGCAUAUGUACUAUGUUGGGACUCCCCCUCCUAUAUAAAGAGGACUCUUGUUAUUUUUUGCACACAUAAUAUCAUAUUCAACAUUCAAUAUACAAGAACAUUCUCUCUUGAUUAUAUUAUUUACAUUUAUUGCUUACAUUUAUUGUGUUUCAUUAACUGUUCUUCAUUUAUUGCUCAUUAUUGAUCAUAAAUAUCCUUCAUCAAAGCUCUCAAAACUGUUAAUCCUUCACCGGCUGUCCACAGCUUAGUACCUAGAUCGACCUCGAGGCCCCGUAUAACCUGGCUCGAGGCCCCGAUUCUCAACCACUCGGUUUGUCUAAACAUACUGCUUUCAAGUUCUUAUCUCAUUUCUAGUCUCACACUUAUCAUCUGUUGCCUAGCAACUAGCAUAAAAAUAAAUCAAGUAUUUUUAGAACAAUAAAAUCAAAUUAAUGAUAAUUACCAUUUUCAAGGUAAACACAUCCGUUUGUUAUAGUUAAGAAUAAAAGUCAGGCAAAAGAAAUGUAUCUCUUAGCUAAGUGAUAUACAUCGUAUUAUAAUUACACAUAUAAUUUAGUUAUUGAAUCAAUAUAACUAUUGUAUAUCCCACCCUUCCUCUUUCGUGACAUGCAUCAAGAAAAGAAAAAUCCUUUACUGAGGUCACUUGAGGGUAACAGGAAAAUCUUAUCAAGAUCCACACAGUACCACAUCUACAUUUAACUCCACAUACCUUGUUUUCAAUGGAAUGGGGAUUAUAAAUUUGAGAAAUUUGUCCAUUAUGACUACCCAACAAUUAUAUUCUUUCGAAUAUUCUCUUACAUUUAAUAUCGCACUUGAGAAAAUAAAUCUUAAGGUGAGGCCGCUUUUAUUUUUCUUUGACAAGAGAUUUUUAUAAUUUCUAUAUGCAUAACUCGUCAUCUUCGAUUCUAAUUGUAAUCCAUAAGAAAUUCGCCCUCUCUCUUUCUUAAAAUUUGCAAAUUAUAGAAGUUGGCCACGUUAAAAAAUAGAACCAUUUUGGUCAGCAAGAAACAGACCUGUAAAUUCUGGAAGGCAAAGGGUGCGUAAAAAUGACUGCAUAGUGGAUUAGUAAUUAUUUUACUUAGUUGCCGUUGAAGAAACAUGACCUAAGGGAUAGCCAAACGAGAUCACAACUCAUAUCUUAGUGUAACGAGUUUGAAUUCUGAUAACACCAUAGUCAUUAUCAGUAAAGUGUUCCUACUCACCAUUAACUAUAUGGAAAAAGAAAAAAGGAUGUGAAAUUUAAGAGAGAAUUUUCUUAUGAUACUUAAUAAAAGAAAGAAGGAUUAACCUAAAUAGUCGUUCAUCGGACCUCUUAAUUAAAAAUAGCUGGAGUGUGUUUGUGGGUAUAUAUAUACGUAUAUCAACUAAAAAAAUAGUGAAUCCAACCGACUAUUUGUGUAAAGACGACAUAAAAAAGAAGCCCAAAAGGCUCUACUUGGGCGAAGUGCAACAAUAGUCACUUUUAAGCCCGCUAUUUGAAAUAUAUCUACAAUUUACAAUGUAUUAAAUAUUAGUCAAUUCAUCCAAACUUCAGGACUAUGUAUCAUGAAUUUGGAAAUUCAAGACUUAGUGUCCUCAAUUUUUGAGCUGCUAAUUUGAAAUUCAGGACACUUUAUCCUGGAUUUCUGAACUACUAAUUUAAAAUUUAGGACAUAAGAUUCGAACUUUUGGACACAAUAUUCGAACUUUAGGACAUGAUGACUUGAAGUUUGAAUUUUGAGGUUUAACCUCUAGGGCGCCAUGCCCUGAAGUUUGAGCGAAAUUGGCUAAUCUCUAAAUACAUUAUAAACUAUGGAUAUAUUUUAAACAACAUGCUUAAAAGUAGCUAUCUGGUAUCAUUUCCACGUACUUCCAGAACAAAAUAUUGUAGAAAUAUAACACUUUUUGGAGUGGUCUUUAACUUUUGACCCCUGCUUGUCCCAUGAUCAGAGUUUCAAGUUUAACAAGUGUUGCCUCUCGUUUGCCCCAUGGGAAACACUUUUAAUACUUGCUAACCUUGAACUUUUGCUCAUAGGGCAAGUGGAGAUAACAAUUCUUGACCAUUCACUUUAAGGGCUAUUUGUGUACUUCACCCCUGAACUUCCACAAGGAAAACCGGUUUUUCGGCCCAAUAAUGUUUGUAAGUACUUAUCACGCCCCGAACUUGGGGGGCUAGACCGGCACUCGGUGCCUCACCUAUCCUUGCGUACCAACUUGCGACUAAGGGACUCUGAACAUUAAUGUCAUACUUUAGUCAUGGGCCAAAUUAUAAGACAAUUUGCAAAAGCUGACUAAACAUCAAUAUAAAGUUGGGCCGACAAGCCCGUCAUAACUACUACAGCUGGCAAAUCAAUCAAAAUAUACAUACAAGGCCUACAAGCCCAACAUACUGCACUAACUGACAGGAUAUGUCUACAAGCCUCUACUGAUGGAUAUACUGUGAUCGGAACAGGACCCCAACCUACUUAUAACAUAUAUACAUAUAUAUACAAGAUUUCCAUAGAGAUCUAGACCCGGCAACUCCGAAGGGCAUGGAGCUUACUGAUCAAGCUGAACUCGGGAAACACCUAAUGUGGAGAUCUACUUGUCUGUCUAUCUGAACCUGCAUGGAUGAAAUGCAGUGGCCCCAGAAAAGGGACGUCAGUACGAAAUAGUGUACCGAGUAUAUAAGGCAAUAUACUGAAAGCUGAAACUGAACUAAUAAUAUAAUAAUUGAAAGUAACUGGGAGUCAAAGACAAUCUGAAGAUAUGCUCACAUGCUGAUACUGACUCAACUCUCUCAAUAUAGUAAGUAAAACAGUUGUCCGGCCUUAUAAGGCUCGGUAUAUAUAACUCAUCUGCCGUAGUUGACUCGCUCAUAGGCGUUCAGGCAUACUAGGCUAUGUAUCUCGGCCAUGCUGGGCUCGCUCAUAGGCUCUCAACCACAGUAGGCUCGGUAUAUAACUUACCAUCUGAUCUGAGGUUGCCCAAUAGGGGCCUGCCCAUUGAUUAUAGCUCGAUGCUAGUGAAAAUACUAUAAUACUAUAUAUAUAGACUCUCUGCUCUCUUGAUUAGGAUAAGACAAUACUUAAUUGAAUAUGAAGUCCCGAUAAGGGAGAAUACUGUAACUUAUGAGACUAGGAUAAUGUAUAUAAAUUCGGAAGUAUGAACUUCUCUUUAUGCCUCGUUAUCAAACAUAUGUAAUUACGAGAUCAUGCCAAAAUGAAGGAAGGGCUUAGCCUUAACAUACCUGAGCCGAUUCUCUUGACAAUCCCUUUAACACACAUCAAUUAUGACAAAUCACGUAACGGCAGAUCAUAGUAGGGAAAUCCNNNNNNNNNNNNNNNNNNNNNNNNNGCCCUAGGUGGAAGUUUAUUAGUCUCUAUUGACUCCAUUGCCAUUAAUUAGAGAAGAAAGGUGGAAGAAAGCAAUAGUGGAAAUUUGUUACAGGUCAAGAGGCUCCGCUAUCAGUGGCAGCCUUGGUUCAUAAAUUCCACAUAUUCUGGCUUGUGGAAAGUUUUGAAGUUUUUUGUACUCAUAUAUAGUUUUCCAAUUUUCGGUUUUCCUAGAAAGAAAAAACAAGUAUGUGAAAAGGAUUUAAGUUUCAUAAAUUGACUGAGCAAUGAUUUUUGAUACUGUAUAACUUGUGAUAGGCUAAGAUUAUAGUUGUAAUUUUUAAACGUUACCAAUUAGAUAGAGAUUUAUCUAUAAUUGCUUUAUCAUCACCUGAUUGUGUUUUGAUAAAAAUUAAUAAUAAUAAUUGUAUAAAUAUUUUUUAUAUAGUAAUUAAAUACAGCUUAAACUUAAACAAAGUUGAAGUAACAGAUCCAAAAAAUUGGAACGCGUGUCUUGCUCUUCCUUUGGUUGUUUGUUCUGUAUUGUCAGAAGUGAAAGUUCGUCUACAUGAUUGUGAUUAAUCGUAACAAGUCAAUGUUUCCGUAAACACUUGGUCUCCAAUAUGUAAUCUAGCUAGAAAUUUUUCUAUUAGAAAUUUAUUUAGGUAUGUGUAGAGUUUGGUACAAUGUACUUGUUGUAUGGGUCCAAAUUUGGACGACUACAGCUACUGACAAAUACGACAAAAGAUGAGAUCUUCACAGCAUGACAUCCUGUGGAGGAUGACGACGACCGACAGCGGACAAAGGACGUAUGACUUUUGCAGUAGUGUAGGCCUAACAUGGGGCACUGGGAAUAUACUUUCGAAUAUUCCCUAUGAUAUGUCCUUUAGGGUUAAGAAGGGGGUUGUCCCUUAUAUAUAGUGAGGAAAACCUUGUAAGGGGGAACGGGGGCUAAGAACACUGAUUGUAAUAUCUUUCUACAUUCAAGGUUGUCAUUUUUAACGCUCAAUCACUCAGUUUCAUGAGAUCAAAAAAUACUAUCUACCGUGUUCAUCCCUUAUAUCUUUUAUUCUAGAGUUUAUUAUACUUAGCUGAGAUUUACCUCUUCAUUUUUUUAAUUGAUUUAUUCAAAAAGGUUCCAAUAUCUUUUGGGUCAAACAAUUUGGCGUUGUCUGUGGGGAUUUCUUUAGCUAAUAUUAUAGUUUCAUCUAGACUCCUGAAAGGGAUAAUCGCUUCUUCCGAGUUUGGUACAAAUCAACAAUGGCAGGUAAAGGAGAUGCAAGGGAAAAAGCCAUAGUAGGCGUCACAGCCAACCUCCUAGACACCAUCAACGAAGAUAGUAGAGAGGAUCACGAAAAUGAAACACCAAACAUCACACCCGGGGGAGACUUCACCUCCUCCGCACGGAAGUGUGACUGCUUCACGCGAAAGGGAAGCCUCCACAUUGUUGAUACCCAAUUUUUUCCUAUGUAUUUUUAUAUGCAAAAUACUUUCAAAAUAGUAUAUGUAUGCAUAUAUAAGUAUGUCUGAGUGCUUUGGUAUUUUUCCUAAAUUUUAAAAAAGUUUUUUAAAUCAAUUUAUUGCCCAUUUUAGCAGUACAAAAAAACUAAUAAUUAUUCCCAAAAUUAUCAUUUUUGUGAAUAACUUAUUUUAUCCUCAUAUUUAUACCAAAAUAUAGCUAAGGUAAUUUUUACGCUUUUUUAAAAAUUUAUUUAGUAUUUUUAAAGCUAAAUUGCAUAUAAUUACAAUUUUAGCCUAUUUUAAGAUUUAAUAGCAUUUUAUAAUUAUAAAUUGAUUCCAGUAUUUUAAUUUACUGGUUUUAUUUUAUAUAUAUAUUAUUAAUUAAUUUAGUACCUUUAAUCUAUUUUCAAAAUCAUUUUACUAUUUUUUAUAAAAUAAAAAGAGAAAAGUGGCUAUUUAAAAUCUAGCCCUAACUAUUUCAAUUUUGGCCUAAAAUCAGCCCCCAAUUAAACCCCAAUUUCAUUUUUUAAACGGACCAGCCCAAUUCAAUUUAACCUGCCCCUGACCCAACUAAAAUCUACCCGACGCAGACCCCCUCUUAUCCUGGCCGUUGAUCUCUGAGAUCAACGGCCUCUACCCAUUCUUGCCUUUUUUAAUCCAAACUAAUACCCUAAUUCCCUCAUUUCUCUUCUAUCAGCCACCUCUAAAUGCUCCACUCCCUCAAACUCUCUCGAAUGUUCUCAAAACCCUAAUUGCCUCCUACCGUCUUCAACCUCAAAACCACCGGAAUCCGUGGCUUCUCAAGCCAUGGAAGCCCUACACUUACCCCUCCUUACUCUUAUACGCCUGGUACUUGAAGAUUCGAGGCCUGACCUCGAAGGUUUUCGCCCAAACCUCUACUGAUUCAAGGUUUCACGGCCAUCUCCGGCCUUGCUCCGGCAUACCAUGGUGUUUUGAGCCUGGUUCUGACUUCUCCGACUCAGAUCUGACCUUUUCCAAAAGCCUUUCUCAUUUCUAGGGAUCUUCUGAAACCCUAACUCUUUGAGGUUUUCUCCGAUCUUUUUAGAUCUGUUAUGUAUCUAUGCUCUAUUUGAGUUUUCAAACGAUUUCCCCAACUUUCUUUCAAAAAUUACUUCCAAAAUUGCUUCUUUUUCGAUUUAGGGUUUUCUGGAAUGCUUAAAAUGUUUCUCUGAUUUUUAUUUUCCUUUUCUUUGUGUGUAUUUAUCUCUACUGUCCUCAUAUGCUUCCUUUUUACCACACAUGUUCUUCUGUGCUUUUUUUCUUUCGUUUUCCUACUGUAUUUCUAUACCAUGCUUCACAUAUUUAUCUCAUUGUGUUUUCUUAUAUGUUCUUUUGCUAUACUUUUCGGGUGUUCUUGUGUUCUUCUACUGUAUUUCUCUACUAAGUUCUUAAGUCUCUUUGUUUUCCUUCUACUGAACCUUGUUUUAAGUUUCUUCUAAAAGACCCGUUUAAGCAUGUUUUCCUCUACUGUUUCUUCUACUCUCAUUAUGCUUCGAAUUUCUUCACUCUGUUUGCUUUGAACUUUCUACUGAAGUUGCUUGUUUUCUCAUGAGUUUCUGAAGAAAUCUCUGAGCCUGUUUUGACUACUUGCUUCCUCAUCUCUGUACUUGACUCGAGGUGGAAACCCUAGAAUUUGGGGGUUCUGCCGAGGUUUGGUUAUGUGAUUGAACUAGGAUUCUGUUUGAGAAUCCUUGACUCUUUCAGACUAAUUUCUGAGUCUAUGAACUAAGUUUGACCUUCUUUGUUUGCACACAAUUCUGAGUUUUAUUUUUAAAUUCUUCUACACUAGACUCUUCUACUUAUUAGCAUGAUAAGUUUCUCUCUUGUUUAAUGUGUCUGUUUGCUUUUAUAUGUGAUGAAUCUUUCUUCAAAAGGGUUUUCCAACUUGUGAUUGAUUUAGAAUUCCUUUUAAUAGGUCUAAUUGAUUGUUGCUGAAUUUACUUAAGUAAAACCUUUGUUCACCUUUUCUGACUGGGUUCAUUCCUACAAAUCUUUGGACUUCUGAUUUCUUGGCUGUUAACUGAUUCCCUUGCCUUAUUUGCACAAACCGUGUACUGUCAAGACCUUGUCCUUAAAUAGACCUUUAUGUUUUUACCUGUAUUAUACUACUUUGCACAAAGUGUUUGAUUAAUUUCUUUCUUUCCUUAAUGGGUUUACACCCGUUUGUAAUCUGAAUCCCUUUAUUAAAGGGAAAACUUGUGUAAUUGAUUGACAAUCGAUUUUCAAACUAUUCUCUUACCUUAUUUAUGCUUACCUUCUACACUAUAAAAGGGCACGACCCCUUUCUCACCAGAGGACACGCUUUUAACUCAACACUUUUACACUUCAGACUUCACAGUUUUACAUUCUCUUCUGAACUCACACUUUCGUAUUCUGACUGCCUGUUGCACUUUGGUUUUACAAGACUACUGUUUUUUUCUUACUUGUUUCUUUAAGACUUAUAUGUUCUAGUUUUAGCUUUAGCAUCAUCCCAAUGUGUUUACUUACAGCCUUUACAUCCAUGUCUACUUUACUAUCUAUGUGGAGUUAAAUGUUUAACUAGCAUGUUAAUUUCUUUUUACCUGUUUCUGCUGUGAAUCCCUGCACCUCUGUUUCCUUAUAUGUGCUUUGAGUUGUAGUUCAAGACAUGGCAAUAUGUAAGUUAUUGUUCAUGUUUGAUACCUUAGGGGAUCCUGACUCCAAAAACAAUGUGUUUUAACAGGCUUGUAGGGUGUGCCAGCAGUUCUCAUUGCUAGGUAUGCCCACUAGCCUGUCCUUGCUUCUUUACCACUUCCCUUUUCCCCUUUUUCAAACUCUGCACUUGUACUCACUCUUAGAUUCUAUGUUCUGCCCCCCUCCCCUCCUGUGAGCCUUGCUUUGGGACCUUGAGUUCCCUCUGAACUUGGACACUUGUGGGCUGGCCCUUCCGCACUGCACUAUGUCUUAAUACUGUAAUGCAUUUGGGUGUGAGCACUGCCCCGAGUCCACUUGAGGCUCUUAGGGAACUCUGACACAUCCAAAUGAGAGAAAGGCUUUGGAUCUUGAUCUUUGGAGUUGGUUUACUUCAUGCUUCAGACAGGAAGUCUGAAUCAGGCUCUCCUUGGUUGUAAUUUUCAAUUUUUUAUGUAUUUCCUUUACUUUACUUUUGGACUGUAAUAACUUUGUAACAAACUUUUGGGGUGAUUACUGAAAAGGGAGGGGUAACCAUGCUUGCAAGGGGUAGAUAUCCUGCUCAUAGGGUUUUCUGAAUUUCUGCAUUCGUAUAAAUAUCUUGCCUAUAGCUUCUGCACUCCUGCAUUCAUAUAAAUAUAAUGCUCAUAGGUUUUUUGCAUUUCUGCAUUUGUAUAGAUAUCCUGCCUAUAGGUUUCUGUACUAUCUUAUAUAGAUACCAUGCUAGAAAUCCAAAUCCUGCAUAUGCAUCUAUCACUAGGCAAACCUGUUUAUAGGGUUUAAAUAACUAACAACAUUUAGAUACCAUGCCUAUAGGAUUUCUGCACUCUUGUUACGUCUAUAAAAAAUGUUUAAAAUCAACAACACCUAGAAAGCAUGCCUAUAGGAACUAUUAACAAAAUCUGAAUCGUUUCAUUUUCUGAAAUCAGUAACAAUAAUGCCUAACGUCUGCAGAACUUAAACUCGCCUUUCCUGAUUAACUAACAAUUUCUUUUCCUAAAAUCAGCAUACUUCUUUUUGAAACCAGUAGAUAUCAUGCCUAUAGGUUUCGUCUAACACUUAGGCAAGCCAUAAGGUAAACUUGUAAACUAAAUCAGAUUUUGUUAAUUACAACCAGCAGGCAGGCCUGAUUAGGAUUUCUUAUCUGAAAUAUGUAAUAAAUCAGUCUGCCUCAGCCUUUUAAGUUUAAUCAGACCUUAAUCACUACGCGCAAGACAUGCUAAACUAUAUGCUUUCUUUGAUUUAAGGAGGUCUGUUUGGGCCUUAUUGCUUUUGUGUCUCCCCAUACUUGUUAUACGUUUUUUUGUUUGUCGCCCUAGUAUUUUUACCUUUAAAACAACAAAUAAGCCAACUUUUCCUCCAUUAUAGUAAUAGUAGUCCCAAGUACCUCUGGGGCUGAUAGAAUUGGGGCGGGUAAUAGCAUGCAAUAAGUAAACGAGACUAUUCCGCACUUUAAUACCUUAACGGGGUGGGAAAGGGUAGAUAUGGAUAUGAUGACCACGCGAUAUUGUCACGUGUAACCCCUCAUCGAGGAGCGAUUUCCGGACAUUGUGUGGGGUGAUACAUAUUAUUUAUAAACCUAGGACCCCCUUCCCUUUACUUGUUUAUUUCGUUGUUUACCUUUCAGAAUUUCAAACCGUUUUUCUCAAAUUUCAGCUUGCCUUUCACUUCUUUUAAUUUUAUCUAUUUGCAACCAUUAUGUGAAAACCCCCUCAUAUUUGAAACUCUUACUUGCUUACUUAAAGUCACAAUUAUAGUAUGGCCGGGAACCACACUAGUGGAUCCUGAGGGGUGUCUAACACAUUUCCUUCGGGAUAAUUUCAAGCUCUUACCCAAUCUCUGAUUUUCUAAAUCAAACUCUUCUUAGUGUCCUAAUGCACUUUAAUCAUUAGGUGGCGACUCUUCUCUUUUAAUAACCGUUAAAAGAGUUGUCAAUGUUAUAAACCCGAUUUCGCAAGAAAAAGGGGGCGCGACAGCAUGGCAACUCCGCUGGGGAUCUUUUAGGCUUUUACCAUUUCAGACUAUUACUGUGGCUUGACAUUUUCUUUAUAUGCCUUUAUUUGUUUAAUACUUUUAAGGAUUCAAUUCCCCCUUUCAACUACAAAAAUGACUUGUCUUUUGUUUCUUUCCUUUAUUUCUUUUACUGCUUUCCUUUACUGCUUUUCUUUAUUACUGCUUUAAAUUAUGAAGAACUGUUGUAUUUACUGCUUUCUCAACGUGCAAAUACAUGACAACCUGCUUUAGUUAUUGCAUAAACAUGUUUUUAACAUCAUAUUCCACUCGUGCCAAACAAAUACCAUAGUAACACUUAUAAUGAGUGAUUGUGCUCUUCCAAUAGUAUCACCCCCCUAAAUCCAGCAAAGGAAUAUUUGCGGUAAAACCAGUCGAUCAACGGUGUAGUCGAUGGUUCUGCGCCUUUCCCUCUUGAGUUGUCCGCUCAAGUGUACCAGUCUAAAACCCUAUAGAAACUUUACUCUGUUUAACUGUGCAUGCAUCAUGGUCAAACCUAGCCGGGUCAGUUAUGUUGUCAACAUAAUGAUCCUUUAAGAUGGCCUUGUCCAAAGUCCACUAGGUUUCCCUAAAACCAAAACGGACAUCAUCACGUUCUGUGCAUUUAUUUGGAGAACUAGAUGCGUUUAUGCUAAUUUUUGAUAUUAAAUAGUCGAGUCUGGUGGGGGUAAGGGCUAACCCUUUUGUUCUGUAGAAAAUAAGGCACGAGGUCCCCUGUUUUGGUAUGAUUAGCAUGCCCCCACUCUUGCUAGACUGGUGGAGGAGUCGUCUAUCAAAUGACCAAAUCAAUAAGUGGAAAGAGAGGGCCGCCAAAACUAGCGAAAAGUUGGAAUAUCUAGAGUAUAGUUUGCUGGAAUUAGAAGGGAAAGUGAGGAAGAGAGUCACCGACUGCCAGAACGCCGAGGGAAACAAAGGAGAACACCUGGCAAACGCAUUUUUACUGGUGAACCUACGCGAACUGGAGGAUUUGAUCAACGAGAGCAUUCAACCUAUGGAAGGUCCUUCUAGGACCAAAUAGAUAAGAAUUUUUUUUCUUUUGCUUUAAGAAAUGUAAUAAGGCCAACGACCACUAGUGAUAUUUUAUUCCUGUUAUUUAGUGUCGAUUUGGGAGUCGUCUACUUUUUAUCAAUAGAAUGAGGCAUUUAGCAUUCUACGUUCUCCAAUUCAACUUGUCGCUAGGCCUACCUCGGGAAUAAAGAGGUUCCCCAAGUUAGGACACGAUUUACAUUCUUGCACUAUGUGUUUAAAUAUCGCAACAUUUUUCUUAUAAUUCUUACUAACUUGUUACCUUUUUGUUUUUUUUUACCUUUUGUUUAUUAUCCCCCCUCCCCAAAGUUUAGUUCGUGCACUCUGACAUCAUUAUCCUACUCCACAAGAUCUAAGGGCCCUCCACCUACUCCUCCUCCUAGUCCCGUCAAAAGCAGGAACAAGGGAAAGAUGGAAGAUUUGAGCAACAUCAGAAAGGAAAACUCGGUUGAACGGGUAGAACUCACUUAGGGUACUCAGGUCUCCAAAGAAAGUGCGUCCCAACUUGAGCAAAAACUGUUGAAAUUUCAGGAGAAACUUGAUCAGGUCCGGAACUUGGCGAGCUUAUCAUUUUCCCUCACCACUCCAGAUGUCAAUUUUCCUAACGCUCAGAACCCCACACCUCCACAAAGCAUCCCGAAACCACAAAACCAUCCCGCUCCUCACCAUCACUGCAACACCUGCCAUACUUCCAACAAUACUCCACUGCACAUCUUAGAACCUUUGAACUCCACAAAUGACCAUUUUUCACACUCAUAACACCCCCAUCUAUGCGGAGACUAUAUCACACUCCACUCAACCCAUUUUAAGUACCCCCGAGUCUAAUAACAAAGACUCACUCAUCAGGAACCUGGCUGUAGAACUCAAGAAGUUGACUAGUUGAAUUCAGGGUGUCGAAGGAAGUAAGGGGAUUGAAGGGUUGAACUAUGAAGACCUUUGCAUACAACCAGAUGUCGAACUACCCGAGGGGUACAAAUCUCCUACGUUAGCGUUGUACAUCACCGUGCAAUGCGAAAAUUAUUUUAUCACUAGGGUCCUGAUUGAUGGAGGGUCCAGGCUCAAUAUUUGUCUAUUGGUAACACUCAGAACAUUGGGAAAGGGUCUGCAUGAGAUCAAGGACGGGUCCAUCAAUAUCAAAGCUUUCGACGGUUCCCAAAGAUCCACCAUUGGGGAAAUCAGUUUGUGCUUGCAAAUGGGGCCUACUUGGUUCGAUGUCGAUUUCGAAGUAAUAGAUGUGCCGGCAUCUUACAAUCUACUAUUGGGACGGCCAUGGAUUCAUGCCGCUGGGGCCGUAACAUCAACACUGCAUCAGACGAUGAAAUUUUAAUGGAAACACCAAGAGGUGAUCAUUCACGGCGAUGGUAGCAAUCCCAUAUACAGUCGCCAAACCAUUCCAGUGAUCGGAGGAAGGAGAAAGAUAGGCGGGGAAACCUAUCACCACAUCGAGCGAGUCAAUGUCGUUGACAAAGAUAAAUGGUAGGACAACAAAAUUGAAAGCAUAUUGAACUGGAGCAGAUAUGAACCUGGCAAGGGACUUGGUAAGAACCUCCAAGGAAUCGCCAAGCUUAUAAAACUAAAGAAACAUGGCACCACUUUCGGUCUAGGAUACGAGUAUACUUGGGAGGAAUUCAACAACUGGUCGCCACCAUGGCAUGGUCCAUACUACCCAUUGGAGCAGCAAAUACCAUAUUUGGAGCAGACUUUCCAGCCGGCCGAUGUUAUUUAUGGGUCGGAAGAAGAGGAAGUACUAGCAGUUGUGAAAAACUUGUUCUUAGAGGACAAUAACAUGGAUUGUUGUGUUGUUCUCGAGGAGGAGGGGGAGGAAGGCCCUUCCAUACUGCCUGUAAGCCGAGGAGCAUGCCUCAAUAACUAGACCAUCAGAACUACCAGAGUCCAGAAAGCUUCGGCCAUUACUAUUACUUAUCUUGAUGAACCAAUGAUUGUGACAUGCAAUGAGACGACACAACAAAUGGACAUAAAUUCAGUGGAAGAUUAUAUACCAGAGGAGAUUGUUAAAGAAGUUGAGAAUUUUGAUAAUAGAACUAAGUCCAACCUAGACGAGACUGAGGUUGUUAACUUGGGAGAUGCAGAAAAUAUCAAAGAAAUGCGCAUCAGUGUUCAUUUGUCACCGUCAGAAAAUGAAGAGUAUACGGAUUUUCUACAGGAAUAUGAGGACAUAUUUGCCUGGUCGUACGACGACAUGACUGAUUUGAGUACAUCUAUUGUGGCCCACAAUCUGCCAACCGAUUUGAUAUGUCCGCCGGUAAAGCAAAAGCUCAGAAAGUUCAAGCCUAACAUGAGCUUGAAAAUCAAGAAAGAAGUCACUAAUUAUGUCAAAGCUAAGGUUCUCAGGGUAGUAGAAUAUCUGACAUGGUUAGCCAACAUUGCUAGUACCGAAGAAGGAUGGUAAGGUUAGAGUCUGUGUCGACUACCGGGAUCUCAACCGAGCCAGUCCAAAGGACGACUUCCCCUUACCGAACAUACACAUCCCGAUUGACAAUUGUGCCAAACAUGAGUUGUAAUCAUUUGUAGAUUAUUUCGCUGGGUAUCAUCAGAUCAGGAUGGAUGAAGAAGAUGCUGAGAAAACGACCUUCAUUAUGCCAUGGGGAAUGUACUGCUACAAGAUGAUGCCAUUCGGGUUGAAGAAUGCAGGGGCCACCUACAUGAGGGCCAUGACUACUAUCUUCCAUGAUAUGAUACACAAGGAGAUAGAGGUGUACGUAGAUGAUGUUAUUAUCAAGUCCAAGAGAGCCGUUGAUCACAUGGGAGAUUUGAGGAAAUUUUUCAAUAGACUGCGAAGGUACAAUCUAAAACUGAAUCCCGCAAAAUGUGAAUUCGGGGUUCCUGCUGGAAAGUUACUUGGGUUUAUUGUGAGUCGCCGAGGCAUAGAACUAGAUCCAUCAAAGGUCAAAGCUAUUCAAGAACUGCCACCGCCAAAGAACAAGAAGGACGUGAUGAGUUUCUUGGGGAGACUUAACUACAUCAGCCGAUUCAUAGCACAAUCAACAGUUAUCUGUGAGCCAAUCUUUAAGGUGUUGAAGAAGGACGCCGCUACCAAAUGGACUGAUGAUUGGCAAAAAGCUUUCGAUAGAAUCAAGGAAUACCUAUCAGCACCACCAGUCCUAGUUCCACCUGAGCCAAGUAGACCUUUAUUACUCUACCUCGCAGUAUUGGAUGGAGCGUUCAGUUGUGUUCUGGGGCAGCAUGAUGAAACAGAGAGGAAGGAGAAGGCCAUCUAUUACCUCAGUAAGAAGUUCACCCCGUAUGAGUCCCGGUAUUCACUAUUGGAGCGCACCUAUUGUGCUUUGACUUGGGUAGCUCAGAAGUUGAGGCACUAUUUCUAUGCCUAUACUACUUGGGUAGNNNNNNNNNNNNNNNNNNNNNNNUAGCAGAUCACCUUGUUGAAAAUCCCAUGGACGGAGAAUACGAACCCCUAAAACAUAUUUUCCUGAUGAAGAGGUAUCAUUUAUAGGAGAAGACAUUGCAGAAUCCUAUGACGGUUGGAGAAUGUGUUUCGAAGGAGCAUCAAAUUUCAAAGGAGUUGGCAUAGGAGCAGUCCUAGUAUCAAAAACCGGUCAGCAUUUUCCGGUAUCUACCAAGCUCAGGUUCCCGUGCACCACCAACAUGGCCGAGUACGAAGCCUGCAUCUUAGGGCUCAAGAUGUCCAUUGACAUGAACAUCCAAGAGUUGCUAGUAAUUGGGGAUUCAGACCUGCUUAUACAUCGGGUCCGAGAAGAAUGAGCAACCAAGAACUCCAAGAUACUCCCUUAUCUGCAUCACGUACAGGAGGUGAGAAAGAGGUUCACAAAGAUAGAGUUCCAGUAUGUUCCUAAAGUCCAGAAUGAGUUUGCCGAUGCAUUGGCUACCCUAUCAUCCAUGAUACAACAUCCAGAUAAGAGCUUUGUUGAUCCCAUUUCGGUAAAAAUCCAUGAUCAACCAGCUUAUUAUGCUCAUGUUGAGGAAGAAGCAGACGAAAAGCCUUGGUUUCAUGAUAUCAAGGAAUAUUUGACGAAAGGAGAAUACCUAGAACUUGCAAAUCCUACUAAAAAUGCACACUUCGGAGGUUGUCCAACAAUUUUUUUCACAACGGAGGAAUCUUGUAUAGGAGGACUCCUGAUUUAGGAUUGCUAAGAUGUGUCAAUGCAAAAGAAACAUCUAAACUGCUAGAAGAAAUCCACACUGGGACCUGCGGUCCAUAUAUGAAUGUCUUUGUUUUAGCGAAGAAGAUGCUCCGGGCUGGUUACUUCUGGAUAAAGGUGCCUCCACUUGAGCUUAAUAUAACAAGCUCACUGUGGCCAUUCACCGCCUGGGGAAUGGAUGUUAUCGGACCAAUCGAACCCGCCGUAUCAAACGGACACGGGUUUAUCCUAGUACCAAUUGAUUAUUUCACCAAAUGGGUUGAAGCAACAUCUGACAGGGCAGUGACUAAGAAAGUCGUGGCAGAUUUUGUCCGUGACCGUAUCAUGUGUCGGUUCGGAUUUCCAGAGUUAAUCAUUAUUGAUAAUGGCUCCAACCUCAAUAGUGAUUUGAUGAAAUCCAUGUGUGAAACCUUCAAGAUCAAACAAAAGAAUUCUACAGCUUACAGACCUCAGAUGAACGGAGUCAUAGAGGCCGCCAACAAGAAUAUCAAGAAGAAACUAAGGAAAAUGAUAGAGAAGCAUAAGCAGUGGCACGAGAAUCUCUCAUUUACUUUAUUAGGAACCGCACCACAGUCCGCACAUCGACAGGAUCAACCCCCUAUAUGUUGGUUUACGAUACAGAGGCAGUCAUUCCCGCUGAGAUGGAAAUUCCUUCCUUAAGGAUCAUACAGGAAGCAGAGCUCGAUGACAUAAAGUGGGUGAAGAGUCGUUGCGAGCAACUAGCUCUUAUAGACGGAAAGUGAAUGAAUGCAGUUUGCCACGGCUAGCUCUAUCAGAAUAGAAUGUCCAGAGCCUUCAACAAAAGAGUCAAGCCGAGACAAUUCACAUUGGGGCAGCUGGUGUUAAAGAAAAUCUUUCCACAUCAAGAUGAAGCCAAAGGGAAAUUCUCUACCAAUUGGUAGGGUCCGUACAUGGUUCACCGGGUUCUAACAGGAGGAGCCCUCAUUCUCGCAGAAAUGGACGGAAAAGUAUGGCCAACGCCGAUUAAUUUAGACGCAGUAAAGUGAUACUAUGUGUAAUUUUUUUGCUUUCCUUAUAUGAUGUAAUUUGAACUACGCCUGACCUGAUUUCCGUUUAAGAGGGGAUACGUAGGAAGCCCUAUGAGUUCGGUCACAAUUCAAUAAAAUUUUCUUUUCCCCCACUAUUGGAAACUGGGGCAGAAUUUUGAGGAGGACCCUCAAAAUUCCGAAGCCAAUUUCAGCCAUUUACCGCAAGCAGUCGUCAGAAAUAGCAACCCAGUAAACUGGGGCAGAAUUUUGAGGAGGACCCUCAAAAUUCAGGAUCAAGAGAGGUUACAAUGUCUUGAACCACGUCGCAGUCAUCGGUUCAUCUAAAGAAAACUAUUCUCGAUUAUGUAUUUAUGUUAUAUUUUUACUAAAUAAUGCAUGCCUGUUACCAAAAUUGCUUUGUUUAGCAACGCUACCCCAAAUACACGCACAGUAUCAUCGAAAUAGAGCCGAGUAGGUCAAGCAAAGUCAACGGGGUACGAACUAACCUUUCCCUUUUACAAAACUCACAAUUUUUCUUUGGAUGCAGGCACCCAGGUCGCAAAAUCACGAAAUAUAUUAUACACUCACAUUGCUCAGAAAUACAACUCUCAGAACCGUCACGCCUAUUCACUGCACACCACAUCCCCAGUAGCCACGAUAUCGCAAUCAGCUAUCAGCUAAGAAAUUUUAUUACUAUUCGCCUUUUAUUUUCCGCAUUGCAUAAGGCUACCAUUCUGCCUUCCGAGACUAAGCCCUGUCUCCAUCUGUAUUUCUCUACAUUGUAUAAGGCUACAAUUCUGCCUUCCGAGACUAAGCCAUGUCUCCAUCUGCAUCUCUCUGCAUUGCAUAAGGCUACCAUUCUACCUUUUGAGACUAAGCCCUGUCUCCAUCUGCAUCUCUCUGCAUUGCAUAAGGAUACCAUUCUGCCUUCUGAGACUAAGCUCUGUCUACAUUUGCAUUUCUCUACAUUGCAUAAGGCUGCCAUUCUGCCUUCCGAGACUAAGCUCUGUCUCCACCUGCAAUGGCUGAAAGAUCGCCACCUUUAUUUAAAUCUUGCACCAGCUGAAAUAUCGCCACUUUUAUUUACAUCUUGCAUUGGCUGAAAUAUCGCCACCUUUUAUUUAUAUCUUGCAUUGGCUGAAAUAUCGCCACUUUUAUUUCACAUCGGUAUCGGCUGAAAGAUCGCCACUGAUUGCAUUUCAUUGGUUGAAAUAUUGCUAUCUAUUGCAGCUCUGUGGCUGAAAGAUCGCCAAAUUGUCCAAAGGCGUCAUUGUUCAGAGGCGCCAUUUUCAUAGCCCGAGAACGUUAUUUCAUGGCAUGAGGACCCAUUUUAAUUUUUGCGUAUCAUUAUUCAAAGGCAUCAUGGUUCAUAGCCCGAGAACAUCAUUUCAUGGCUUGCGACUCCUUAUCAUACGCUUCAUGUCCCAGGACGUCAUCCUAACCGUUCGAAGACAACAUUCAUGGUCCGAUGGGAAAUUGCAUCAUGUUUAAAUUCUUCGCACAAUGUACACUUAUAUUGCUUAUUUGUAGGUAAACCGGCGAGCAACAACCAUCUCAGCAGGAGCGAUCCCGCUCCAGUUCCCGCAGCCCUAUUAGACUUUAACCAUCCAUCCCAACUUGAGUAUCGCGUCCAUCCUUGGGAAAACCUUCAUCGGCAUAUUCCGCCGACGGAUCCUGAACUACAUAUGGCCUGAUUCCUGUAAGACCAGGGAUAUGUAGGCAGCUCAGGAACCAGAGCAUGGUCAAAUUCUUAAAACCAUUUCGUUCGGUCAAAUUGGUCAUCAUAUCUUUACCCGACAACUCUUUCAUCCUUCUCGGGUAAAGAGGGGCAACUGUUGAUACCCAAUUUUUCCCUAUGUAUUUUUAUAUGCAAAAUACUCUCAAAAUAGUAUAUGUAUGCAUAUAUAAGUAUGCCUGAGUGUUUUGGUAUUUUUCCUAAAUUUUAAAAAAGAUUUUUAAAUCAAUUUAUUGCCCAUUUUAGCAGUACAAAAAAAACUAAUAAUUAUUCCCAAAAUUAUCAUUUUGGUGAAUAACUUAUUUUAUCCUUAUAUUUAUACCAAAAUAUAGCUAAGGUAAUUUUUACGCAUUUUUACAAAUUUAUUUAGUAUUUUUAAAGCUAAAUUGCAUAUAAUUGCAAUUUUAGCCUAUUUUAAGAUUUAAUAGCAUUUUAUAAUUAUGAAAUUGAUUCCAGUAUUUUUAAUUUAAUAUUUAUAUAUUAUUAAUUAAUUUAGUACCUUUAAUUUAUUUUCAGAAAUUAUUUUACUAUUUUUUAUAAAAUAAAAGGGAAAAGUGGCUAUUUAAAAUCUAGCCCUAACUAUUUCAAUUUUGGCCUAAAAUCAGCCCCCAAUUAAACCCCAAUUUCAUGUUUUUAACGGACCAGCCCAAUUCAAUUUUACCCGCCCCUAACCAACUAAAAUCUACCCGAUCCAGACCCCCUAUUAUCCUGGACGUUGAUCUUAUCAACGGCCCCUACCCAUUCUUACCUUUUUAAAUCCAAACGACUACCCUAAUCCCCUUAUUUCUCUUCUAUCAACCGUCUCUAAAUGCUCCACUCCCUCAAACUCUAUCGAAUGUUCUCAAAACCCUAAUCGCCUCCUACUGUCUUCAACCUCAAAACCACCGGAAUCCAUGGCUUCUCAGGCCAUGGAAGCCGUACACUCACCCCUCCUUGCUCUUAUACGCCUGGUACUUGAAGAUUCGAGGCCUAACCUUGAAGGUUUUGCCCAAACCUCUGCUGAUUCAAGGUUUCACGACCAUCUCCGGCCUUGCUCCGGCAUAUCAUGGUGUUUUGAGCCUGGUUCUAACUUCUCCGAUUCAGAUCGGACCUUUUCCAAGCCUUUCUCGUUUCUAGGGCUCUUCUGAAACCCUAACUCUUCGAGGUUUUCUCUGAUCUUUUUAGAUCUGUUAUGUAUCUAUGCUCUAUUUGAAUUUUCAAACGAUUUCGCCUUAAAAUGUUUCUCUGACUUUCCUUUUCCUUUUCUUUGUGUGUAUUUGUCUCUACUGUGCUCAUAUGUUUCCUUCUUACCACACAUGUUCUUCUGUGCUUUUUGUCUUUCGUUUUCCUACUGUGUUUCUAUACCAUGCUCUCACAUAUUUAUCUCACUGUGUUUUCCUAUAUGUUCUUUUGCUAUACUUUUCGGGUGUUCUUGUGUUCUUCUACUGUAUUUCUCUACUAAGUUCUUAAGUCUCUUUGUUUACCUUCUACUGAACCUUGUUUUAAGUUUCUUCUAAAAGACCCGUUUAAGCAUGUUUUCCUCUACUGUUUCUUCUACUCUCAUUAUGCUUCGAAUUUCUUCACUCUGUUUGCUUUGAACUUUCUACUGAAGUUGCUUGUUUUCUCAUUAGUUUCUGAAAGAAAUCUCUGAGCUUGUUUUGACUACUUGCUUCCUCAUCUCUGUACUUGACUCGAGCUGGAAAUCCUAGAAUUUGGGGGUUCUGCCGAGGGUUGGUCAUGUGAUUGAACUAGGGUUCUGUUUGAGAACCCUUGACUCUUUCAGACUAAUCUCUGAGUCUAUGAACUAAGUUUGAACUUCUUUGUUUGCACACAAUUCUGAGUUUGUUUUAGAUUCUUCUACACUAGACUCUUCAACUGAUUGGCAUGAUAAGUUUCUCUCAUGUUUAAUGUGUCUGUUUGCUUUUAUAUGUCAUGAAUCUUUCUUCAAAAGGGUUUUCCAACUUGUGAUUGAUUCAGAAUUCCUUUUAAUAGGUCUAAUUAAUUGUUGAUGAUUUUACUUAAGUAAAACCUUUCUUCACCUUUUUUUGACUCGGUUCAUUCCUACAAAUCUUUGGACUUCUGAUUUCUUGGCUGUUAACUGAUUCCCUUGCCUUAUUUGCACAAACCGUUUACUGUCAAGACCUUGUCCUUAAAUAGACCUUUAUGUAUUUACCCCUAUUAUACUACUUUGCACAAAGUGUUUGAUUAAUUUCUUUCUUUAAUGGGUUUAUACCCGUUUGUAAUCUGAAUCCCUUAAUUAAAAGGAAAACUUGUGUAAUUAAUUGACAAUCGAUUUUCAAACUAUUAUCUUACCUUAUUUAUGCUUGCCUUCUAUACUAUAAAAGGGCACGACCCCUUUCUCACCAGAGGACACACUUUCAACUCAACACUUUUACACUUCAAACUUCACAGUUUUACAAUCUCUUCUGAACUCACACUUUCGUAUUCUGACUGCCUGUUGCACUUUGGUUUUACAAGACUACUGCUUUUUUCUUACUUGUUUCUUUAAAACUGGUAUGUUCUAAUUUUAUCUUUAGCAUCAUCCCAAUGUGUUUACUUACAGCCUUUACAUCCAUGUCUACUUUACUGUCUAUGUGAAGUUAAAUGUUUAACUGGCAUGUUAAUUUCUUUUUACAUGUUUCUGCUGUGAAUCCCUGCACCCCUGUUUCGUUCUAUGUGCUUUGAGUUGUAGUGCAAGACAUGGCAAUAUGCAAGUUAUUGUUCAUGUUUGGACUUGAUCCUUAAGGGGAUCCUGACUCCCAAAACAAUGUGUUUUAACAGGCUUGUAGGGUGUGCCGACACUUCUCAUUGCUAGGUAUGCCCACUAGCAUCUCCUUUCUUCUUUACCACUUCCCCUUUCCCCUUUUUCAAACUCUGCACUUGUACUCACUCUUAGCUUCUAAGUUCUGCCCCCCUCUUGUGAGCCUUGCUUUGGGACCUUGAGUUCCCUCUGAACUUGGACACUUGAGGGCUGGCCCUUCCGCACUACACUAUGUAUUAAUCCUGUAAUGCAUUUGGGUGUGAGCACUGCCCGGAGUCCACUUGAGGCUCAUAGGGAACUCUGACAAAUCCAAAUGAGAGAAAGGCUUUGGAUCUUGAUCUUUAGAGUUGGUUUACUUUAUGCUUCAGACAUGAAGUUUGAAUCAGGCCCUCCUUGGUUGUAAUUUUCAAUUUCUGAUGUAUCUCCUUUACUUUACUUUUGGACUGUAAUAACUUUGUAAUAAACUUUUGUGGUGAUUAGUGAAAAGGGAGGGGUAACCAUGCAUGCAAGGGGUAGAUAUCCUGCUCAUAGAGUUUUUUGCAUUUCUGCAUUAGUAUAGAUAUCUUGCCGAUAGCUUCUGCACUCCUGCAUUCAUAUAAAUAUCCUGCUCAUAGGUUUUUUGCAUUUCUGCAUUCGUUUAGAUAUCCUACCUAUAGGUUUCUGCACUAUCUUAUAUAGAUACCAUGCUAGAAAUCCAAAUCCUGCAUAUGCAUCUGUCACUAGGCAAACCUGUUUAUAGGGUUUAAAUAACUAACAACAUUUAGAUACCAUGCCUAUAGUAUUUCUACACUCUUGUUACGUUUGUAAAAAAUGUUUAAAAUCAACAACGCCUAGAAAGCAUGCCUAUAGGAACUAUUAACCAAAUCUGAAUCAUUUCACUUUCUAAAAUCAGUAACAAUAAUGCCUAACGUAUGCAGAACAUAAACUCGCCUUUCCUGAUUAACUAACAAUUUCUAUUCCUAAAAUCAACAUACUUCUUUUUGAAACCAGUAGAUAUCAUGCAUAUAGGUUUCGUCUAACACUUAGGCAAGCCAUAAGGUAAACUUGUAAACUGAAUCAGAUUUUGUUAAUUACAACUAGCAGGCAGGCCUGAUUCGAAUUUUUUAUCUGAAAUAUGUAAUAAAUCAGUCUGCCUCAGCCUUUUAAGUUUAAUCAGACCUUAAUCAGUACGCGCAAGACAUGCUAAACUAUAUGCUUUCUUUCAUUUAAGGAGGUGUGUUUGGGCCUUAUUGCUUUUGUGUCUCCCCAUACUUGUUAUACGUUUUUUUAUUUGUCGCCCUAGUAUUUUUACAUUUAAAACAACAAAUAAGCCAACUUUUCAUCCAUUAUAGGAUUAGUAGUCCCAAGUACCUCUGGGGCUGAUAGAAUUGGGGCGGGUAAUAGCAUGCAAUAAGUAAACGAGACUAUUUUGCGCUUUAAUACCUUAACGGGGUGAGAAAGGAUAGAUAUGGAUAUGAUGACCACGCGAUAAUGUCACGUGUAACCCCUCAUCGAGGAGCGAUUACUAGACAUUGUGUGGGGUGAUUCAUAUUAUUUAUAAACCUAGGACCCCCUUCCCUUUACUUGUUUAUUUCGUUGUUUACGUUUCAGAAUUUCAAACCGUUUUUCUCAAAUUUCUGCUUGCCUUUAACUUCUUUUAAUUUUAUCUAUUUGCAACCAUUAUGUGAAAACCCCCUCAUAUUUGAAACUCUUACUUGCUUAUUUAAAGUCACAAUUAUAGUAUGGUCGGGAACCACACUAGUGGAUCCUGAGGGGUGCCUAACACCUUCCCUUCAGGAUAAUUUCAAGCCCUUACCCAAUCUCUGGUUUUCUAAAUCAAACUCUUCUUAGUGUCCUAAUGCACUUUAAUCAUUAGGUGGUGACUAUUCUCUUUUAAUAACUGUUAAAAGAGUUAUCAAUGUCACAAACCCAAUUUCGCGAGAAAAAGGGAGCGCGACACAAAUCUUCAACAGGAGAGGCACCACCGGUAGUAAGAAGACUGCUGGAAGAAUGGCUAACAAGUGCUCUGAACAGUAUCCUUGAUAAACCCGCUCAAGAUGAUAGGAAUGUAGCACAUGCAGAUGUCACGAUAAACGAGGGAGAGCAAGACGCCCUCCGUACAGGUAACACUUAUGUUGCUGAUAACGCAGGCAAUGAUACGCUUGCAGCCAUUUUCAAGAAAAUGGAGGAGAUGGAAAAUGAGAAUAAGGCACUCCAUGACCAAAUGAGGUAUCACCAGGAGAGAGUUGAUAAAAUACAAGGCGCUCCAAAGUUGCUGCCAAAACACGAUGUUGGUCGAUUCAUCGAGCAACCAUGCAGUGAAGAAGUAGCCCCUUACACCAUUCCAAAGACCUUCAAAAUGCCGCUCUACUUACAGAUAUAUGAUGGUACUACCAAUCCAGAAGACCACAUCAUCCACUAUGUUACAGCCGUAAAAGGUAACGAUCUCUCAAAAGAGCAGGUACCAUCAGUGCUGUUGAAAAAGUUCGGCGAAACCUUAACAGGGGGAGCCUUGACAUGGUACUUUCAACUACCAGCACGCUUGAUAGCAACAUUCGAGAAAAUGGCAGACAAAUUCUUCACCGCCCAUGUAGGAGCCAAAAAGGCAGAGGCUAGGGUAAAUGAUAUAUUUGCCAUAAGACAGAUGCACGGCGAGGGACUCAGGGACUUCUUAGAUCGGUUCAGCAGGGUGAGAAUGAGCCUGCCAAAUGUGUCAAAAGGAAUGGCAGUAGCAGCCUUCCAAAACGGAUUAAACAGAAACAGGUCGAGAGCGACCAGAAAAUUGCUAAGGAGGCUCAUGAAAUACCCUCCAACUACUCAGGAAGAAAUCCAUAACGCCUACUACGCCGAGGUACGAGCCAACGAGGACGAUCUAAAUGGACCAACCCAAUGGUUGACGUCACUCCAAAUCGAAGAAAGGAAAGAUCGUCACAACGACGGUCGAAGAGAUCAGUUGGGGUCCUGCUCCGGUCAGGAAAGGCAUUAACCUUACGUCAGGACGUCUGCCCCCCCCUCCACUACAACACAUAGAUGCUCCUCCUCGACAUAUGGCACCAUAUUGAAACGAGAAAGGUAUGCCUCCACUCCGAUCCACUCAAUGUUUGUGUUUCUCCUUUAGAAAUAGUGUACGCCCUGGAGAAACUCGGUCCAAAGGUGCAAUGGCCGCAAAAGAUGAGGUCAGACCCCAGCACUCGGAAGUCAAGCGCUUUCUGCGAAUUUUACCUAGAAAGGGGCCACAAAACAUAAGAUUGCAUAGGACUGCGAUAGGAAGUAGUACGAAUUCUAAACCACGGUCACCUAAAGGAGCUGCUGAGCGAUCGAGGACGGACUAACUUCGCCCGCGGAUGCGAACAUCCCCAAGGACCUCCAAAACCUCCUUCUCCCACUCGCACCAUACAAAUGAUCAUCGGCGGGGGCGACAACGCAGCGAUCAAUCAUGUCAAGUUCACUACCACACAUAAACUCAAAUGGUCAAUCACCCACGAACGAUAUGAUGACCUCGAAGAUAGUAUCAUCUUCGAUAAGUCAGAUGCCGAUGGUUUGUCAUUCCCUCACUAUGAUGCUCUUGUUAUCGCUUUACGUAUCAUAGAAACUGAUGUAAAAAGAAUAAUGGUAAAUGACGGGAGCAGCGUGUGUAUUAUCCAUCCUCGAGUCCUCGUGCAGAUGAGAAUCAAAGAUAAAAUAAUACCGCAUUGUAUAACGUUGGAAGGUUUUAAUAAUGCAGUUGAACGGACUUUUGGAGAGAUAGUGCUACCCAUCCUAGUCGGUGGAGUCACCCUGGAAACGACAUUUAACAUCAUGAACUAGGAAAUAGCUUACAACGCCAUCAUAGGGCAUCCGUAGAUUCAUGCCAUGCGAGCUGUCCCUUCCAGUCUCUAUCAAGUGAUCAAGUUUCCUACCCCAUGGGGAAAAUUCAGCAUUCGAGGGGAGAAAUGCACCGCACAAGAAUGCUAUCGCAUUGCCCAAGAUUGCGCACACACCCAAUAACUCAAAGGAGCAAAUGCGGAAGCAUAGCAAUCAGCAAUGACGGGAGCCAAACUUAACGUGCGAACAGACAUUAUCAAGGACCCCAACAUCGUGGAAGCAUCCGAACCAACAAUAGAAAAUCUUGAUCCCGUCCUGCUAUACCGCAACAACAACACAAAAAAGUCUUCUAUCGGGCACAGCCUCUCGGAACCAGGUAAAUUUCAUAAGUUCUUGACUCACCAUGCUAAUCUGUUUUCCUUCUCCCAUGCAGAUAUGCCAAGCAUUCCAAAAGAUAUCGCCACUCCAAGUUAAACAUCGACCCCCUAUAUCCGCCAGUGCGGCAAAUGAGAAGGAAGUUCAACGCCACAAUUAACGAGGCCAUCAGUGAAGAGGUCGAUAAGCUAUUCGCAAAUGGGUCCGUCCGGGAAUCAAAAUAUCCUCAAUGGGUCGCCAAUGUGGUCAUGGUGAAAAAGAAAAACAGAAAAUGGCAGAUGUGUGUAGAUAUCACAGACCUAAAAAAGGCAUGUUUGAAAAGAUUCUUUUCCAUUUCCACACAUCGACCAGCUCAUCGACGCAAUAGUAGGACACAAGUUGCUAAGCUUCUUGGAUGCCUAUUCGGGUUAUAACCAGAUACUCAUGGAAGAAGAAGACAAGGAGAAAACCACUUUCAUCACUCACCAGGGAACAUACUGUUAUAAAGUGAUGUCGUUCGAACUAAAAAAUGCGGGGGCGACAUAUUAGAUAUUGGUCACCAAAAUCUUCAAACACCAACUUGGUAAAACAAUGGAAGUUUACAUCGACGAUACGCUGGUUAAGUCGAAGAUGAAAGAAGAUCAUAUCGGUCAUCUGAAAGAAGCCUUCGACAUAUUAAGACGGUACGACAUGAAACUAAACCCGAAAAAUUCACCUUCGGCGUAAGCUCGGGAAAGUUCCUCGGUUUCCUAGUGUCACAAAGAGGCAUCGAGGUCAACUCGAAACAGAUUAAGUCCAUCAAAGGAAUACCCGAAACACUAACCAGCAAAAAGCAAGUACAAAAACUAAUGGUACAGAUAGCAGCCAUGUCAAGGUUCAUCUCACGGUCAUUGGAUAGGUGCCAUAAAUUCUUUAAUGUACUAAGGAAGGGCAAUGGCCUCCAGUGGAAUGCAGAAUGCGUCGACGCCUUGAAGAAACUAAAAGCGUACUUGUCUUUGCCACCUUUACUCGCCAAAGCCGACCCAGGCAUGUGCCUCCUAGUCUACCUAGUUGUAUCUGAAGUCGCGGUAAGUGCAGUUCUAUUCCGAGAAAACUAAGAUACGCAAUCUCCAAUUUACUCUAUCAGCAAAACCUUAGUUGACACCAAAACAAGGUACCCCUACCUUGAAAAGGUGGCUCUGGCACUAGUCGUAGCUUCACGAAAGCUUAGACCAUAUUUUCAGUACCACCUAGUAAAGGUGGUGACAACCUUCCCUCUCAAAAGUAUCCUGCACAAACCCGAGUUAUCGGGUUGUUUGGCCAAAUAGGCUAUAGAACUGAGUGAGCACGAUAUAACAUAUCAAUUGCGAACCACAAUAAAGUCGCAAGUUCUCGCCAACUUCGUCACUGAUAUUAGCGAAGAGAUACUGCCCGAAGUCGAGCAAGAAGCGCUUCGCACUUCGUCUAAGCAAUCCGACCUCUAGGUCCUCUACACCGAUGGUGCGUCCAACGCGUUGGGGUCGGGACUGGGACUCGUACUCGAAGUCCCAACGGGUGAAGUAAUUCGUCAAUCCGUUUGAUGCCGUAAAAUUACUAAGAAUAAGGCCGAGUAUUAGGCCGUAUUGCAGGAUUAAAAAUUGGCCCUCAAGUAUGGAGCUCGGCGGGUCAUCCUCGGCUGCGACUCUCAACUCGUUGUAAACCAAGUUACUAGGACUUUCCAAAUUAAGGAACAAAGAUUGCAGAAAUACCAAACUAAAAUCCAAAAACUGCUGCCAGAAUUCGACCAACACCGAUUCGAACAAAUACCCCGAGCACAAAACAUUGAAGUAGAUGGUUUCGCUAAGCGACAACCAAAAACAUCACCAAGGAGAACGUUGUCACCCUUCUUCACUCAUCAAUAGACCAAGUCGAGGUAAAUUAUAUAAAUUUAACUUGGGACUGACGUAAUCGCAUCAUAUCAUAUCUACAGGAAGGAACACUCCCAAAAGAUAAAAAAGAAGCCAAAAAUCUCUAAAUACAGGCGGCCAAAUAUAGUCUUAUAAGCCACGACCUUUACAAAAGGACAUUCGGCGGCCCGUUAGCCAAAUUCCUCGAACCCAAUCAGACAAGACGAGUGCUCGAAGAGGUACACGAAGGCCACUGCAGCGCCCAUACGGUAACCGAGCCCUCGUUGGGUGUCUUAUUCGUGUAGGAUACAAUUGGCCCACUAUGUAUAAAGAGGUCGCAGAGUACGUCAAGAAAUGCGAGCAAUGCCAAAAAUAUGCCCCUGUGAUACACCGGGCGGGGGAGCUCCUGCACUUUGUCACCUCCCCAUGGCCAUUUAUAAACUGGGGGGUGGAUAUCGUCAGGCCCCUCCUAGUAGGGCGAGGUAAUGUACGCUUCCUUUUGGUUUUAACUGACUAUUUUUCCAAAUGGCUGGAAGCAGGUGCAUUCGCUCAAAUACGUGAACAAGAAGUCAUCACGUUCAUUUGGAAAAACAUCAUAUGCCACUUCGGCAUCCCCAAAGAAAUCAAUUGUGACAACGGACCCCAGUUUGUCGGAAAAAUGACGACUGAGUUCUUCAAAAAAAUGGCACAUCAAGCGGAUACUCUCCACGCCAUAUCAUCCUUCCAGCAACGGUCAAGCGAAAUCCUCCAAUAAAAAAUUAUUAAACAUAUUAAAUAAAAAGCUUGAAGACGCCAAAGGGCUAUGGCCGGAACUACUAGCGUAGGUGCUAUAGGCCUACCGCACAAUGCCGAAGACCAGCACAGGUGAGAUGUUGUAUUCACUGGUCGACGGCACUGAUGCGGUCAUGCCCGUUGAGGUCGGGGAACCUAGCCUGAGGUACUCCAAUGAGAGUGGAUCAAGCAACGACGAAAGUAGGUUACAAGACCUGGAUGAGGUCGAAGAGCGGCGGGAUAUGGCACACAUAAGAAUGGUGGCCAAAAACAACAAGUACAAGAAGGCCAAAGUACGACCACUCAGAUUCGGGGACUAUGUAUUAAAGUCCAAAACGCAAGCAGCAAAGGACCCAAAUGAAGGGAAACUGGGAACAAAUUGUACGGGCCGUACAAAAUCACAGCAGCAGCAAGUAAAGGAGCAUUCCAACUAGAAACAAUGGAAGGAAAGCUAUUGCAAAAUAACAGAAAUGUCGCCCACCUCAAAUACUUCCACUUCUUUAAAAAGACACCACCUAAGUCGUACUCUUUUUCCCUUGUCCGGUUUUUGUCCUAAUUGGGAUUUCUCGAGGAGGUUUUUAAUGAGGCGACGAGGAGGACGUCUCGAGGUUCGAAGUAUUGUUCAUUGCCCAACCUACCGAUUACAUCUCCAGGCUGAGCAAUGAAGGGACUAGGUAUAAUCUCCAUUAUAUGUACGAAGUCGACAUGUAUAUCCGAUAUAUGAAUAAAAUCACUCCAUUAUGUAUAUGAAAUUAACAUCCCAAGGGCUAAGACAAUCGACGAAAAACGAGUUCGACAUCAUUCGGACUACGACGGGAUCUUACUUCGGCGCCAGCUCGAAAGUAACAUCCCAAUGGCUAAGGCGAUCGACGUAAAACGAGUUCGAUAUCAUUCGAACCACAACGGGAUAUUAAUUCGGCGCAAGCUCGAAAGUAGCAUCCCAAUGGCUAAGGCCAUCGAUGUAAAAUGAGUUCGACAUCAUUCGAACCACGACGGGAUAUUACUUCGGCGCUAGCUCGAAAGUAACAUCCCAAUGGAUAAGGCCAUCAACGAAAAGCGAGUUCAACAUCAUUCGAACUGCGACGGAAUCUUACUUUCGUGCCAGCUCGAAAGUAACAUCCUAAUGGCUAAGGCCAUCGAUAAAAAAAUGAGUUCGACAUCACUCAAACUAUGACGGGAUACUACUUCGGUGCCUACACGAAAGCAAUAUCCCUAUGGAUAAGUCCAUUGCCAACAAAGAGAGUUUAACUAAACUCAAUACAAUAAGUUUAGCAUUUCAACAAAGCGUUGAAGUGACGUAACUACGACAUAAGUCAUCAAAAAAAACCAAUCAAAGAAAGAAAAUGACUCAAAGAUGUAUGACCAAAACGACCUCCAUCCACAGCAAAUAUGUUACAAAUAUUUGUCUUUAAUAAGGGCUCAAAGAUUCCUUACAAAAAUUGCAAAGCAAAAAGUAAGUACAAAACCAAUACUACACAUCAUUCUCGGUGGCAUACACGUCUUCAUACCAAGAGUCGGAGGCGAGCCUGUUCGCAUCAUCAGAAUUGAUAUCAUCUCCGUGCGUAAGAAGAUCAUACCUGCAUGGCUCAUGAGCUGCACGAGCCUUGGCAUGUACAUCCCAAAGCUCCACUUCAGACGCCCUCCCAUCAACAUGAAGAGCCUUGUACGCAUCGAGCUGAGCCUCAGCGUAAACCCAUAACUCAUAUAGACGUCGAGGCACGACGAGAUCAGCUAGAACAUAAGAUGUAGAAGGCUGCGACUGUCACCGUACGUCCUUCUCUUUCAAAGAAUCCAUCUUCUUGUUCAAUGCAGACAGUUCUGCCUCCAACCCUUGAACACGCCCCUCAAUCCCCGCUAUCUUAAGUGCGGACACCUCCUUAUACUUGGUCCGCUCCGACCUACAAACACAAAGGGCAUCUUCCAAAACAGCCGCCUCAGAGGCAACAGUCGCCAGUCUAUCAGCACUCACGCCCAGCUCACCUUUAAGCUCAUUGAUCUCUGCCGCCUUCGUAUCCAGUUCGACAGUUAAAUUGGCCACCUUUGCUUGGAGGUCGGCAUUCUCGGCCAUUAACCCCCUGCUUAGCUCAAGCUCAUCUUCAUUCACUUUAAGGGAUAACUCAAGCUUACUGUUACGGGCGAUAGCCUUCAUAAGGUCCUCGUCUCGUUCCCUCAACUCCUCGACCUUACGCACCAAUUGAUCUUCCCUCUGCUUGAGCCCUUCGCAGAAUAGUUGGAAGUCAGGAUACUGAUUGUAGAUGUCGGCCAUCGCACGAUGCUUGGUGCGAUAUUCUUGAUAUUUAGAAGAUAUCUUUUCAUAAAUGGCCGUCCUUUUCCUUUCCUGGCACUCACGUUCGAUCUCUAUGAUAAAGGUCUAGCAUAAAAAGUAAAGUUAAAACAAAAGGACAGGCAAAAAACAAUAACACAAACCCAAUGAGAAAUGAAAAGAAAGAUAUCUACCCGCAAGGCCAUGCCAGAGAUGCUCUAAGAUAACUCCAUAUCGCUCAUUGCUCUAAGCGCCUCAUUCUCAGGGGCAACACAUAAAGGAGCUAAAGCAGAUGCCACCUGAUCAAAGUUCGACAACACGUUGUAGUCCUCAGGGAUAACUAUGUGUCGAUCGGAACCCUCCACUCUAACCUCUAUGUGACUAUGAUGCUCCAAAAACUCGUGAACAUCCCCCGGGUUGACAUCUGAGCCCGAUCCUUCGCUCUCGACGCGUAGGCCCCCUCCGAUGUUAGACGAUGCGCCACCCUCAGCGGAGUGCACAGAACUACCUCCUUGGUAAACCCCUUUUGUUUGGGGAGACCUCCCUGUCAAGAUGGCAUCGGCCAUAAAAGUGGGCACAGGUGCCGUCUGCAACACACCCGUCCUACUCUUACAAGUAUCAACAACCACGCCUUCCCAAGCUCCACCCUCCUCAUUUUCCUCAGUAACGAUUUAUCCCCAUUAGAGGACUCAUCCACAAGGUGAUAGAUCGGUAAGGAAGAGGUCUCUUCCCUCACGACCAUAUCGCGAGAAGAAUCUACCAUCUGUAUCGAUUUAGCACAACCCUCUCGGACGGACUCACUCAGAGUAAAUUGCAUUCCUGCAGCAGCGACAGCCUGUCGAAAUACAGGGACUGGGGCCCUCCGCCUAGAAGCUCUGCGACCUGCCAUCAUAAAGAGUCUUAUCAAUAGACAAUGGUAUAUAGUCGAAGAGUGAUACAAAGGAAGACACUUACAAGAUGAAACUUGCAGCCCAACGCAUUUCAUGAAAGCGGGCCAGUCUCGAGUCUCUGCUGCAUGGGGCAGCAGACGGGCUACCCAAUUCUUUAUACAUUCAGUAGGGUGGGGUGGAUGCCCCAUAGCUGCAAACAAGAAGCAAAUAAACACUAAGGUGAAUGAAGAAGAAAAGAAAGAGUAAAACAAGUGGCGACACUUACGAUUCUCGUUCCAUCGCUCCGGGAACCUAGCGUGGUCAGACUUGAUGUGUUCGGUUCUGACGAAGAAGUACUUAUGCUAAAAUUUGCAACUCGCUCGAUCAUCGAUUCCGACCACUAGCCCGUUUGUCCCACGAUGCCUCAAAUGUACCAUAGUACCCCUAUGAAAGCUGGGUGAAAACAAGUAUAGAAUGUAGUGAACGGUAACCUCGCACCUCGCCAACUCCGCGUGUUUUGUCAACAUCAGGAGUAUUUUGAGCGUGUAUGGGGAAAGUUGCGUCGAGCAAACCAGAUAAAAUUGAUAGAAUUCUUCCGCUAACCGGAGAAGGGGGAAGUAAUGACCAAUCACAAUGGGGUACUCAUAAAAAGAACAGUACCCAGGCCUAUGGACUUCCACGAAGUCCCUUUCCGCUAGAACUAUAUCAACAUGAGCGGGAAUAUUAUAUUUUGCAUGGAGACCAUCGAUAUGGACUUGCACAGUUUUGGAGAGUACGAGGGCAGGAGUAGGAGGAGGAUGCUUAUGAAAGUCGCUUCGAGACAUAGGGUGUCUCGGCAGUAACUCCUCCAUGGUGGGAAAGCUGUCCCCCUCCUCCACCGUUAUGUCCUCACCGCCAUAGGGGAAUGCCAUGGACAACUGGGUGGCGUCAGAAACCCCCUCACAAUAUUGAUGCGUCUAGGCAUCUCUACGGCGGAAACUGUGUUAAAAUAACAGAAAGAGCUAAGAACGAAGAAUGGAAGAAGAGGAAGCAGAGAGAUCGUUGGAGCAAACACGGGAGGGAUGAGAAAGAAUAACCAUAGACAAAAUGGCCAAGAUUUUUUGAAAAAACAAAACCUCCACCUAUUUAUAGGAUUUGGUGGCACCAGAAUCAAAGCGGAAGGCUACAGAAUGGGACCAAAAUCGAAGAGACAAGCCCUUAGCCCUUGUCUCAAAAACACGUAUAAUGAUGACGCACGUGGAAGUGACAUCAUUUCCCGAUAAGAUACACCACUCAGGGUCUUGUUGAGCACGCUAACCUUCCAUUUUUGGCCAAGCCAUGAUGCUUCGUGAAACCAAAUUUCUCCACAGGAGUGGGCGGUGUCCGCUUAUCAAGGACGCACCAAGUCGCAACCUCGACAAGCGGAGGGACUAACCAUAUGGAUCCAAAUUUGGAUGACCACGACUACUGACAAAUACGAAAAAAGAUGAGAUCUUCACAGCAUGACGUCCUAUGGAGGACUACGAUGACCGACAAUGGACAAAUGACGUAUGACUUUUGCAGUAGUGUAGGCCUAAUAGGGGGAACUAGGAAUAUACUUUUGAAUAUUCUCUAUGAUAUGUCUUUUAGAGUUCAGAAGGGGGUUUUCCAUUAUAUAUAGUGAGGAAAAAACCAUGUAAGGGAGACAGGGGGGUAAGAACACUGAUUGUAAUAUCUUUCUACAUUCAAGGUUGGCAUUUUUAAUGCUCAAUCACUCAGUUUCAUGAGAUCAAAAAAUACUAUCCACCAUGUUCAUCCCUUAUAUUUUAUAUUCUAGAGUUUAUUAUACUUAGCUGAGAUUUACCUCUUCAUUUUAUUUAAUUGAUUUAUUCAAAAAGGUUCCAAUAUCCUUUAGGUCAAACACUUGUAUUGGUUGAAAAUUGAACCGUGGAUUGAAAGAAGAGACUAAUUUUUUAUUAGCUCAAUUAGAAAACUUAAAUAAUGUAUUAAUCUUAGGAUACAUAUGUUGUUUAACUAGAAAAAAAUGAGAAACUAUAAAAAUUAAUUUAAGAUAGAUGUACAAAACUAUGUACAUGUUAGAAGAUUAUCCACCAAUACCUAUGAAUUACAACCAUUUUAUGUGUAAGCUAAAUUUGAUGAAGUAAAGAAAAAUAUUUUCUUUCACUUGUCCUUAAGAGAAAACAAUUACUUGAGACUUGAGAGAGUUCCUUUUCUCUAAAUAGAAUGCGGAGAUGUAGAAACACAUUAACAUAUUGAAAUUCUGUAGAUGAGGCGCAGAAAUUAUCUCAACUUUAGUGCUCUAAUGCUUUAUAUACAAAACUAUGGUCGGAUAUAAGUUCGACAGAGUUUGAUAAUUUUUACUCAAACUUAAUAUAUGUAUUGAAAAAUUUAUUAAAUAUGUACGCAAUAAAAAUUGCGAACCUAAUAAUAUAAAUGGUUCAGGGAUCAACGGUGGGUUCGAUGGCAAGUGAUGAAGUGCAAAAAAUAUAUGAUACUUUUAAAAUGAUAAAAUAGUGUUUCAUUCAAGUGGAUGUGACGACACAGAACGAUCAAUAGUCAAUAAAAGCUAACGGACUAGUCGUGUCUCUCAGUCAUCAGUCAGAGCACUUUGGCCAUUUAGAAGACCUUAAAAAAUACUUUUCUUCCUUCUUUUUUUUUCCUCGCGUAGCUCAUGCGUUAACACAAACUUAUGCUCGUCAUUUACGCGACAUACUUAAAUAUCUAGUCCUCUUUUAUGAUCUUUCAAUUUAAGAAUUAGUUGUUAGUUUGUUAUUAAUUACUGGGGCACAUACCAUAGAAGCAUGACAACUGGUAGUUUAGUAAUGAUAAGGCUCACCAGACUUCUACUUAUGACAAUACCUUUAACUAGGGUUGUUCUCAAUCGAACCGUAACUAAUAAACGAACCGCAAAAUUAAUUUACUGGUUUAUUGGUAUCAGGUUAUCAGAUUAAUGGUUUGUGAAUUGAUUGAAAUUUUAUAAUUAGCAAUAUAUCGGUUUAGGGGCGGAUUACUCAAUUUCCUUAUCGGAUAAACCGUAAACCCCGUUAAGAAUUAUUAUAUUUAUAUUUUUACCCCUAUGUAUAUACUUGUAAGUAGAUCUUCUAAGUUAUUGAGAUUACAUAUACAUGUGGUGAGCUCAACAAAGAGUUGAUUCAAGCCAACCGGCUAAGUGCUAGUGAUCGGUAGAGUUCUGGUGAGCCUUAGAACUGUGAUGUAAACUAAGAGCACACCAAACUAUAUAUAGAACCUGGUUCUCUGUCAGUUCCCACAUAACACACACACAUACAUCGGUAUGUAAAUAAUAUAAUAUUUUACGUGGAAAACUUUCAGCUCAUGGGAUUAAAAACCACGACCUACACUUAGAGGAUUUCAACUUCACUAACCGAGCAACUUUAGAUUACAACCUAUUGUAACCUAGGAAUUAAACUCUUAAUCCCUCACCUACUUGCAAUAAGAAUAUUGCAAGCCUCUUUGUAAUAACUCUAUUACAAAGCAACAAACCUUGACUAACUCUAGUCAAGAAACUAAACCAAACAAUAGUUUAAAUAUGUCCUAUAAAGACACUUCUUGAAAGUAGCAUAGGAUUACAAAUGAAGAACAAAUAACAAAGACUCAACAAACCAAAGGACUUAAAUAUAUCUUCAAUCUUUAGAUCUGGUCCUUGAGGUUGCAACAACUAUUGUUCUUGAGAGAGAUGGUGGCUAGCACUUGAGAGAAUAUGAUUUUUGAAUUUGUAAGUGUUGGACAAUUGAAAUCCCUUGCCUCGUGCUCAUAAUAUGUGUGUGUGAGGUCAUCAAGGAUGAUGCAAUAAAAUGUCCUUUAGUUUGGCCUUAGAAAGCUACAGUUGUGCUGUUGUACUGCUUUCAGAAGGUAUAGUGCAACAACUUUUACAGAUGUAGAGUUGGUUGUACGAUGACCAGGGGAACUGAACCCUAUCCGUUCCCUAUGUUGUUCCCUUAUCUGAUUUCAUUGAGGAUUGAGCUAGACAUCUGACUAGUUAUUCUGAAUGCAAGGGAACAAAUUGUAUGAGGUUUAUUAUUCUGUUCUCUUAUGAAGUUUGUCAAGUCAACAAAAUAAAAGACGCAUAACUUAUUAAUUCUCCCCCUUUUGAUGAUGAUAGGCUUAGAAUUGAUAUUUUCCCUAAGAACCAGAUCUCCAUAUUGUUCCCCCUACGAAUCAGCCAUAUUCUGCAUGAGAACCAGAUCAAAGGAACUAACAACAACUGGUUCCUCAAGACUGUUUGGAAAAUCAUCAAAAUACAAUAUAGCAUAACUUAUCAAUUUUCCCCUUUUUUAUAAUGACAAACCCAGAAUUAAUAUUCCCUCUUAGAAUCGGAUUCCUUACAUGUACUGAUCAUGUAACGACCCGACAGUCGUUUUGAGCUCUAACGUAUCGUUUGGCGAUUUGAGGAUAUGAGUAGCUUCACUUCAGGUAUUAUGGCUUGUACGCGUGAUAGGAAUUGAAAUUCGGGAAGUUCGGAGUGGAUUUGGAAAGAGAAUUCUCAUUUCGGAAGCUUUAAGUUGGAAGAAUCUGACUAAGGGUUGAUUUUGAGUAAACGACCUUAGAAUCGGAAUUUGAAGGUUACAAUAGGUUUGCAUGAUGAUUUUGGACUUUGGCGUAUGUCUGGAUCGGGUUUUGGAUGGACUGGGAGAGUUUCCACGCCUAUUGUGGAAGGUUGGCAUUUUGAAAGAAUUUCAUAAAUUUGGGUUGAAGUGUAUUUCAAUAUUAUCGAUGUCCGUUUGGGAUUUUGAGUCUGGUAAUAGCUUCGUAUGGUGAUUUUAGACUUAUACGCACGUUCGGAUUUGGAAGUCCGUAGGACAAUUCGACGCAUUUUGGCGAAAGUUGGAAAAUAGAAGAUUUUUGGAAAGUUUGACCGAGAGUUGACUUUUUUAUAUUUGGGUCGAAAUCCAAUUUUGAAAAUUGGAACAGCUCUAUUAUGUCAUUUAUGACUCGUGUGCAAUAUUUGAAGUCAUUCCGGAUUGAUUUUAUUCAUUUAGGCGCAAAAGAUAAAGAUGAAAGAUUUGAAAACUCAUAUUUCGAUUCGAUGCGCGAUUCGUAAUUUCCGCAUUGUUUGACGUGGUUUGAAGCCUUGACUAAGUUCGUAUUGUAUUUUGGGACAUGUUGGUAUAAUUGGUUAAGUCCCGAGGGGCUCGGGUGGAUUUCAGAAGGUUAACGGAAUGGAUUUCGGACAAAAGGAGCUAUUGGAAUUUUUCUAUUGCAGAAGCUAUUCGCCAGAAAUAUCUGAUGCAUGGAGUCGACUUUGGAAGAUUAUAUCUCACAAUCUGUAAGGAAUCUAAAAUUAUCAAAACAUGAAAGUUGUAGCCCUUUGAUUCUAGUUUCCAGAAAGUUAAACCAUUCAUCAUUUGGAUAUUUGUACAGAAAGUUAUGAUUGAUUGACUGAAGGCUAGUAGUAGUUUAUAUUUGCCCGAAAAUCAGGCAAUGUCGCAUUUCACACAUGCGAGUUGCCUAGGCAGAAUGCUUAAAAAACGGGAGUUAGCCAUUUUUACUCAUUUUGAGUUUUGAGUCUCGAAUUUGGGCGAUUCUAAAGGGAUUUUUCAUGAUUUCGACUUGGGUAAGUGUUCUAUAUCCGAAAGUGAUUGUAUUUCAUAAAUCCAUGUCCAUAUUCAUCAAUUAUUUCGGAUUCAGGUGGAAGAAAUUGAGAUUUUUGUAAAAUCUUUCAAAAAUAAAAAUAUAAUACUUCAAAGCCAAUCCGAUGCCGGAAUUCGAUAAUUUUUGUAUGGUUGAACUCGUAUCAGAAUGGGUGUUCGGAUUUCGUUAGUUUUUCGGGAUUUGAGACGUGGGUCCCACUGUUAAUUUUUUUAAUGAAUUUUAGAUUUAAAUCUAGAAAAUUAGUAAAUUUAUAUGGAAUUAAAUCCUACGAUUUGUAUUGAGUAUAUCGAAUUGUUUAUGACUAGAUUUGAGGCUUUCGAACACGAAUUCGCGAAGCAAAGGCUUAUUGGAAUCUUGAAUUUGGUUGCGGAGUGAAGUAAGUCUCUUUUCUAACAUUGUAAGAGGGAAUUAACUCUAUAGGUGAACUAAAUUAAUAUAUGCUUCUAUUUGUGGGGUCUAUGUACGCACGAGGUGACAAGAGUCCCUACGUAGCGACUAGUUAUGCCUAUGUCCGGGUAGUUUUAGGUUUACACCAUGCCUUGUUAAUAUUUUUAUUUGACUUAUGUUUAUUAUUUGCCUUGAAAAGAAGCGAGAUUGAGUUUUCUUAUCAAUUGCCUUGAAAAGAGUAGGAAUGGAGGAAUUUGAGAUUUUAAAAACUUUUAUUUGAAUUUUGUAUUUUUUUUAAAAAGAAUUGAGAAAUAUUAUAAUAACUUGAGAAAAUAUUUGUUCAACCGCGUCGCAACUAUAUUUCUCGAACGAGGUAAAUUUUUACUACUCUCAUGGAAGCGAGUCGUUCGCCUCGACAGGUUAAAUAGAUGCAUCUAUGUUUCGCGCCGUUCGAUCCUUGGUAGUGCACAAUUUAUAUUUAUAUGUUGGUUCGUGCCAUUCGACUCUCGGCAGCGCACAGUUUAAAUAUUUAUGUUGGAUCGGGUCGUACGACCUCCGCAUGAUUUGCGCAUGAUUGAAUUGGUUGCUUGAGAAUUUAUAAUAAUUAAUAUUGCUUCGUUGGCCCGAGAUAUAAAUUGUUAAAUGAUGAGAAAUAAAUUUGAAAAUUUCUUAUUAAUAAAAGAAUUGUUUACUUACUUCAUGAUAUUGAGCUUAGAGCCGUUCUAUGUAAUCCAUGCUUAAUUAUAUCAUUGAUAUUUUAUUUAUAGCCCAUAAUAAGUGUCGGAGUCGACCCCCUCAUCACUACUUCUUUGAGUUAGACUGGAUACUUACUGGGUACGCGUUGUUUUCGUACUCAUACUAAACUUGUUGUACAUUUUAUUGUACAAGCACAUGUAUGACUGGUGACCUAGUGGGCACAGCGGUGCGGUUGAUACGUGGAAUUAGGUGAGCUGCAUCUUAUGUUACGAUCCGCAAACACCAGAGUCUCCUUCAGAGUAUUUGUAUUUUCUUUCCUAUCCAAAUUUGUAUUCCGAAAAGUUAAUGUAUUUUAUUUUAUUUUAUUUCAUAAUUAAUGCUCAUGCACUUGUGAAACCGGGUUCUAGGAUGAUUAUUGUAUAUUCAUUAUUGAAAUUGCAAAACAUUAUUAUUUAGUCUGUAAAGUCAUCUGUUACUAGUUAAUUUAAAGGAAAUUUAUGAUUUCGAAAAUAUUAAAAGGAUAAUUUAAUUAACUAUUUAGUAUUGGCUAGCCUAACAGCGGUGUCCGGUACCAUCAUAACCUUUAACGGAUUUUGGGUUGUGACAACAUGGUAUCAUAGCACUAGGCUCGCUUAGGUCUCAUGAAUCAUGAGCAAGUCUAGUAGAGUCUUGCGGAUCGGUAUGGAGACGUCUGUACUUAUCUUCGAGAAGCUAUGGGGCUGUUAGGACCACUUCCUUUCUUGAUUCCUUAUCGUGCGAUUUGAUUCCUUUGAGGCUUAUGCCCUUGUUUCCUUCCUAUUCAAUCUUAUGCAAGGUGAAGUGUGAGCACGUAAUUUUUGCCCUAUAUGAAUUACUCCCACAAGUUUAAAACAAAAUAAUUGUUUUUCAUUAUUUGCAAUUUUGUGGCAUUUGUCUGUCAAGUGUUUGCAUUUGUCUGUGCACGUUUAUUUUAUUUAAUUAAUGAAAAAUACAAAAUAUGUUGCAUUCGCAUUUAAGAUUUAAUCUUGCAUUUUAAAAUUAAUUAGUAAUUUAAUUGUCCCAUAGAAAUGGAAAGAUCACAAAAAUAAUUUAUUUCACAAUUUUAAUUUUAGUUUUGAAUUUUAGUAGUUUUCUUUUAAUUUGGGUUUUAAUUAAUUGUGGUAAUUAUGAGUUAAUUAAUCCAAUUUGAUAUAUUAAUUUGAUUUUCAAUUUUAAUUUAGGUUUUAUUUUUUAAUUUUGAAAAAAAAGAAGAAGAAGGAAUUUAAAAAAAAAGAAAUGAAUAAAAGAAAAUUGAAGUGAAAUAGAAAGGAGUCUUAAUUGGGCCAUAUCUAUUUAAAUUCCCCCAGGACCAAUUGAUUUCGCACUAAAACCUGCCCCNNNNNNNNNNNNNNNNNNNNNNNNNNNNNNNNNNNNNNNNAAAAGAAAAUUGAAGUGAAAUAGAAAGGAGUCUUAAUUGGGCCAUAUCUAUUUAAAUUCCCCAGGACCAAUUGAUUUCGCACUAAAACCUGCCCCAAUUCCGGCCCAGACCCGCUCCCAAUACCCGGUCUGAUUCCCACUUGGUCAAAUGACAUCGUUUCGUCUAUUUUGAUCUGACCGUUGAUCUCAGCUGAUCAAACGGUCUGGAACUGCUUCUGUUUUAGUAUUUAAAUGUCUAAACACGUACCCACCCCCUCAGAACCCCCCCCCCAUCUCAUCUCUCAGAACCCCUCAUCCCUGAUAAACCCUAGCGACGUCGCCCUAAAAUUCCUUUACCCCAUAGUAUUUCCUGUUACUGUUGGUUUAAUUACAUUUAUUUUGUUUUCUUUGUUUGAUUGUUGAUUUACAGUAAAGAGUUCAAUGCGGAGUUGAGUAAUUAAAAUAAUUCAAGCUUAAAACCAGAAAGUAAUUGUGUUUUCCCUGAAUUUUUGAUUUAUUAGCUUCUUUGGUUCAUUUGGUCACUUCUGAGUGUUUUGAGCCCUAACGAGUAACUAUGGUCAUCUUUGACCUGGUUAAAGGGUUUGGUUAGUUAGACUGUGGUUUAACCUAGCCUAAGGUAAUAAUGGAGGGGUAAAUAACAGGGGUAUGGGGGGGGGGGGGGGGGUAAUUUGGGUAGUCUGCUUAGGGGAAUCUUGGUAUAACUGAAAUGGAAAUUUCCUAGAAGCUGGGGUAGGGACUUAAUAGGAAAAUCUGAUAGUUGAAUAGGGAUAUCUAGGCUAUAAUCAAAAUUCAAAAAGGGCUGAAGUGCCAAAAACUAAUUCCUAAGUGCUGCCCUACUCCCUUGCAUAUAAAGGCACUUUACCUUGUUAUUCAAGGCAGAACUUUAGAGGUAAAAAAUUCAGAAACUUAAAAUGGCUGCUUCCCAAAACGAAAUUCAGAAAAUAGCUUGUAAUUCUUGAGGUUCUCUAGGCAACUACUGAAAAUUGUGUUAGGAUUUUGGUUAUUCCGAAUAGUCCAGUUAACAUCACCGAAGCUGUGAUAGUUUUUCUGAUUCUGGGCUGAAAAUGAGUUGAGUUCUGGGUAUUUUUUUUAAAGCUGGUUUGGACUUGUUGUUGAGAAAUACUGUCUCAUUGCUGAUUUGAGCUGAUUUCACUGUUCCAUUGGCUCUACUAGCGCUGAUUUCUGCUGCUAUUGCUAUUGAUAUCUCACUUUUUUUGGUUUUCCUGUUCAAUAUCAGGUACAUGGCUUGAAUCUUAUUUAAUGUAGAACUGGAUUGGAUGAAAAUGAAAUGGGAAAUCAAGAUUUAAAGUGUAGAAGUCGAUUUGCUUGUGUUUCUACAACAUUUCCUCGCUUUUAUGUCUUUCAUAAUAUGAUUCCUAGUAUAUUAGGUGAUUUGGAAUUUGAAAUAGUUAUCUUUCAUGCUUGUAUUUGAUUUGGAAUCUUUGAGAUGCUAUGGUAGAAGAUUUGGGCUGGAUUACUGUAUUUUAAAAUGCACUUUCUUUUGGCUAUAGCAAUGGUCAUGCUUAUUGAAGAUUGUAAUCUAGAUUGGUUGCAAUGGCUAUGUAUAGGAUAGGGAUAGAAUGAUAACAUUUUAUAUGCUGUUUGGAGGACAACAGGAAAAGUUAUUUUGCUGUAAAAUAUUCUGCUCAUGAACCUGUGCUGAAAGUGAUCUUAGUAGUUUGUUAAUGUUGUUUGAAAUUGACAUGAGCCACCUUAGGAUUCUAUGCUUUGAUAAGUCUUUGUGAGUUUCUUCGCCGUAGCAUAUAUUUAAAGAAGCAAUUUAAGCUAAAGUAUUUGCCAAACUCUUAUUGAAUCUGCUGAAGACUUAUGUGGUAAUGGUCUAACGAUUAUAUGGUAUGGAAAGCCAUGUUAGGUGCAGCCUGCAUUUCAAAGCUGGUAUGUUGCUCGAUUAAAGACUCGAUCUCGAGUUUUAUCGCUCAGCUCUCCCAUUUUGGGCCUACCUUGGGCCUGGAACUGAAAUCAGCUCUUGCUUCUUCACAUGAAAGGCCAGUUGGUUGAGCCUAAGGCUCUUUUCGGGCGCUGCCCUCUUACGGUUUUUUUAAAAUCUAAAAUUAGGCCCAAACCUCUAAGAAUGAAGUACAGAUAGUCUCUUAAUUAAUAAUUUGGUUUAAGCAUUAAUUUAAAAGUAGUUGUAGGUUCCUUAAGCUUAUUUUAGUUAGUCUAAUUAGCCAGGGUGAGCCAGACUAGAUAGCAUAAAUAGUUCAUGGCCCUCCGAAAAUAAUUUGAGUUCUUUCCUUUAAAUUAGAAUUGAGGUGCGCCGUGCCAAACAAAAAUGACAAUUGCACGACCCUCGUCUUAAUUAAUUUUGUUUUGAUCCAUAGAAUUCGAGGCGUUUCACUUAGUUAAAUUUCCAUGACCCUCGCAAAAUUACAAAUGCGUAGUUGCUUUAGGCACGUUGUUUUAAUAAUUUACCUUCCUAAACUCGGGUGCGCAUUUAUGUGACCCAAAUCCAAAUUUCAACGUUAGAUAAAAUGUGUUGCGGACUGCAAGUGCAUUUAUGUGACAUGGUUUGAAACAUAUUUUAAAUGACGUUACAAUCUUUCUUUAAUUAAUUAAAUAAAAGCGGUUAAAAAGUUAAAAUUGCACAUAGGUUCAAAAUGUUUUAAAAUCAGAAAAUUAUGCCAAUAAUAACAGUUGAGCGACCGUGCUAGAACCACGGAACUCGGGAAUGCCUAACACCUUCUCCCGGGUUAACAAAAUUCCUUACUCGGAUUUCUGAUUCGCGGAUUGUAAUACAGAGUCAAUCCUUCCUCGAUUCGGGAUUUUAAACCGGUGACUUGGGACACCAUAAAUUAUCCCAAGUGGCGACUCUGAUUUUAAUAAAACAAUCUCGUUUCGAUCGUCACUUAAAUUGGAAAAACUCCCUUAUACCCUCUCGGGGGUAGUGAAAAAGAGGUGUGACAUGAAGUGCUUGCUAUCAAUUGGAAACUGAGGAAUCAUAAUGGUACUACAGAUGUGGUGCAGGAUGUUUCUCCCUGCAUAAUUGAUCAUGCUAUUGUCGUCGCCUUGCGAAAGGUUGUUCUGUCGUUUCAGCUUAGUAUUAGUAAUUCAUAUGGUGUUGAAGUUGGGCACCGAUUGUUAUGAUGAUCGUCCGUUGAUAUCGCACAGUGUUGGUGCAACGGUAGGGUGCUUACUUAUGGAUCGUGGCAGUCGGGCUGUAAAUGUUCAGGUUUGGGUGGAUGGAGUAACGAGACUUGGUAUUUUCGAGCGUGGUGAAAUUCUCAUUUAUAUUAAGGUGUCGUUGUCCUUGUUUGAAUAUAUUAAGUUUGCUAGUGUUAUGUCUUCAUCAAUUUGCUUUUGGGAUAGGGUAUCGUGAAAUGUUGCCGGAGAAGUGGGUGUUAGAGAUAACAGAGUGUAACAAUUUCAGAAUCAAAUGGAUAUUUCUAAUGUUGACUGCUCGAGAAAGAUGGUCUUCGGGAAGGUCUAAAGUUUGUAGCAAUCUAUUGGUUCAAGUGCUACAGAGAUAGAUUUUGAUUUAAGGCAACAACUGGGCAACGAAGGAUGAGGAAGGACAUGUGGGAGGUGUCUUGUGGUGGUUAAACUUCUAGAAGGCCAAGUGUGAGAAGUAGGAGUCGAGUAGUUUCUUAAAGGAGUGAGUUUGAUCAAAGUGGAAGAGUGGCUGAGUAGCAUGUGGGUUCUGUGAUAGGAUAGCUACACGUCUUGAGAAAGGUUUAGAGUGAUUUGGGAUUCAUGGUGGACAGUGACUAGGUCUACAGGCUUAAUUUGGCAUAUUUGUUGCUAUGCGGAGGGUUGGAUACGACGGAAAGGAGUUGCUUGAUAUGAAGACGGAUACAAUAUGAAUUUGGAUUCGAAUGCAUCAUUGCAGCUUUAGUUGAUGUCAAUGGGGAGUGAACAAGUUUGUACAACUGGUGAAUGGGAAUAGACCCGGGAUGGUUUUUGGUUUCAUAGUAAUUGUGCUCGGUGCAACAUCGUUGGAAGGUUUCGAGGAAUUUGGCGGCCCAAUAGCGCGAGGUCAUAUUAGAGAGGAAGAACGAACCUUGGUGGGUUCCUGAGUUAGGAAAUGGUAGCUUCGAGCUAAGUGGGAGAGGCCCACCACCUACGAUUGGAUUGCUUGGUUAUCUAUUUGUGAGGUUUCUGGUUAUCAGUGUAUUGGUGGGUUAUUACGAUUAAGGAAAGAAAACAUCAAUGGUGAUUUGAGCAAAUGAUUUGAGGAAUGUAUGCUAUAAUUAGCUUUAUCCAUUCAUGUUCUGGCUUUGGGAAGACUCAGGAUUUAUGCUUCAUGUAGAGGCGAUUCUAAAAGGAAAGUGAUUCAGCUAGGUAUUUCUUUGAGAGGGUGUUCAUGUGCUAGCAGAGCCUGGGAAUUAAUCAUAUUUGGAAACAAGUCAGAGUGGGUGACUCUCAAAAACUGUGCUAGUGAACCCAAAAGUUAAAGUGCGGUGCAUGAGGAUUUCGAGUCUGUGGUAUGGUUAAGUAUCGAGCUUUUGCAGUGGAUUAUGGAAGGGGCUUGUAGUAUUCUAUGUUAUCUUGGUCUGUGGUAUAGUAUUGGAGGAAUGGGAGAAAAUAGCUCCAGAUUCAUAGAAAAAUUGUCAGAAUGGGUAUACUAGUUGGAGAUGCAAAUAUGCGCACAAGAAGGGUAUGAGAUGGUUCAUGGGUUUUUAGACAACAUGGUCUCGUGAAAUAAGGUCACUCAGGAUAAGUGUAGAUUUGGGUUUGUUAUGUUUAGAAUGGAGCUAUUAUUAUUCCUAAGGCAAGUCCGGAGUAAUUUAGAAGAAGUCAGAUCAGUUAGCAAUGGUUGAAUUGGCAUGAUGGUGGCAGUGAUCAGUUCCUUCAGCGUUUUAAGUCAUGCAUGUGAUUUAUGGCGGUGCGUACGAAGAUUGACAGCCGCCGUAAUUGAUUUUAUUUGUAGGCAUUCGAGUAUUUUGGCUGGUUAUGUAUAGAUGCAUCUCGGAAGAGUUAGGGUGGUUUAGGUCACUAUUGGAGAAUUGUGUUUUCUAUGGUUAUGGGGAUUCAACCAUGUGUUGAAAUGGUUCUCAUGAAAUGAGUUAAGUGAAGGGUUUCUAUAUGAUGAAGUGUGUACCCUAUUAGUGGUUGAAGAGUUAUGAUGAAAUUCUCGUACUUUUGCAUAUUGGCAUAAUUGGGUACAGUGAGUAGCAUGGGAAUUUGAAGUUCAGGAUCAAGGUUGCGGUUCGGUGUUGACAAGAAGUCACAAGCUCGGAUGAGCAGGAAAGAAUUCAGAUGGUUAGAGUAAGCUAGUAUUGUCUUUAGAGUCGUUGAGAUCGGUGUCAUGUGUAAGAGGCCUUGUGUACGGAUUUGUGGGUCCUAGAUUUGCUUUAAAUCAUUAGUGUGGCCGGUGGUAUGGAUCUGCAGACUUGUUACCUAGUGCGGAAGGUCAUGGGAGCGUAUCCCACAGGAAGAUUGUAUAAGUGUGACAUGUAGUCACUUGAUUUAUUGAAGAUUGAAACCAAGUAGGGAGAUUGUGGUACUACCGCUAAUGUGAGAGUUUAGGCCUGGAAGGCAUUCUAUUCAUUUGGUUGUGAAAGGGGUUUUUUUUUGUUCUGGAUUUGACGGUUGUUUUUGUGUGUCACGGGAAAAAAGGUUAACGUGGAUCCUUGAAACAUUAUUAGCCUAGUGCGGUAUUGUCAGAAUCGGCUUGAGGUCCGUGGAUGGACCUAAAUGUGAAUGUGGGCUCUAUAUCAUGUCGGAUGUGUUCAUUUCAGCAUAGCAUUGUUUAUGAAGGAGUCUUCGGGCCUUGGAUGUUACUUCUAUCGUCAUCUCUUUCAUGUAAUACUCUAUUGUGUCGUGUGGGUUGUGAGGUGGUUUAAUUACUCAAACUUGUAUCGAUAUUCCGUGUAGUUUAUGGUGAUAUAUGAGCAGGAUGGCUCUCGAGAUGCUGGUCAUUUAUUGCACCUUAGUUGGGCUUGAGUUACGUAGCUUAUGGCGCUAUCCAUAUCCCUAGGAUUUGGAUUAUGCACUUCGCAUGCUUGUGGUUGAUAUUCGGGUAUUUUGCAGGUAUGAGCAUUUUAGCUCGAUAAGUAUUUCCUUAUAGAUUAUUAUGUGUGGAUCGGGUGGCACACCGCCACAGGUAUGUUGUUUGGAUCGGGUUGAAUACCGCAACAAUGUGAUGUUGAGUACAGUUUCCCAUAUCUAUUCUUGUAUGUUUUGCUUCUCAUUUUCUGAGUGAUGGGCUUAAGGUCUUUUAAGCUAUGUUUUGAUGAUCUAACAAACUUUCUAUAUAGAACCAGAUAAAAGACCUGAAGCAUGCCUGGUAAAAUCAUUCAGGGGAAACAUAUGUGGUUGCUGAACCAGAUAAAGGACCUGAAGCAUGCCUGGUACAAUCAUUCAAGUUAAUCAACUAAAUAUAAUCUGGGCAAUGUGCCUUGAAAUUCACAAGAACCAGAUUAGGGACCUGAUCCCUUGGUGUUCCCCUAACAGAAGUAUAAGUCAACUAUACAACUGGAAAACAACUGCAAAAAGUGACUGCCUGCAAUUGUACACGCGACAGUGCAGCAGACGGUGCAACAGUCACUUCCUAUUUGGAAGAGGCAUGUACUAACCAAGAUUUGAUAGUACCAUUGUGAAUUGACAUCACCAUGGUGAUGUUUUUUGUAGUAUAACAACCUGGUGCAAGGCACAAGAUAAUGACUUGAGCAUUUUUAGUGAUAUUGUUUCAAGUGCUAAAAUCACCUCUCUCAACAAAGCUGUUGCAGCCUCAAGGACCAGAUCCAAAGAUUGAAGAUAUCUUAAGUCCUUAGGUUUGUUGAGUCUUUGUUAUUUGUUCUUCAUUUGUAACUCUUAUCUUGCUUUCUUAGAAGUUAUGUUUUAGGAAACCAAAAAUCCGUAAACUCUCUGAGUUUAUGUUGUGAUUAGGUUUAGUCAUAAGUUAAAGUCUUUGUAAUUAGAGAGUGACAAAGUGGCUUGUGAUAAGAGUAUCAAAGUUAGUUAAAGUCUUUGUAACUAGAGAGUGACAAAGUGGCUUGUGGUGAGACUACCACAAGUUAGUUGGGUUGAAUUCUUUGUAAUGGAGUCUUUACAAAGUGGCUUGUAAUAGUUGUUUACAAGUUAGUGAAGUUAAAAGCCUACAUGUGUAGGUCGUGGUUUUUGUCCCCUUGAGUUGGGAUUUUCCACGUAAAAAUUAUGUGUCUCAUUUACAUACUGGUUCAGUAGUUAGCACUGAGGGAACUAAUAGACCAAAUCUCUAUACAGUUUGGUUCAUUAGUAUUUUCAGUGGAAACUCAUAGAAGACCAGGUACUCUAUAGUGUGGUGGACUCAUACAAACUAACAAUUUGUAUCAGAGCAAGUUCUUUAUAAAAGGUAAACACCUAGAAAGGAUCUUAAUGGCUGCUCCACCUAACUUUGAGGAAGGACAAUCAACCUACAGACCCCCUAGAUUCAAUGGUCAGUAUUACGGCUGGUGGAAGACUCGUAUGCAUGAUUUCAUAAUGGCAGAAGAUUCAGAGCUAUGGGACGUCAUUUGUGAUGGUCCACAUAUUCCUAUGAAGAUGCUUGGAGAAACUGGACCAAUGGUGCUGAAAAACAGAAAAGAAUACAGUGAUAUUAACAGAAAAGCUAUAGAAAAGAACUUUUGUGCCAAGAAAAUCUUGGUAUGUAGUAUAGGACCUGAUGAGUACAAUAGAAUCUCAGCAUGUGAUUCUGUUAAGGAAAUAUGGGAAGUAUUGCAAACGGCAUAUGAAGGAACUACUUAGGUUAAUUAGUCCAAGAUUGACAUGCUCACCACCGAGUAUAAGCUCUUCAGGAUGAAGGAUGAUGAGUCUAUAUAAGAUAUGCACACUAGAUUCACAUCUAUCAUAAAUGAACUUCAUUUACAUGGAGAAGUUAUUCCCAAAAACAAACUUUUAAGGAAAGUUCUCAGUGUUCGACUUGACUCUUAGGAGAGUAAGGUGAAUGUUAUCACCAAAGCUAAAGAUUUACAAACUCUAACCAUGGAUGAGUUGAUUGGAAAUCUGAAGACAUACGGGAUGAAAAGACAGAGAGACAGUGAAAGAAGAGAGCCAAAGAAGGAGAAGAACCUGGUGCUCAAGGCAGAAAACAAUGACUCAAGUGAAGAAGAUAGUGAUAUGGACUAUCUUACUAAAAGAUUUCAAAAGAUGGUUCGAAGAAAUGGUGGUAUACCUAAGAGAGGUAGUACAAGCAAACCAAGAAACUAUGAUCUCUGUCACAAGUGCAGAUAGCCAGGGCAUUUCAUCAAAGACUGCCCACUUCUGAAAUAGGAGCAUUACAAACAAAACUCUAACAAAGCAGCAAAAAGGAACCCGGUUCAUGAUAAACGAUUUAGCCAAAAAGGUGCAUCUGACAAUGUUGUGAAGCAAGCUCUUGCUGCUUGGGGAGACUCCUCCAGUGAAUCAGAAGGGGAACUAGAUGUAGAAAAGAGUUACAUGAUGGCAGUGGAACAUGAAGUAAAGGAAUAUGAUUCACUAUUUGCAUUAAUGGCUCAGUCUGAUGAUGAUGAAGAGGAUGAUAAUGAUGAGGUAAGUUUCAGGGAUGUUAAGAGAAAUCUGAAGUCCUACUCUUCUAAGAAAUUGAUGUCAUUAGCAAAUUUUCUAAUUGAUGUAUAUUAUAGUCUUAUUAAUGAUAAGGAUGUCCUGACCAUAAAGCUAGGAGAUGCUGAACAAUCUAGAGAUGAUCUGGUAGUCUGUGUGGCGGAUUUAAAUGAGACCAUAGCUAAUCUUGAAAAAGAAAAGAAAGCUCUAACUGAAAAAAUAAAUAGUGUAGAAAAUGAGAGAGAUGACUUGAUGGUAGUGGUUGUUGAUUUGAAGAAAACCAUAGAAAACCUAAGCAAAGAAAAGAAUGCCCUAGAAGAGAAAAUUCAUGAUACUGAGCAAGCAAUGGAUGACUUUUUGGUGGUUAUCACAGAUCUAGAGGAAACCAUUCAGGGACUCAAAUCUGAACAUAUGCAUGUAAGUAUUGAAAAAGGAAGGGAGUAGCUAGUGAGACACACAUCAAACUUGAAAAAGAAUUAAAUUAUGUGAGAACUAGUCUAUGUGGUGAACUCGAGAAAAAUAGGCAGCUUUAAGCUGAAUUGAAGAAAGUAAAAAUUGAUCUUGAUAAAUCUCUCAAGUGGACCUGGUCCUCAGAUGUUGUCACUACCAUGUACUUAAACACUAGUGGAAACAGGCUGGGAAUCGGGUUCCAAAAGGAGAAAACUCCUUACAACCCUCACAUCAAGUACGUCAUAGUUCCUGAUAACUGGCUUUGUACCCACUGUGGGAACAAUGGGCACUUCAAAGAAAAUUUCCAGGCUAGGGUUCAAUCUGUACAGAAAAAUAAAGUGUUUGCUGAGAAAGUGACUACUAAAGAGGGACCAGGUACCACUCGCAAAAAAUGAAUGCUACCUGCAUGGACUAGAAUAUCUCUUAUUCAUCCCUUUCUCAUUACAAGGGACCCAAACUAGUUUGGGUUCCUAAAUCUAAAUCAUAAUUUACAUGUGCAGGGAAUAGUGAGAGGAAGCGAACUACAAUGGACCAUGGACAGUGGAUGCCUAAAGCACAUGACUGCAAGCACCAUGGAUUUUCUCUUACGAAAGCCCUAUAGGAAAGGAAUGUAUCCUUUGAAAAAAAGGGUACAUUCUUGGUGUUGGAAAAGUUAGAAAGUCGCUUGACACUAAAUUGAGAACGCGUACUAUGUAGAUGGCCUGAAGUACAGUCUCUUGAGCGUUUCUCAAAUAUGUGAUAAAGGGAACAAAGUAGAGUUCUUAUCAAAACUGUGCACAGUUACUAAUCCAGUAACUGGCGAAGUGGUCUUAGUAGCCAAAAGAUACAAGAACAUCUACAUUGCUGACUUUGAAUCUCUACAAGCCGGUGAUAUGAGAUGCUUGAAGUUAGUUGAUGAUGACACAGAACUUGGCAUAGAAGAUCGGGGCAUGCAAGCUUCUCACUUCUGAAUAAAUUGAUUCAGAAAGACCUGGUUCGUGGUCUUCCAAAUUCAAGAUUCACAUGGACACUAUUUCUUAGAACAAAGGAUGAGACUUUCGAGGUAUUUGUGGCCUUUGUCAAGAAGUCCCUCCUAAACAAACCCCAUAUGAGCUACUCAAUGGAAGAAAACCAAAGAUAACUCAUUUGAGAACCUUUGGAUACAAAUGUUAUGUUCUCAACAAUGGAAAGGACCAUCUUGGGAAGUUUGAUGCAAAAAGAAAUGAAGGAAUCCUUCUGGGAUACUCCCCUCAAAGCAAAGCCCACAAAGUCUACAAUAAAAGGGCACACUGUGUGGAAAGAAGUGUUCAUGUGCUAUUCAACGAGACACCCUCCUCUAACAAAGGAGGAAACAGUGAUGAUCAAGAUAAUGAACCACUUUUGGUCCCUGGAAAAUAUCUGAUGUUUCAAACGGGAAGGCUGAUAUGAUGAGUCAGUUGAAGAAGACAGGUGAAGACAAUGCAACAUCCUAUUCCACUUCUCAAGAGGAACCUAGUACUUCAAUUACUUCCACUGAAGCUGAAGAAAGAGUUAGAGAUGCACUGCAAGGCACUCCACAAGUAACAUAACAAGAAGUGCUGGGAAAUCCAUUGCAAUGCAAGAGGAACUACAUCAAUUUGAAAGAAACAAGGUAUGACACCUGGUACCUAGACCCUCAGAUAGAACCAUCAUAGGGACCAAGUGGGUAUUCAGGAAUAAGCUGGAUGAACAUGGAAAUACUACAAGGAACAAAGCAAGGCUUGCUGUCCAAGGAUACAAUCAGGAGGAAAGGAUCGAUUAUGAUGAGACUUUUGACCCAGUAGCUCGCAUUGAAGCUACUAGGAUCCUCAUUACCUUUGAUUCACAUAUGGAAUUUACCAUAUUAUAAAUGGAUGUGAAGAGUGCCUUCCUGAAUGGGUUUCUCAAGGAAGAAGUAUAUAUCAAACUACCUCCAGGUUUUGUAAGUCAUGUACAUACUGAACAUGUAUUCAAAUUGGAUAAGGCACUAUACGGAUUGAAGCAAGCCCCUUGAGCCUGGUACGAGAGACUAUCCAAGUUUCUCUUUGAAAAUGGCUUCACUUGAGGAAAAAGUUUACAAUACAUUGCCUUUGAAGAAAUAGGGAAGGAACCUGCUUAUUGUUCAGAUUUAUGUGGAUGACAUCAUAUUUGGAGCUACAUCUGGCUCAUUAUGUGAAGAAUUUGCUAAACUCAUGGGAAGUGAGUUUGAAAUGAGUAUGAUGGGGGAACUGACUAUCUUCCUGGGUCUUCAAGUGAAGCAGUCCAUAAAGGGAACAUGUAUCAGUUAGCAUAAAUACAUCAAAGAACUCUUGAAAAGCUUUGAUAUGGAAGCAUUAAAGGUGACUGAUACCCCUAUUUCUACUGCUACUAAGCUGGACAUGGAUGAUUCUAGAUAACUUAUGAAUCAACCAAUGUAUAGGGGAAUCAUUGGAUCUCUACUCUACCUUACUGCCAGUAGGCCAAACAUUGUAUUUACUGUGGGAUUAUGUGCAAGGUUCCAAUAAAAUCCUAUGAAAUCUAAUUUGAAGGCUGUUAAGAGAACUCUAAGAUAUCUUAAGGUCACACAAAACUUGGUUCUGUACUAUCCUUCAGGUGACAAUUUCAACCUUAUUGGUUAUGCUGACGUUGAUUAUGCAGGCUAUUUGGUGUAUAGGAAAAGCACAUUUGGAAUGGAUCGUUUCCUUGGAUCAUGUUUUAUCUCAUGGGGUACAAGGAAACAAAACUCAGUAGCUCUCUCAACAGCUGAAGUAGAAUAUGUUGCAACUGUCUCGUGCUGUGCUCAUUCACUAUGGAUCAAGCAUCAAUUGGAAGACUUUGGUGUAUACAUUCAUUGUGUACCGCUUCUAUAUGACAACACCAGUGCUCUCAACAUGGAAAAGAACCUGGUUCAACACAAGAGAACUAAGCACAUUGAUGUCAGACACCAUUUUCUCAGGGACAAUGUGGAAAAGGAUCUUACUUGUAUGAGAUUUUGUUGCACAGAAGAUCAAAUUGCACAUAUCUUCACCAAAGCUCUGAGAAGGGAACACUUUGAGAAACAGGAUGGCACUGGGGUUACUUAAACCUAAUUGAGAACCUGGUUCUGCUGACAUGACUAUGAUAGUCACAUUAAGGUAAAUUGGCUAAAGUGUUUCUGACCAAGCCUAACUCACAUCUAUGCCGUUGCAGGUAAACACGCAUGAUGAUCAUAGAAGCUAAAGGUACAAUGUUGAUCUUCGGAGGAGAGAUGCAAAACCUUUUUACAAAAAUAGGUCAGGAACCUGGUUCCUGUACCACAGGUUAGUAGUAAUGUGUUAAUCACAUGCUUAUUCAAAGGAUAGCAAAAUUAAUUCAACUGCCACAUCAUCCGACUUUUCAGAGUCUACAUAACACGUCUUGUCUCUCAAAUCCUUUCACUUACUUUGCACGUUAUGUAUUCCUAAAAACCUACCGUCGUUUCAAAACUCUUCAGAACUCGUUCCUCUCCCCUCUCACCAUUAGCUGUUUCUUCCAUAAAACCUUCACACUCCCAAUAGUUAUAAACAAUUAUCUCCAUUUGCAUCUCUUUAAUUUUUCCUUCAGAACUCUCUACCACUUCUCUCACCAUGGUCAACGAGCAAUCUACAUCCCUUAACACUACCACCAGAAACCCACUUCUUCACUAUCCCUGAUACUACUGUACCCAUACCAGUUUCCUCUUCAUCUCCAGUCACCUCUACUUCUCCGUCAAACCCUGUCUUACUUCUAUGUGUUGCAAACCCUACUACUUCUCCUUUUUCUAAACAAACCAAAAGUGUUACUCCUUAGACAUCAAAGGUCUCUGAGGAAGAUCCCGAUCAGUACUUGAACUCCUCCGUUCUAGGCUCAGUGGCUCCCACAGAGUCACCAAAAAAGGAAGCGGCACUAAAUAUCAUAGCUAUCGCUGCUAAGGGUCUUAUGAAUGAAGGAGUCUCCCCUCUGCCUGAAUCUUAGGGGGAAGAAACUCUAUUCUUAGGGUAUGAACGGACUCUAGUCCUUUUUGAGUCUUCGGUUCAUGACACUGCCACAGAAAAACCUGUUGAAGAACCUGAUUCUCUUUCAGCUGAAACAAACCAGGAGGUUGCAGAAGAAAGAGGCUUUUGAGUCUGCCUUGCAGAAGAGUAAGCAGAGUAUUAAGAAAAAGAAGAAGAGGUUGUUAAUAUUGGGGGACGUUGUGGCUGAUAAACACAUUCCAGUUGUUGAGGUUGAUAAAGAUGCUGUGAAGGAACCUAGUUCCUUAGUGAAAAGAUCUACAAAAGUCCAAAAGUUUGUGGUUGAGAAAGAUUUGUUUGAAGGUGACAUUGUGGAGGUUGCAAGCAGGAAUGGGAAGUUUGUUGAAAUGUCUAGAGAACAAAAGUGGGAAUCUGUGGGAAGACCUGGUUCAAUGAAGAUCAUUCCAAAUGACAGUGGCCUUAGGCAGGAGAAUUUGAGAACUUAGAAAAGUCUUGUGAGGUCGCACGUUUGACUCGGCAAUCUCGGAUAUGGCAGGUAUGAGACUAGUUCUAAACAUAGGCAACAAGUGGAUAACCCGCGGGAGAAACUGCUUGACUAACAGCUAUCUGCAAAUGCCCGCAUGGACCUGGUUCUCAAAACUAUUGUUGCCUCCUCUUCCAAGCCUCCCUCUUCUAAUGCCCCAUAGGAUCCUCUCAGUGGCCAGUUAUCUUUUGCUCUGAUGUUUUGUGGCUGUUGUUUUCUAUUUGUUUGUUUUUUUGUGAUGGCAUGUUGGAUUUCACCGUUGCUGCUCCUAUUGAAACAGUCUAAUUUCUUAUCAAUGAAACAACUCUUCUUUUGCUUCUACAAUGCUUGUUUUCCUUUUUACUUCUCUUUUCUAUCAUGUUGUGUGCACAUAUGCGGCAUGAGUUAGCUUUUUUAGACUUCUUUAUGCCGUUUUAUCAUACUAUGUCUUUUUGUUGAUGCUAAAAGGGGGAAGAAUCGAUUAAACUGAAAUUGUAGCAAGUAAUUAAUAGGGAAGCAUAGAGUCAGGGGGAACAUAUACGGUUGUUGGUACCUUAUCUGGUUAAUUUAAAUAGUCAUCAAUGUUAAAAGUUAGUCAUCAUUAAAAAGGGGGAAAUUGAUGGGCUUAAGGUCUUUUAAGCUAUGUUUUAAUGAUCUAACAAACUUUCUGUAUAGAACCAGAUAAAGGACCUGAAGCAUGCCUUGUACAAUCAUUCAGGAGAAACAUAUGUGGUUGUUGAACCAGAUAAAGGAACUGAAGCAUGCCUAGUACAAUCAUUCAAGUUAAUCAACUCAAGAUAAUUUGGGCAGUUUGCCUUCAGAUUCACAAGAACCAGAUUAGGGACCUGAUCCCUUGGUGUUCCCCUGACAAAAGUAUAAGUCAACUAUACAGCUAGAAAGCAAGUGCAAAAAGUGACUGCCUGCACCUUUACAUGCGACAGUGCAACAGUCACUUCCCAUUGGGAAGAGGCAUGUAUUAACCAAGAUUUGACAUUACCAUUGUGAAUUGACAUCACCAUGGUAAUGUCUUUUGUAGUAUAACAACCUGGUGCAAGGCACAAGACAACGACUUAAGCAUUUUUAGUGAUAUUCUUUCAAGUGCUAGAAUCACCUCUCUCAAGAACAAAGUUGUUUCAACCUCAAGGACCAGAUCCAAAGAUUGAAGAUAUCUUAAGUCCUUAGGUUUGUUGAGUCUUUGUUAUUUGUUCUUCAUUUGUAACUCCUAUCUUGCUUUCUUAGAAGCUAUGUUUUUAGUAAAUCAAAUAUCUGUAAACUCUCUGAGUUUAUGUUGUGACUAGGUUUAGUCAUAAGUUAAAGUCUUUGUAACUAGAGAGUGACGAAGUAGCUUGUGAUAAGAGUAUCACAAGUUAGUUAAUGUCUUUGUAACUAGAGAGUGACAAUGUGGCUUGUGGUGAGAGUACCACAAGUUAGUUGAGUUGAAUUCNNNNNNNNNNNNNNNNNNNNNNNNNNNNNNNNNNNNNNNNNNNNNNNNNNNNNNNNNNNNNNNNNNNNNNNNNNNNNNNNNNNNNNNNNNNNNNNNNNNNNNNNNNNNNNNNNNNNNNNNNNNNNNNNNNNNNNNNNNNNNNNNNNNNNNNNNNNNNNNNNNNNNNNNNNNNNNNNNNNNNNNNNNNNNNNNNNNNNNNNNNNNNNNNNNNNNNNNNNNNNNNNNNNNNNNNNNNNNNNNNNNNNNNNNNNNNNNNNNNNNNNNNNNNNNNNNNNNNNNNNNNNNNNNNNNNNNNNNNNNNNNNNNNNNNNNNNNNNNNNNNNNNNNNNNNNNNNNNNNNNNNNNNNNNNNNNNNNNNNNNNNNNNNNNNNNNNNNNNNNNNNNNNNNNNNNNNNNNNNNNNNNNNNNNNNNNNNNNNNNNNNNNNNNNNNNNNNNNNNNNNNNNNNNNNNNNNNNNNNNNNNNNNNNNNNNNNNNNNNNNNNNNNNNNNNNNNNNNNNNNNNNNNNNNNNNNNNNNNNNNNNNNNNNNNNNNNNNNNNNNNNNNNNNNNNNNNNNNNNNNNNNNNNNNNNNNNNNNNNNNNNNNNNNNNNNNNNNNNNNNNNNNNNNNNNNNNNNNNNNNNNNNNNNNNNNNNNNNNNNNNNNNNNNNNNNNNNNNNNNNNNNNNNNNNNNNNNNNNNNNNNNNNNNNNNNNNNNNNNNNNNNNNNNNNNNNNNNNNNNNNNNNNNNNNNNNNNNNNNNNNNNNNNNNNNNNNNNNNNNNNNNNNNNNNNNNNNNNNNNNNNNNNNNNNNNNNNNNNNNNNNNNNNNNNAUUUUCCACGUAAAAAUCAUCUGUCUUAUUUACAUACUAGUUCAGUAGUUAGCACUGAGGGAACUGAUAUAGGACCAGAUCUCUAUACAGUUCGGUUCAUUAGUAUUUUUAGUGGAAACUCAUAGAGGACCAGGUUCUCUAUAGUAUGGUGGACUCAUACAAAGUAACACUGAGGAAGGUUCAUAACAUCCUUUCGGGUGGUUAAACUAGUUACGUGGGUUGAGAAAUUCUUUCCAGAGUUUGUUUCCUUAUGUAUCACAUUCGAGUUUGUAACUAGUUGGCACAUUGUGGCGUCAUAUGAGACUUUUGCCAGUGUCUGAGGUGGCUUAUUGCCUGAGCAACUUGUACUAGGUGAGAUGAGAUUAUUGGACCUAGGAUCAGUGCUAUCAGAUUUAUAUGAGGCACAUUAAAGAGUAAAUAUCGAUAUUCAAUCCAGAAUGAGGUAAUGGUUCUCGUCGUGAGGAGAGACUCCAUGAAUUUCGAUUUAGCAAGUGGUUAUGAGUUUCUACACAUCUCUUCUGUCGUGAAAGUAUUGCGGGAGUUGAAACGGAACUUAUAUGCUUUAUAUGGUGUGUUGUGGGCAUCAGAUUUGUGGAAUUUUGACUACUAUUAUCAGAGGAUAUUAUUAUGGUCAUGUGAAUAACGCGGUGCAUGGUGUGAAUUUGUGAUGACCCGGCUGAUCGUCUUAAGAAUUAACGCCUUGAUCCCUAUUAACUGCUUUCCCCAAGUUUAUUUCUGCUAUUUUGAUUUGUCGGGAUGUUCGGUUUUGAAUUUCGAAGAGUUUUAGGACACUUAGUCCCUAAAUGAGAGCUUAAGUGUUAGAAAGUUGAUCGUAGUCGAAACAGUGUGAAGACAACCUCGGAUUGCAAAUUCGAUGGUUCCGUUAUCUCGGUUGGGUGAUUUCGGGCUUAGGGGUGUGUUCGGAUUGUGUUUUGGAAGUUCGUAGCUAAUUUAGGCUUAAAAUGCCAAAAGGUCGAAUUUUAAAGUUUCUGGUUCGAUAGUGAGAGUUUGAUCCAAGGGCUGGAAUGGAAUUCCGGAAGUUGGAGUAGCUCCGUAGUGUUGAAUGUGACGUGUGUGCAAAAUUUCAGGUCAUUCGGACGAGGCUAAAUAGACUUUUUGAUUGAAAGCAUGUUUUGAGAAUUUUGGACUUCUUAGGCUCAAAUCCAUGGUUAAUUCGAGGCUUCGAUGUUGUUUAAGGUGUUUUAAGGAUUGGUACAAGUUUGGGUAGUGGUUUAUGACUUGUUGGUGCUUUUGGUUGAGGUCCCGAAGGCCUCGAGAUGAAUUCAGAUGGUUGACAGAAGGAUUUUGGAGUUGGAAGUUUGCAGUAGUAGCUGGUUUUCUCGCAUAACCGCACAUGCGGUUUGGGUCCCGCAGGUGCGGAGCCGCAAAAGCGGCGGAGCAAGCGCAGAUGCGAAUUUGGGGAGGACCAGCUGGUUUCGCAGAUGCGGGUAAUUCACCGCAGAAGCGGUACCGCACCUGCGGACUGGUAACCGCAGAUAUGAAAAUUGUCCUUUAAGUGAAAGUAGCAGAUGCGACAAAGUCCUCGUAGAAGCGGGACCGCAGAGGACCGCAUCUGCAGAAACAGCUGGGCAGAAAUAUAAAAUUUCGAAGGUUUAGUUUCAAAAGUUGGAAAAUCGAUUCGGAGCUCGGGAGAAGGCGAUUUUGAGAAGAAAUUGAAGAGGAGAUCAUUGGGUAAUGAUUCUUUAACUCUUUCUAGUCAUAUUCUAUCAAUCUAUAGUUGGUUUCAUAAUUUAAUUUCUGAUUGGAGAUGAAAAAUUGGGAAAAAGUUGGAAGAAAGUUCUUAGACCUAGAAUUCGACUUUUGGUUGAGAAUUUGACCUUAGAUUUGGAUAAUUUUGGUAUGCAUGACUCGUGAGAGUAUGAGGAUUUUGAAAAUAUAAAUUUUACCUGAUUUCGAGAUGUGGGCUCAAGGGGCGUUUUGGUCAUUUUACAUAAUUUUGCGUAUUAGUUUAGACUUUCUUUGUAGAAUCAGUUACUUGAAGUGUUAUUUACGUUAUGAAAUUGAAUUGAAUAGAUUUGGGCCAUUUAGAGUCAAGUACUCGUGGCAAGAGCGUGGUUUCAGAUUGAUUAUUGAAUCGGUUCGAGGUAAGUGUCUUGUCUAACCGUAGGGGGGACCUUCCCCUUAGGAUUGAUAUAUUUGGUAAUUGAAAUACCUUGUACGUGAGGUGACGAGUGCGUACUUGUUCUAAUUGUUGGAAAUCUGGUUUUCUUUAAGUAAUUACUAGUAUGUUUCCUUUCCUGUUUCUAUUACUUGCAUUAUUAAGCCUGUUGUUAGCUUAGGAAAGCAUGUCUAAGUGACUUAAUUUCUUUAUUUGUUCAGCCCGUCUUACCUGAAUUCUGCAGCAUGCUAGACUAGAACACUUGUUGCCUUAAUAUGAAAUUUUGUCAAUUCUGUAUAUUUUCCUAUUGCUGCUGUGUUUUUGUUUGGGACUAUAGAUGUGGGAUCCCGGUAGCCCCCCCUUGUCUAUUUAUUUUGGGACUACGGAUGUGGGAUUCCGGUAGAUCCCCCUACACAGUUAUAUGGAAAUACGGAAAUGCACCUGGUAGAUUCCCCCAGUACUGGGUAUUUAUAUUUGGGACUACGGAAUGACAUUCUGGUAGAUCCCCGUGCACUAUGAGUUAGACUACCAAAUAGGAUCCCGGGAGAUCCAUUAGAUAUGUGAAUAUGGGACUACAGGACAGUAUCCUGGAAGAUCCCCGAUUGUUAUUAUUGGUGCUGAGCUGUAAUUUUUUUCCAUGUUUACCUUGUUUCUAUAUAGUUAUUGUUGUCUUGUACAUCCUGUUAUUUUACUGCAGCACUUAUUUAUACUAUUCUGUUUUAUACUGUUGAUCUUUAUAUUUUAUUUAAUCUCAGUAGGGCCCUAACCUUCCUCGUCACUACCCGACCAAGGUUAGGCUUGGCACUUACUGAGUACCGUUGUGGUGUACUCAUGCCCCUUCUGCGCAUGUUUUUCAUGUGCAGAUCCAGGUACUGCGACUCACUCCUAUCACUCAUAAGGCGAGGUGACUGCUCUAGAGACUUCGAGGUACAUCUGCCGCAUUAGCAGACCGAGGAGUCCCUUUCUAUUCUAGCUUUUAAAAAUUUUCCCUUUUGUAUUUCUUUCCCUUGUUAGAUAUUUUGGAGUUAGACAUUGUAGAUAUCCAAAGGCAUGUGGUUCCGUGAGUUUCUGGGUUUUGGGAUAGUGUACUUGAUUCUGAGAAUGUUGUGUUGUAUAUACCGAUUGGCAUUUUAACUAUUGUUUUCAUUCGGUUAUUUUGGGCUUUUGAUUAUUUCUUCCUCAAGUUUCGUUUAUGUUCCGCAUUUGUUAGGCUUACCUAGUCAUAGAGAAUAGGUGUCGUCGCAACAGUUCAUGGAGGGCGAACUGGGGUCGUGACAAGUUGGUAUCAGAGCUCUAGAUUCAUAGGAGUCAUGGAUCAAAAGCUGGUUUAUUAGAGUCUCGCAGAUCGGUAUGGAGACGUCUGUACUUAUCUACGAGAAGCUAUGUAAUUGUUAGGAAAAAAUUUGACUUUAUUUGAUUUCCUUGUCGUGAAAUAUUUUGACAUCACAAUUCUAAACUUCUGUCUUCUAUUAUCUCACAGAUGGUGAGGACACAUGCUACCCGAGAUGAUCAGGAACCUGCGCCCCCUACUACAGCCGUCCAAGGCCGAGGCCGGGGUAGAGGCCGAGGACGCGCACGUGGUGUAGCCAGAGCACCUGCGCGAGCUGCCGUUGAGGUACCCCCAGUAGUUCCAGCCGGAGUCCAAGCACCUGACACGCCUACUGCUACUACUACUCCAGCUCUUUAGGAGACUCUGGCACAGUUCAUGAGCAUCGACACCACUCUAGCUCAGGUAGGGUUGGUUCCCCUUGUUGCAGCUACAUCUCGGGCCAGGGGAGGAGCACAGACUCCUGCCGCCCGCACUCCUGAGCAGCGAGUGCAUGUUGAGUAGGUCCGUGACAUUAUUCAUGUAUCGCCUGUAGUGCCAGUUUAGCUCGAGGACAGGGUAACGACUUCCAAGGAGGAGCAGAUGAGGCUUGAGAGGUUCAAGAGGUACAAGCCUCCUGUAUUCAGCGGUCUAGCAUCGGAGGAUGCUCUGGGAUUUCUGGAUGAGAGUUACCGAAUUCUCUAUACCAUGGGUAUAUUAGGAUCGAGCGGGGUUUCCUUCACUAUUUUCCAGCUUCGAGGAGCCGCUUAUAAGUGGUGGCACACCUAUGAGUUAGACAGUUCGGAUGAGGCUGCUUCACUGACUUGGACUAAGUUUUCAGAUCUGUUCCUGAGAGAGUAUGUUCCUCAGAGCCUCAGGGACGCAUGGCGCGCCGAGUUUGAGCAUUUGCACCAGGGUUCUAUGACCGUCUCAGAGUAUGCUAUCUGUUACACCAGUUUGGCUAGGCAUGCACCAGCCUUGGUUUCUACCGUUCGCGAGAGGGUUCGCCGAUUUUGAGGGCUUUAUUCCCAGCUUCAAGUCUAGCAUGGCUUGUGAGUUGGAGAUGGAUAUUUUUUUUAGCAGGUGGUGAGCAUUGCUAGGAGGAUUGAGGGUAUGCAUUCUAGGGGGAGAGAGAGAAGACGGAGGCCAAGAGGUCUCGAGAGUCGAGCCAGUUUUCUGGUGCCCAUUCCCCAGCAGCAGGUCGUCAUUGUAGGGGUUAUAUGAUUCGCCCUGUUCAUUCAGCUCUUCCAGCAGUUAGUGGUAUUCCAGCUCCUCCUAGACCUCAGGAGCCUUAUUAUGCACCUAUGGUAUCUAGCGCGCCUCCUACGCGGGGUGCUUUCAAAGGUUAGUCUAGCAGACCUGGCCUGAGCCAGUCACAUCCACCACAUCCUUCCAAAGCUUGUUUUGAGUGGUGAUGACACCCGUCAUAUGGUGAGGGAUUGCCCCAGACUUGGCGGGGUGCACCUCCACAGACUUCUUAGCCACAACGUGCCCCGCAAAGUUCUCAGGCUAUGGUUACAACUCCAGUUGCUACCCCACCUUCUCAACCAGCUAGAGGUAGAGGUCAGGGAGGUAAAGGUCACCCUAGAGGGGGAGGUCAGGCCCGAUACUAUGCCCGUACCAAGGCUGUUACCUCCGAUUCUGUCAUUACAGGUAUUACACUGGUUUGUCACAUAGAUGCAUCGAUUCUAUUCGAUCCAGGCUCUGUCUUCUUAUUUUGCUCCGCAUUUGGGUGUAUCUCGGGAUUCUUUGAGUUCCCUUAUUUAUGCUUCUACUCUUGUGGGAGAUCCUCUUAUUGUGGAUCGCAUUUAUCGGUCGUGUUUGAUUGCUCUUAGUGGUUUUGAGGCCAGAGAUGAUUUAUUGUUGCUCAGCAUGAUAGAUUUUGAUAUUAUCUUGGGCAUGGACUAGUUGUAGCCCCAUUAUGCUAUUCUUGAUUGUCACACCAAAACAGUGAUGCUGGCUAUGCCAAGUGUACCGCGUGAUGAGUGGAGGGAUACUUUAGACCACACUCCCAGUAGAGUUAUUUCUUUUCUUAAAGCUCAGCGUAUGGUUGAGAAGGGGUGUGAUGCGUAUUUAGCUUAUGUGAGAGAUGUCACUAUUGAUACCCCUUCAGUUGAUUCAAUUCUAGUAGUACAGGAUUUUUGCGAUGUGUUUCCGGCUGAUCUUCCAGGCAUGCCGUCUGAUAGAGAUAUUGAUUUCGGCAUUGAUCUAUUUCUGGGCACUCAGCCCAUUUCUAUUCAUCUGUAUCGUAUGGCUCCUUCUGAGUUGAAACAGUUGAAGGAUAAGUUACAGGAAUUGCUUGAUAAGGGUUUUAUUCGGCCCAGUGUAUCACCUUGGGUUACUCUUGUCUUGUUUGUGAAGAAAAAGGAUGGUUCUAUGCGUAUGUGUAUUGAUUAUUGCCAGUUGAACAAAGUGACAGUUAAGAACAUUUAUCCUUUGCCUAGUAUUGAUGAUCUGUUUGACCAGCUUCAGGGUGCACAGGUGUUUUCUAAGAUUGAUUUGUGCUCAGGUUACCAUCAGUUGAAGAUUCGGGAGCCAGAUAUCCCAAAGGCUCCUUCCAAGACUUGGUAUGGUCACUAAGAGUUCCUUGUUAUAUCAUUUGGGCUGACCAAUGCCCUAGCAGCCUAUAUGCAUUUGAUGCAUAGUGUGUUCCGUCCGUAUCUUGACAAUUUCGUCAUUGUCUUUAUUGUUGAUAUUCUGGUGUAUUCCCGGAGUCGGAAAUAUCAUGAACAGCACCUGAGGACUGCGCUUCAGACUCUGAGAGAGAAGAAUUUAUAUGCUAAGUUCUCGAAAUGUGAGUUUUGGUUGGAUUCACUGGCAUUCUUAUGCCACGUGGUAUUGAUUGAGGGUAUUCAGGUGGAUCCGAAGAAAAUAGAGGUCGUGCAGAGUUGGCCCAGACCAUCCUCAGCUAUAGAGAUCCGCAGUUUCCUUGGCUCGGCAGGUUACUACCGCCGUUUUGUUGAGGGGUUUUCAUCGAUUGUAACCCCUAUGAACAGACUUACCCAGAAGGGUGCUCCGUUCCAAUGGAUAGAGGAGUGUGAGUCGAUCUAUCAGAAGCUCAAGACAGCUUUGACUACAGCCCCAGUUUUGAUAUUGCCUACAGGUUUGGGGCCUUAUACGGUCUAUUGUGAUGCCUCAAGGAUUGGCCUUAGAGCGAUGUUGAUGCGGGACGAUAGGGUGAUUGCCUACGCGUCCAGACAGUUGAAGAUACAUGAGAAGAACUACCAUGUUCACCACCUUGAGUUAGCUGCCAUUGUUCACGCCUUGAAGAUUUGGUGCCACUAUUUAUAUGGGGUUCCCUGUGAGAUUUAUAUUGACCAUCGGAGCUUGCAGCACAUGUUCAAGCAAAAGGAUCUAAAUUUGCGCCAGAGGAGGUAGUUAGAGUUGUUAAAGGACUAUGACAUCACUAUUUUGUAUUACCCAGGCAUGGCCAAUGUGGUGGUCGAUGCUUUGAGUCACCGGGCAGAGAGUUUGGGGAGUUUGGCUUAUUUACCAGCAUCAGAGAGGCCUAUGUCGAUGGAUAUUCAGGCCUUAGCCAGCCAGUUUGUGAGAUUGGAUCAUUCGGAGCCCAGGCGAGUUCUAGCUUGUGUGGUUUCUUGGUCUUCCUUAUUUGAUCGUAUCAGGGAGCGACAGUAUGAUGACUCUCAUUUGCUUGUCCUCAAGGGCAAGGUUCAGCACGGUGAUGCCAGAGAUGUGACUAUUGGCGAUGAUGGGAUAUUGAGGAUGCAGGGUCGGAUUUGUGUACCCAAUGUUGAUAGACUUUGAGAAUUGAUUCUAGAGGAGGCCAAUAGCUCGCGGUAUUCCAUUCAUCCAGGUGUCGCGAAGAUGUAUCAGGAUUUGAGGCAGCACUACUGGUGGGGACGGAUGAAGACAUAUAUAGUUGGAUUCGUAGCUCGAUGUCUCAACUGUCAUCAGGUGAAGUGUGAGCACUAGAGACCGGGUGGGUUGCUUCAGCAGAUAGAGAUUCCGAAGUGGAAGUGGAAUCACCAUGGAAUUUGUAGUUGGGCUCCCACGGACCUUGAGAAAGUUCGGUGUUAUUUGGGUGAUUGUGGAUCGGCUGACCAAGUCCCCUCACUUUAUUCCUGUGUGUACUACUUAUUCCUUAGAAUGGUUGGCGGAGAUCUAUAUCCGGGAGAUUAUUUGUCUGCAUGGUAUUCCAGUUUCCAUCAUCUUCGAUAGAGGUACUCAGUUCACAUCACGGUUCUGGAGAGCCGUUCAACAGGAGUUGGGCACUCGGGUGGAGUUGAGUACAACAUUUAACCCGCAGAUGGAUGGACAGUCCGGGUGCACUAUUUAGAUUCUUGAGGAUAUGCUUCGUGCGUGUGUGAUUGAGUUUGGAGGACCUUGGGAUACGUUUUUGCCAUUGACAGAGUUUACUUACAAUAAUAGCUAUCAGUUUAGCAUUCAGAUGGCAACAUAUGAGGCUUUAUAUGGGAGACGGUGUAGAUCCCUGGUGGGUUGGUUUGAGCUGGGUGAGGCUAGAUUGUUGGGCACAGACCUGGUUCAAGAUGUUUUGGAGAAGGUUAAGGUGAUUUAGGAUAGACUCUGUACAGCCCAGUCCAGACAGAAGAGUUACGUGGACCGGAAGGUUUGUGAUGUUUCCUAUAUGGUUGGAGAGCGGGUUCUGCUUUGGGUUUCGCCUAUGAAGGGCGUUAUGAGGUUCGGGAAGAAAGGAAAGUUGAGUCUAGGAUUUAUUGGCCCUUUUGAGAUAUUGAGGCAUGUUAGGGAGGUUUCUUAUGAGCUUUCCUUACCUCACAGCUUGGUUGGAGAUCAUCUGGUAUUUUAUGUUUCAAUGCUCUAGAGGUAUCACGGUGAUCCGUCGCACGUGUUGAAUUUCAGUUCAAUCCAGUUGGACAAGGAUCUAUCCUAUGUUAAGGAGCCAGUGGCAAUAUUGGACAGGAAGGUUACAAAGCUGAGGUCAAAGAACAUUGCAUCAGUAAAGGUUCAGUGUCGGGGCCAGCCGGUUGAGGAGACGACCUGGGAGACCGAGUAGGAUAUACGUAGCCGAUACCCUCAUCUUUUCACUACUUCAGGUAUGUAUCUAUGCUCGUUCGAGGACGAACCAAUAUUUAGUGUAUGAGGAUGUGAUGACCCGACCGGUCGUCUUAAGAAUUAACACCCCGAUCCCUAUUAACUGCUUUCACCAAGUUUAUUUCUGCCAUUUUGAUUUUCCGGGAUGUUCAGUUUUGAGUUUUGGGGAGUUUUGGGACACUUAGUCUCUAAAUGAGAGCUUAAGUGUUGGAAAGUAGAUCAUAGUCGGAACAGUGUGAAGACGGCCUCGGAAUGGAAAUUCAAUGGUUCCGUUAUCUCGGUUGGGUGAUUUCGGGCUUAGGGGCGUGUUUAGAUUGUGUUUUGGACGUCCGUAGCUAAUUUAGGCUUGAAAUGCCGAAAUGUCGAAUUUUAAAGUUUUCGGUUCGAUAGUGAGAUUUUGAUCCAAGGGUCGGAAUGGAAUUCCGGAAGUUGGAGUAGCUGCAUAGUGUUGAAUGUGACGUGUGUGCAAAAUUUCAGGUCAUUCGGACGAGGCUUGAUAGACUUAUUGAUCGAAAGUGUGUUUUAAGAAUUUUGGAGUUCUUAGGCUCAAAUACAUGGUUAAUUCGAGGUUUCAAUGUUGUUUUAGGUGUUUUAAGGAUUGGUACAAGUUUGGGUAGUGGUUUGUGACUUGUUGGUGCUUUUGGUUGAGAUCCCAAAUGCCUCGAGAUAAAUUCGGAUGGUUGACGGAACGAUUUUGGAGUUAGAAGUUUGCAGCAGCAGCUGGUUUUCUGUCAUAACCGCACUUGCGGUUUGCGGAGCAAGCGCUGAUGCGAAUUUGGGGAGGACCAGCAGGUUCCGUAGGUGCGGGUAAUUCACCGCAGAAGCGGUACCGCACCUGCGGACGGGUAACCGCAGAUGCAAAAAUUGGCUUUUAAGUGAAAGUCGCAGAUGCGACGAAGUCCUCGCAGAAGUGGGACCGCAGAUGCAGUCCUAAGACCGCAUAUGCGGAAAUAGCUGGGCAGAAAUAUGAAAUUACGAGGGUUUAGUUUCAAAAGUUGGAAAAUCAGUUUGGAGCUUGGGAAAAGGCGAUUUUGAGAAGAAAUUGAAGAGGAGAUCAUUGGGUAAUGAUUCUUUAACCCUUUCUAGUCAUAUUCCAUCAAUCUAUAGUUGGUUUAAUCAUUUAAUUUCGGAUUAAAGAUGAAAAAUUGGGGAAAAGUUGGAAGAAAGUUCUUAGACCUAGAAUUCGACUUUUGGUUGGAAUUUGACCUUAGAUUUGGAUAAUUUUGGUAUGCAUGAACUCAUGAGAGUAUGAGAAUUUUGAAAAUAUAAAUUUCACCUGAUUUUGAGACGUGGGCCCGAGGGACGUUUUGAUCAUUUUACCUAAUUUCGUGUAUUAGCUUAGAAUUUCUUUGUAGAAUCAGUUACUUGAAGUGUUAUUUANNNNNNNNNNNNNNNNNNNNNNNNNCGUUAUGAAAUUGAAUUGAAUAGAUUUGGGUCAUUUGGAGUUGAGUACUCAUGGCAAGAGUGUGGUUUCGGAUUGAUUAUUGAGUCGGUUCGAGGUAACUGGCUUGUCUAAACUUGUGUGGGGGACUUCCCCUUAUGAUUGGUAUAUUUGGUAAUUGAAAUACCUUGUACGUGAGGUGACGAGUGUGUACUUGUUCUAAUUGUUGGAAAUCCGGUUUUCUUUAAGUAAUUACUAGUAUGUUUCCUUUCUUGUUUCUAUUACUUGCACCAUUAAGCCUGUUGUUAGCUUAGGAAAGCAUGUCUAAGUGACUUAAUUGCUUUAUUUGUUCAACCCGACUUACCUGAAUUCUGUGCAGCAUGCUAGUCUAGAAUCACUUGUUGCCUUAAUAUGGAAUUUUGCCAUUUCUGUAUAUUCCUGUUGCUGUUGUGUGUUUAUUUUAGGACUAUGGAUGUGGAAUUCUGGUAGCUCCCCCUUCUCUGUUUAUUUUGGGACUACAGAUGUGAGAUUCCAAUAGAUCCCCCUACACAUUUAUAUAGAACUACGGGAAUGCACCUGGUAGAUUACCCCAGUACUGGGUAUUUAUAUUUGGGACUACAGAACGGCAUUCCGGUAGAUUCCCGCGCACUAUGAGUUAGACUACGGGACAGGAUCCCGGGAGAUCCAUCGGAUAUAUGCAUAUGGGACUACAGGACGGUAUCCUGGAAGAUCCCCGAUUGUUAUUAUUGGUGUUGAGCUGUAAUUCUUUUCUGUGUUUACCUUGUUUCUGUAUAGUUAUUGUUGUCCUAUACAUCCUGUGUUAUUUUACUGCUGCACUUAUUUAUACUUUUCAUUUCUAUACUGUUGAUCUUUAUAUUUUAUUUAAUCUCAGUAGGGCCCUGACCUUCCUCAUCACUAACCGACUGAGGUUAGGUUUCGUACUUACUGAGUACCGCUAUGGUGUACUCAUGCCCCUUCUGCGCAUGUUUUGUUUUUCAUGUGCAGAUCCAGGUACUGCGACUCAGUCCUAUCACCCGUGAGGCGAGGCGACUGCUCUAGAGACUUCGAGGUACAUCUAUCGCGUCUGCAGACCGAGGAGUCCCUUUUCUAUUCUAGCUUUUAAAAUUUGUCCUUCUGUAUUUUUUCCCUUGUUAGAUAUUCUGGAGUUAGACAUUGUAGAUAUCUAAAGGCUUGUGGUUCCGUGAGUUUUCAGGUUUUGGGAUAGUGUACUUGAUUCUGAGAAUGUUGUGUUGUAUAUGCCGAGCGGAAUUUUAACUAUUGUUUUCAUUCGGUUAUUUUGGGCUUUUGAUUAUUUCUUUUGCAAGUUUUGUUUAUGUUCAGCAUUUGUUAGGCUUACCUAGUCGUAGAGACAAGGUGCCGCCAUGACAGUUCAUGAAGGGCGAAAUGGGGUUGUGACAGAAUUCGGUAAGAGUAUACAAUCAUGUAUUAGUACCUUGUGUAAUGAUUGAUACGGUGUUCGUAUGUUGGGAACAGACCUGGUAGAGAAUUUCAGAUGUUGGAAUUUGGCUCCAAGGCUAACUUGAUUAAUUAAAAGGGAGAAUCUUCAGAUUUUCUCGAGCUAAUGUGCUCUAUUGGGUUGUGGUAGCAUGGGUAGGUGCACGAGGUGUUAAACAAUGAUUGCAGACAACUCCAAAGUUGUUCUUAGCACGUUCGAUGACGAACGUAUGUUUAAGUAGGAGAGAAUGUAACGACCCGACCGGUCGUUUUGAGCUCUAACGUGUCGUUUGGUGGUUUGAGGACAUGAGCACCUUCACUUCAAGUAUUAUGACUUGUACGCAUGGUCGAAAUUGAAAUUCGGGAAGUUCGGAGUGGAUUUGGAAAAAGAAUUCUCAUUUCGGAAGCUUUAAGUUGGAAGAAUCUUACUAAUGGUUGAUUUUGAGUAAACGACCUCGGAAUUGCGAUUUGAAGGUUCCAACAGGCUUGCAUGAUGAUUUUGGACUUGGGCGUAUGUUCGAAUCAGGUUUUGGAUGGCCCGGGAGCAUUUCGGCACCUAUUGUGGAAGGUUGGCAUUUUAAAAGAAUUUCAUAAAUUUGGGUUGAAAUGCAUUUCAAUAUUAUCGAUGUCCGUUUGGAUUUCCGAGUCUGGGAAUAGCUUCUUAUGGUGGUUUCGGACUUAGGCACAUGUUCGGAUUUAGAUUUGGAAGUCCGUAGGAUAAUUCGGCGCAUUUUAGCGAAAGUUGGAAAAUAGAAGAUUUUUCGAAAGCUUGACCGAGAGUUGACUUUUUGAUAUCAGGGUCGGAAUCCGAUUCUAAAAAUUGGAACAACCCUAUUAUAUCAUUUAUGACUCAUGUGCAAAAUUUGAAGUCAUUCCGGAUUGAUUUGAUAUGUUUCGGUGCAAAAGAUAGAAGUUGGUAAAUUUGAAAACUCAUAAUUCGAUUUGAUGCGCGAUUCGUAAUUUCGGUGCUGUUUGACGUGGUUUGAAGCCUCAACUAAGUUUGUAUUGUAUUUUGGGACAUGUUGGUAUAAUUGAUUAAGGUCCCAUGGGCCUCAUGUGGAUUUCGGAAUAACGGAAUGGAUUUCGGACAAAGGGAGCUUCUGGAAUUUUUUUGUUGCAGAAGCUGUUCGCCAGAAAUUUUGGAUGCAUGGAGCCGACUUUGGAAGCUUAUAUCUCGCAAUCUAUAAAGAAUCUAAAAAAUAUCAAAACAUGAAUUUGUACAGAAAGUUAUGGUCGAUUGGUCGAAGGCUAAUAGCAAUUUAUAUUUGCCCGAAAAUCAGGCAAUUUUAGUUUUUGAGUCAUGGGAUUUGGGGCGGAUUCCAAAGGGAAUUUUCACGACUUCGACUAGGGUAAGUGUUCUAUAUCCGAAAGUGAUUAUAUUUCAUAAAUUCAUGUCCAUAUUAAUCAAUUAUUUCGGAUUUAGGUGGAAGAAAUUGGGAUUUUUGUAAAAUAUUCCCAAAACAAAAAUUUAAGAUUUGAAAGCCAACCCAAUGUCAGAAUUCGAUAAUUUUUGUAUGGUUGAACUCGUAUCGGAAUGUGAGUUCGGAUUUCGUGAGUUUUUUCGGGAUUUGAGACACGAGUCCCACUAUUAAUUUUUUAAUGAAUUUCAGAUUUUAAUCCGGAAAAUUCGUAAAUUCAUAUGGAAUAAAAUCCUACUAUUUGUAUUGAGUAUAUUGAAUUGUUUAUGACUAGAUUUGUGUCUUUCGGACACGAAUUCACGAAGCAAAGGUUUAUUGGAAUCUUAAGUUUGGUUGCAGAGUGAGGUAAGUCUCUUUUCUAACCUUGUAAGAGGGAAUUAACCCCAUAGGUGAACUAAAUUAAUAUAUGCUUCUAUUUGUGAGAGCUAUGUACACCGAGGUGACGAGAGUCCGUACGUAGCUACUAGUUAUGCCUAUGUCCAGGUAGUUUUACGUUUAUACCAUGCCUUGUUGAUAUUAUUAUUCGAUUUAUGUUUAUUAUUUGCCUUGAGAAGAAGCGAGAUUGAGUUUGCUUAUUAAUUGCCUUGAAAAGAGUAGGAGUGGAGGAAUUUGAGAUUUUAAAAGCUUUCAUUUGAAUUUCGUAUUUUUUUGAAAAAGAAUUGAGAAAUAUUAUAAUAACUUGAGAAAAUCUAUGUUCAACCGAGUCGCAACUAUAUUCCGCGAGUGGGGUAAAUUUUCACUAUUCUCAUGGAAGCGGGCCAUUCGCCUUGGCAGGUUAAAUAGAUGCAUCUAUGGUUCGUGCGUUCGACCCUCGGUAGUGCACAAUUUAUAUUUAUAUGUUGGUUCUUGCCAUUCGACCCUCAGCAGUGCACAAUUUAAAUAUUUAUGUUGGAUCGGGUUUUACAACCUCGACAUGAUUUGCGCAUGAUUGAAUUAGUUGCUUGGGAAUUUAUAAUAAUUAAUAUUGCUUCAUUUGCCCGAGAUAUAAAUUGUUAAAUGAUGUGAAAUAAAUUUGAAAAUUUCUUAUUAAUAAAAGAAUUGUUUCCUUACUUCAUGAUAUUGAGCUUACAGCCGUUCUAUGUAAUCCAUGCUUAAUUAUAUCAUUGAUAUUUUAUUUAUAGCCUAUAAUAAGUGUCGGAGUCGACCUCUCGUCACUACUUCUUUGAGGUUAGACUGGAUACAUGCUGGGUAUGUGUUGUUUUUGUACUCAUACUACACUUGCUGUACAUUUUAUUGUACAAGCACAUGUAUGACUAGUGGCCUAAUAGGCGCAGCGGCGCGGUUGAUACGGGGACUUAGGUGAGCUGCACCUUAUGUUACAAUCUGCAUACAGCAGAGUCUCCUUUAGAUUAUUUGUAUUUUCUUUUCUUUGUAAACUUAUAUUCCGGACAGUUACUGUAUUUUAUGUUAUUUCCUAAUUAAUGCUCAUGCACUUGCGACACCGGGUUCUAGGAUGAUUAAGGGAUAUUCAGUAUUGAAAUUGAAAAAUAUUAUUAUUUAUUGUAUAAAGUUCAUCUGUUACUAGUUAAAUUAAAGGAAAUUUAUGAUUUCAAAAAUAUUGAAAUGAGAAUUUAAUUAACUAUUUAGUGUUGGCUAGUCUGACAGUGGUGUCCAGCGCCAUCACGACCUUUAACGGAUUUUGGAUCAUGACAGAUCACAUCUGGUCCCUGCCUGGUUCCUCGAGAAUGUUUGCCAAAUCAUCAAAAUAUGAAAUAGCGUAACUUAGAGCAAUUUUUCUCUUUUUGAUGAUGACAAACCCAAAAUUAUUGCAAGUAGGUGAAAGAUUAAGAGUUUAAUUCUUAGGUUAUAAUAGGUUGUAAUCUAAAGUUGCUCAGUUAGUGAAGUUGAAAUCCUACGAGUGCAGGUCGUAAUUUUUAAUCCCGUGAGCUGGGAGUUUUUCACAUAAAAUAUUGUUGUAAUAUUUACUUACCGCUGUGUGUGUGUGAUCUAUGGGAACUGAUAGAGCAACAAACCUUGACUAACUCUAGUCAAAGAAUUAAACCAAACAGUGGUUUAAAUCUGUCCUACAAAGACACUUCUUGAAAGUAGUGUAGGAUUACAAAUGAAGAACAAAUAACAAAGACUCAAUAAACCUAAGGACUUAAGAUACCUUCAAUCUUUGGAUCUGGUCCUUGAGGUUGCAAUAACUUUUGUUCUUGAGAGAGGUGGUGGUUAGCACUAGAGAGAAUAUGAUUUUUGGAUUUGCAAGUGUUGGACAAAUGAAAUCCCUUGCCUCGUGUUGAUAAUAUGUGUGUGUUAGGUUAUAAAGGAUGAUGCAAUAAAUUGUCCUUUAGUUUGGCCUUAACAAACUAUAAUUGUGCUGCUGUACUAUUUCCAAAUGGUACAGUGCAGCAGCUUUUACAGCUGUAGAGUUGACUACAUGAUGAUCUGGGGAACUGAUCCCCAUUUGUUCCCUAUGUUGUUCCCUUAUGUGAUUUCAUUGAGAAUUGAACUAGAUAUCUUACUAGUUACUCUGAACGCAAGGGAACUAAUUAUAUCAGGUUCCUUAUCUAGUUCUCUCAUGAAAUUUGUCAAAUCAUCAAAACAAAAGACGCAUAACUUAUCAAUUUUUCCCUUUUUUAUAAUGGCAUACUUAGAAUUGAUAUCCCUCCUGAGAACCAGAUCUCCACAUUGUUCCCCCUACGAAUCAGCCAUAUUCCCCAUGAGAGUCAGACUAAAGGAACUGGUCACAACUGGUUCCUCGAGACUAUUUAGCAAAUCAUCAAAAAGGACAAAAUAGCAUAACUUAUCAAUUUCCCCCCUUUUCAUGAUGAGAAACCCAGAAUUGAUAUUCCCCCUAAGAAUCAGAUUCCUUACAUGUACUGAUCACAUCUGGUCCCUACCUAGUUCCUCAAAAACCUGGCCAAAUCAUCAAAACGUGAAAUAGCGUAAUUUAGAGCAAUUUUCCCCUUUUUUUUUAUGACAAACCCAAAAUUGGUGUUCCCCAUGAGAACCAGAUUCCUCACAUGUUCCCCUGCGGAUCAGACCUAUAAUCAAUAUGUUAUCAGCAACGUUCCUCCUGCAAAGCAGAUCUAUCUUUCAUGCACAACAACAUAUCAAUUCGAUUUUGUUCCUCCCCCAUGUUGACACCUAUGUAACUUUCCCCUUUUGCCAUAAUAACAGAAGAAGCACAACUAAAAAGAAGUUUAGCAAUAUUAACUCAUGUCACUUGGGCAAUACAACAUAAACAAUAAUAAGAACAACAAGUGAAUAUCAUUGCACAAAAUAGAGUAAUUGCGCAUAGUAGGAGUAAUUAUAACAAAAGUACAGUAGUUUCAACAAUACAGAAUAUGACAAUUUAAACAACUAAAAUACCAAUAUCAUCAAACAUAGGGAUCAAAAGAAGAGAUAAAUUCGAGGGAAUUUGGACUGAGUGAAAGACAUGGAUCACUGGGCAGGAAUGAAAGUAAAGGGCUAAGGCCUUGAUGAGCAUGUCCAUUUUUUCAUUCACAACCUUUGAUAAAUGAUCAUAUGCUCUCUCAGGUCCUCCAUCUAUUUCCUCAAUCUUUCAUUCUCACCCUUCAAUUGAGCAUUCUAUUCUACCAAGGGUCCAAGGGGAUCUAGUUCUCUACCUAUGGUUGAACCAUCAAUCAUAUCACCAAGAAUCUCCGCAAAAUUCUCCUUAACAAGAACAAACUCAGUCCCAGUUUUUACUUCUUCAUCAUAAACAUUGGGAUUUGGAGGAACAAAUAGGCGAUUAUAUUUUUGGAACUCAACAAUAUCAAGAAUUUCUUCCAUUUUUCAGCAAUAUCAAAGUCAACACUCUGCCUAACAACACUUUUUGAGACUUCAGAGUCUUCUACCUCUCCAAACCCGAUAACUCAACAUUUUGCUUCUAUAAGGAACCAGGUUCCUCACUCACACUACCUUUUAUUUUUCCUAAGCGGCCAUGUCUCUUUCUUCUUCUUAUCAAUUUGUUCACUCUUAUCAUCUCUUGCAUCUUUCUCAGCCGACUGUUUUUUCUCCAUUUUGAUCUUUUUUGAAUUCUUUCUUACGCGUGAGGAUUUUUCGUCUUCAUUCUCUCUUCUAUAUUCACCAUAUCAGCAGGUCACGCCACUUCAUCAUCAAUCAAUAUACUUUUUAUCAAUCCUUUCUAUUGGAUCAGAAGUUCAUUUAAACAUAGAGCUAAAAAAGAAGUCAUCAUCAGAAUUAAUGUCCUAAGACAGACUAGAGGAAUCAGGUCCCUCAUUCAGUUCCCCUUUUUCUAGCACAUUCAUCAAUUCCUCCAUCCUUCAAGGCUUCUAUAAACCCAGCAAUAAUUUUCGCCUUACUCUACAGAAUAUUAGAUCUACCCUGUUCCUUUUUAGUUGAAUUCCAAUAAAAAUCUACCAAAGCCUUAUUGGGAUUUUGAUUCAGAUGGAGUUAGGAUUUUGGAAGAUGGCAGAGUUGGGUUCAAUUCUGAUAUAUUUAGAGAGAAGGAUUCUUUCUAAGACAAGGUUGAUUUUAGUUUUGAAUAAAAGAAUCGAUUUUGGUUUGGUGUGAGAGAAGGAAAUGGUUUUUUGGGGGCAACGGGCCACUUCAGAAAUAGUUUAACAUUUUGGACUUCAAAAAUUUGGAGAGAGGCAGGAAUAUAUUAAUGAUAUGACACUUCAGCAGUUUAAAAAGGCAUAUAAGUAUUGAAGACACUACUAACCUGAGUCACAAGAACUAGGUUU
rnacentral:lncRNA from 1 species